rnacentral:lncRNA from 1 species
CCAGAAAGACUCUGAGAAAUCAUAUUAACUUGCUGAGUCAAUAUUUUGUUCUGAGCCAAUAUGGCAUUCAGAGUAUCAAUCUCAAGAACUCCUUUCUUCUGAUUUGUCCCAUUAUUCACAGGGUUCCUUUCAGAAGUGUACAUGAACUGGUUAUUUGCAACCAUCUCAAUAAGUUCCUGACCUUCUGCAGGCGUCUUCUUCAGAUGAAGAGAUCCUCCAGCAGAGCUGUCCAAUGACAUCUUGGACAGUUUAGACAGACCAUCAUAGAAGAUACCUAUGAUGCUCCAUUCAGAAAGCAUGUCAGAAGGACACCUUCUGAUCAAUUGCUUGUAUCUUUUCCAAGCUUCAUAGAGGGAUUCACCUUCCUUCUGUCUGAAGGUCUGGACCUUCACUCUUAGCUUACUCAAUUUUUGAGGUGGAAAGAAUUUGGCCAGAAAAGCAUUGACCAGCUUUUUCCAAGAGUUUAGGCUUUCCUUAGGUUGUGAAUCCAACCAUAUUCUAGCUCUGUCUCAUACAUCAAAGGGAAAAAGCAUAAGCCUGUAGACCUCAGGAUCAACCCCAUUGGUCUUGACAGUGUCUGCAAGAAUUCAGCCAAGAACUGAUGAGGAUCUUCCAAUGGAAGUCCGUGAAACUUGCAAUUCUAUUGCAUUAGAGAAACUAAUUGAGACUUAAGCUCAAAAUUGUUUGCUCCAAUGGCAGUGAUUGAGAUGCUUCUCCCAUAGAAGUCAGGAGUAGGUGCAGUAAAGUCACCAAGCACCUUCCUUGCAUUGUUGGCAUUAUUGUUGUUUUCGGCUGCCAUGGCUUCUUCUUGUUUGAAAAUUUCUGUUAGGUCCUCUACAGAGAGUUGUGCUUUAGCUUCUCUUAACUUUCUCUUCAAGGUCCUUUCAGGUUCAGGAUCAGCUUCAACAAGAAUGCCUUUGUCCUUGCUCCUGCUCAUAUGAAAGAGAAGAGAACAAGAAAGUAUGAAAUCCUCUAUGUCACAGUAUAGAGAUUCCUUGAGGUGUCAGAGGAAAAGAUGAAUGGAAGAAGGGGGUAGAGAGGAGAGAAUUCGAACUUAUCAAGAGAGAGUCCGAAUUGCUGAUAGUAGAGGAGUGUUAGUCCUUAAAUAGAAGGAUGUGAGAAGAGGGGAAGAAUUUUCGAAAACAAAUUAACAAUAUUUUGAAAUAAUUAAAAGAAAUUUUGAAAAAUUGAUUGAUGAUUUUCAAAAAUUAGAAUUGAGAAAGUGGUUAAGUGAUUUUUGAAAAAGAUUUUGAAAUUAGAAAUAAAAAAGAUAUGAUUGAAAAUUAUUUUGAAAAAGAUGUGAUUGAGAAGCUAUGAUUGAGAAGAUAUGAUUGAGAAUCAAAUUAAAAAAGAAAGUUUUAAAAUUAAAGUUGAUUACUUGACUAAUAAUAAAUUAAAAGAUAUGAUUCUAGAAUUUAAAAUUUGAUCCUUUCUUAAUAGGCAAGUAACAACUUGAAAAUUUUGAAUUAAAUCAUUAAUUGUAGCAAGGGUUUUCGAAAAUAGUAAAAAAAAUAGAAAAUGGAAAGAAAUUGAUUUUGAAAAGAUAUGAUUGAAAAGAUAUGAUUUGAAAAAGAUUUGAUUUUGAAAAAUUAUGAAAAUUUGAAAGAGAUUUGAAUUAAAAACAAAAUCUUCCAUCUUGUGUCAUCCUGGCGUUAAACGCCCAAAAUACUACCUUUUUGGGCGUUUAACGCCCAGCCAGGUACCCUGGCUGGCGUUUAAACGCCAGUUUUCCUUCCUUACUGGCCGUUUUGAACGCCCAGCUUUUCUGUGUAAUUCAUCUGUUGCAUGUUCUGAAUCUUCAAUUCUCUGUAUUAUUGACUUGAAAAGACAUAAUUUUAAAAAAUUUUUUGAGUUUCUAAUGAUGAGAAACAAUCAAACUGCAACUAAUCAUGGAAAACUAAGAUUAAACAAACAAUGUAUGCAAGACACCAAACUUAAAAAUUUUCAUAUUAGAGACACUAACAAAUUGAGAAUGCAUAUGAAAAAUAACAAAACACACAAGACAAGAGAAUUUAAAGAUCAGAGCAAGGAAAUCAUCAAGAAUAACUUGAAGAUCAAUGAAGAACAUAAUGCAUGUAAUUUUCGAAAAUUAGAAGAAUGAAGACAUGCAAUUGACACCAAACUUAAAAUUAGACACUAGACUCAAACAAAAAAGCAUAAAAUAUUUUUUAUUUUAAGAUUUUAUAAAAAAAAUUUGUGAUUUUUCGAAAAUUAUAUGGAAAAGAAAAUAAAGAGAUUCAAAAUUUUUAAUAAGAAUUCCAAGAAUCAUGCAAUGUUAGUUUAAAACUCCGGUCCAGGAAUUAGACAUGGCUUACUAGCCAGCCAAGCUUUCAGUGAAAGCUUCGGUCCAAAACACUAGACAUGGCCAAUGGCCAGCCAAGCUUUAGCAGAUCAUUACGUUCAACAGCAAGAUUGAUAGAAAUCAACAAGCCCUUGUGAUGAUAAGUUGAAAUCUCGGUCCAAAAGAUUAGACAUGGCUUCACAGCCUGCCAGACUUCAACAAAUCAUCAUGAAACUCUAGAAUUCAUUCUUAAAAAUUCUGAAGCCAUAGAAUAAUUAAUUUUUUUGUAUUUUUCGAAAAUAAAAAGCCUAAAAAUAAAAUAAAAUAAAAUUACCUAAUCUGAGCAAUAAGAUGAACCGUCAGUUGUCCAAACUCAAACAAUCCCCGGCAACGGCGCCAAAAACUUGGUGCACGAAAUUGUGAUCAUCAAUGGCGCCAACAACUUGGUACGCACAAUUGUAAUCAUAACUCCUUGUCACAACUCCGCACAACUAACCAGCAAGUGUACUGGGUCGUCCAAGUAAUAAACCUUACGUGAGUAAGGGUCGAUCCCACAGAGAUUGUCGGCUUGAAGCAAGCUAUGGUCAUCUUGUAAAUCUCAGUCAGGCGAAUUCAAAUGGUUAUGGAGAAUUGAUAAUUAAAAGAUGAAUAAAAUAUAAAAUAGGAUAGAGAUACUUAUGUAAUUCAUUGGUGAGAAUUUCAGAUAAGCGUAUGAAGAUGCUUUGUUCCUUCUGAAUCUCUACUUUCCUAUUGCCUUCUUCCAAUCAUUCAUACUCCUUUCCAUGGCAAGCUUAUGUUGGGUUUCACCGUUGUCAAUGGCUACCUCCCAUCCUCUCAGUGAAAAUGGUCCAAAUGCGCUGUCACCGCACGGCUAAUCAGCUGUUGGUUCUCGAUCAUGUUGGAAGAGGAUCCAUUGAUCCUUUUGUGUCUGUCACUACGCCCAACACUCGCGAGUUUGAAGCUCGUCACAGUCAUCCCUUCCCAGAUCCUACUCGGAAUACCACAGACAAGGUUUAGACUUUUCGGAUCUCAAGAAUGCUGCCAACUGAUUCUUGCCUAUACCACGAAGACUCUGAUCUCAUGGAAUGGAAGGCUCGGUUGUCAGGCGAGGCAACCAUGCAUCAUGAACCAGGAGGCUAAGAGAUACAUACUCAAUCGAAGAUAGAACGGAGGUGGUUGUCAGGCACGCGUUCAUAGGUGAGAAUGAUGAUGAGUGUCACGGAUCAUCACAUUCAUCAGGUUGACGUGCGAGUGAAUAUCUUAGAGAAGAAAUAGGCUUGAGUUGAAUAGAAAAACAAUAGUACUUUGCAUUAAUUCAUGAGGAACAGCAGAGCUCCACACCUUAAUCUAUGGGGUGUAAAAACUCCACCGUUGAAAAUACAAAAGUGAUAAUGGUGAUCAUUGGCUUCGGCCCCAGAGAGGGAACCAGAAGAACCAAGAUGAAAAUACAAUAGCAAAAGGUCCUAUUUAUAGAGAACUAGUAGCCUAGGGUUUACAGAAAUAAGUAAAUGAUGCAGAAAUCUUCUUCUGGGCCCACUUGAUGUGUGCUUGGACUGAGCAUUAAAGCUUUCACGUGUAGAGACUUUUCUUGGAGUUAAACGCCAGCUUUUGUGCCAGUUUGGGCGUUUAACUCCAGCUUUUAUGCCAAUUCUAGCGUUUUGACGCCAUAAUUUUUAUGCUGACUUGGAACACCAGUUUGGGCCAUCAAAUAUCGAGCAAAAUAUGAACUAUUAUAUAUUGCUGGAAAGCCCAGGAUAUCUACUUUCCAACGCAAUUGAGAUCGCGCCAAUUGAGCUUCUAUAGCUCCAGAAAAUUCACUUCGAGUGCAGGAAGGUCAGAAUCCAACAGCAUCUGCAGUCCUUUUUCAGCCUCUGAAUCAGAUUUUUCCUCAGGUCCCUCAAUUUCAGCCAGAAAAUACCCGAAAUCAUAGAAAAACACACAAACUCAUAGUAAAGUCUAGAAAUGUGAUUUUUAUUUAAAAACUAAUAAAAACAGAAUAAAAACUAACUAAAAUAUACUAAAAACAUACUAAAAACAAUGCCAAAAAGUGUAUAAAUUAUCCGCUCAUCAGACGACCCAGAGUUCAAAUACUUCAGUUAUAAAUUCAUUGGGGUUUGUACUUGUGACAAUUCAAAUUUUUGAUGUGGGAAUUGUUUGGUGGUUUGGAGCUAUGCUUACAACGAAGUAAUUCUUUCUACAAGAAGAAAUUCUAGACCGACACGACAAAACUCAUCUAUCAAAAUGGCACCGUUGGCGGGGAGUUGCAAUGGUGUUAUGUUAUUGGCUAUAGUAUAUAUGUUAAUAUGCUUCUUUGCUAGUUUUUUCUUAUUUUAGGAGUUAGUUUUUAUUAGUUCUUACUAGUUUUGUUUUUAUUCUUUUUUGCUAUUAUGAAUUCUCAUCCUCACUUUGGCUAUGAGUUUGGCUCAAAUUAUGUUGUAGAAAAUGGAAACUAUAAUGACAAUAUGCAUCAAGAAUGGAACAAUCAAAGAUGGAAGGAGCCUCAAGAGAUUGAUCACCCUUCUUGGCAACAACAACCUUCAGAUUCUUAUGGUAUAACUCCCAUCCUAAUGCAUAUCAUUCUAAUGGAUGUGGUGACCCUUAUUGUGAUUAUCAACAACCACCAUCAUAUGCCUAUGAACCACCCCCUCAACAUGACUUUGAACCACCUUACUCACAAGCCCCCUACCACCAAACACUUCAUUAUGACCCUAAUCCUUAUCCACCAUACCAACCACCUUAUGAACCAUAUGAACCACACAUGGAACCACCACCAUUCCAACACAAUUACUCUCAAGAACCACCUCAAUAUACGCUAUCUCCAUAUCCUUGCCAAGAUGAACCAACUUCCAAUUAUGAAACCUCCUUCCCAAACAAUGAACCUUCUUUUUCCACACCACCUCAAAUGGAUGAUUCUCUCCAAGAAUGUGUUAGUUCUUACAUUCGAAGGCAAGAAGAGAACCAAAAGGAGUUCAAGGAGUUAGAAGCCAAGAUAGCUACCAUAGCAGAAGCUGUUCACAAUAUGGUCUCCUCCCGCCUAAGCCUAUACGAUCAAGGAACUCCCAUUGUUAAAUGUGGAGAAGCAAUCAAGGAGCAUAGUAAGGGAGUGAGUUUGGUGCUUCAAGGUGGAGAAGAGGAGUUAAAGCAAGAAUUGUCACAAGGGGAGGAAGUUAAGACAAUUGAGCUGGAAGAAGUGGUUGAAGACGUAGGAGAUGUAGAAAGUCCACGGGAAUGUAGAAUUAGAGAGCCCUCUCCCAAGAUGCUUGAUGUUGAUGUUGAAGAGGGUGUAUAACCUCCAAAGCAUAUCUUGGUUGAAGACUUUGAAGAGGUUGAUCAAGAGAUGGAUUCAAUUAUUGAGGAGUUCCUAUCUACAAUUGAAUCCCCUCCCAUUGGGCUUGAAAUUGAGGUCAAAGAAGAAGAUGAACAACCUCCCAUACCUUGGUAAGCAAUGAAGAAGAGAUUGAAUUGGAAGCGAGCUACCAAGAGGAAGAGGUUGAAAUUGAAGAAGCUUGUGAAGAGGUGGAGGUAGUCAAAGAAGAGCACAAGGGAGUGGAACUUGCAAGAUCAUUAGGACCACCACUUCCUAAGUCACCAUCCAAUACAACAUUCAAGUGGGUAAAAUUCUUAUCCCUAAGCUUUGCUUUCUCACUUGAAUAUGGUUUGAUUGAAAAUGAUGGUCAACUUAGAGCUCGUUGUGGAGUUAAGAGUAGAAGAGAGUUGUGUAAUGGUUGGAAACACCAUUCUAAGUUCAUGAUAGUUGCAUGCUCAAAGUUGAAUGGCAAUGGUUAGUGUAGAACCAAAUUGCAUGGGUCUAAGAGAAUGUUUGGAUGCUUAAUUGAUAAGUCUAAGGUCAUGCCACCUAAUUGGAAUCAUGAUGAUCAAUUUGAAGAUGGGUGUCAAAACAAAGUGUGGGAUCCUGGAUCGCACAAGGAGAAUCAAAUUUGGGAGCCCAUGGCUUGUGUGGAACUCCAUCAAGGCUUGGAGUUAUCAUCUUUGAAGACUAAAGCUUAUUGGAGAUUCAAGUAUUGGUGGAUGUUUAAAGAUAGCUUCAAGCACAAGCCACCUUAAGAGGAGCUCCCCAUAAGUCCAACUUAAGGACAAUAAACAAAAGUGCUAUGUGGGAGACACCCCACCAUGGUAAUAUCUUUUCAUUUUCUCUUUUGUAAAUAUUGGUAGAAUUAGUUUAUAUUCAUAUUUAGAGUAGUUUGUUGAGUCUAUUUGGUAGUCUAAUAUGUUAAAUAAGGUUUUAGGGUGUUUUGGUAGCUGUUUAGAGGUUUGGAAGGCUUGGUUUGGUGUAAGAAAUUGGAAAAAUUUUGAAAAAUAGAGCACCAACCCGCGCGUGCGCGCGCCUCGAGCAUUUUCGAUCAUCCACGCGGACGGGCCAUGUACGCGUACGCGUGGAUGCAAAAACUCCACCCCCAGCCAAAAACCCGAGAGUUAGGCCUGCACUGUGCAAACAUUGGGCCUAAGGUACAAACCAACCCGUGCAUGCGCGCACCUUGCGCGUACGUGCCCAUAAGCUAAAUGCGCAAUGCACGCACAUGCACGCUGUGCGCGCGCGCGCCGAUAGCGUCACCUACCCCCCUGGUAUAAAAACCAGAGAGUUGUGCCAAAGUUGUGCCUACUCUGUGCCCGCGACUGACGCGCAGACGCACUUCACGCGUCCGCACCGAUCGCCACCUUCAUCAUGCACACGCCCGCGCACUGUGCGCGUCCGCGUCGCAAAAAAAAAUUCUUUUCUUUUAUUGCAUUUUCUUAUUUUCAUUUAUUGCAUUUUAAUUUUGUUUUUAUAGCUUGUUCUUAUCUUCUUUUCUAAAUUUCUUAUUUUAAUAAUGGUGUUGACUCCUCCUACUCAAUUGUUGAGAAUCUCUUGGUUAAUCUUGGUGCUUCUUGACUUGUUUGAUAUUGUUGGGUGAUGAAACUUUUAAAUCAAUGCUUAAUCUUGUAUAACUCUUAUAUUCUUUAUGCAUUGAUAUGAAUUUGCAUGCCUUUCAUGAUCCACUCUUUCUAGUUGAACUUGAUGCUUUUGAAUGCUCUUCAUGCUUUGACUUUACUCUUGCAUCAAGUGUUAGUUAAUAUGCCUUAGCUUAUAUUAUUUUCUCACUCACAUGUUGUAGCUACCAUGUAGUAGAGAACCAUACUCUUAUUUGGCAUUAGCCCCCGCCUAUGUUCUACUUGCUUUGCUAUCUUUGUUGUAGGCUUAAUUCUGUUUCUUUUUCUUUCCUUUUAGGUUGGCCACCAAGAAGGAAAGGAAUGGAGAAGCUUCAAAUGGGGCAACAAACAAGUUCACCCGCACAACCUUUUGAAGGAGCUCAUCAAUUGUAGCAACCCGUCCACCUUGCUUUCCUUUGCAUGCACCGAGGACGGUGCAAAUUUCUAAGUGUGGGAAGGUCGUCCGACCGACCUCCAUGGGUAACAACUUCCUUUUUCAACACCAAUUCUUAAUUUUUUGUCUUUGUCAGUUAGUUGUUGCAUUGCAUGAUAGAUUGCAUAUUAGUUCGAAUUUGUACAUAUUUUUACAACUUCCUUUUUAUGUUAGGACUACUUGGUUAGGGUGAUGAGUUCUUUUCCAGGAAACUGUUUUUAGGGCACCCUACCAAUUAAAAUUUUUUUGUGAUGAACUUGCUUGAAGAAUUUAUUUUGGAACAUGGUUUUUGAGCUAAGAACACAAGCAUGUGAGUUUUGAGCUUAAUUAUGUGGUUACAUCAUAUAACCACUUAUUUUCAUUUUUGUGUGCAUUAUUCUCUUUCUAUGAUUGUAAUAUUUGAUUUGUUUUAUUCUUUAUGUCCAUUAUUCCAUGUAUACAUGCAUUUAUAUGAUUGAGGCCAUAAUUUCAUAUAGCCCACUUACCCAAAUAGCCUACCUUUCAUCAACCAUUGUUAGCCAAUUUUGAGCCUAUUUAAUCCCUUUUGUUCUUAAUGUUAGCACAUCACCACUCAUAAGCGAAAAAUAAUAAAUGUCCUUAAUUUGGAUCUUUGAUUAGCUUAGGCUAGUGAGGGUGUGUAUCAUUUGGGUAUGGGAAACUUGGGACAUUGGUUGAGGGAAAAGUGUAAUUUUUUUUUGCUAAAAAUAUUGGGAAUUGGGUACAUAUUCAUGCAUUAUACGUAAAACCAUAUGCAUUGAUACGUUUGUAUAUACUUUAGAAAAAAAUGAUGAUAAAGAAAAAGAAAUAAAAAGGGGACAAAAAUGCCCCAAAGUAAAGUUCAAUGAAAAUCAAUGCAUAUGGAAUGUGAAUUAAAGAGAAUGCAUGAGUAUGUGAAAAAGUGGGAAUCAUGGGUAGCUAAGUUGUGUAUUAGAAUUGUAUAGGUUGUUAUAUGUGUUUGGAAAGAGCUUAGGCUAAUCAAAGAUACAAAUUUCAAGCUCACUUGACCACAUGCAUCCUAACCUUUACCCUAGCCCCAUUACAACCUAUGAAUAAGUCCUCAUGAUGAAUGUAUGCAUGCAUUGAAUAAUUGUUGCUUGUUAGAUGAAAAACAAAUCAUGGAAAGCAUGACUAGAAGAGAAUUGAGUGGAUCGACCCUAUACACUUGAGCGACUAGAGCGGAUACACUUCCAGUGAGGGUUCGAUGCUCAAUUCCUUGUUCCCUGCUUUCAUGAGCUUUCUUCUUACAAGUCUAUUUGAACUUCAUUGUGAUAUUUGAAUUGGUAGAGUUUGAGUCGUCAUAUGACCUUUGCCCCCUUGCUUAUAUAUGUUCUUGGAGAUUGGUUUGCUUUCAACCAAGUAGGUAGAACCAUUUUGCAUUUAGUUGCAUUCAUAUAGAUAGGUGCAAAUAGUUUAUUUGCAUUGAAUAAAUGUUCAUAUCCUUUUCUUGUCCUUCUUUAUAUAGAUAGGUGCAUAUAGUUUACUUUUCUUGCACUCUAGAUGUUUGAUAAAAUAUUUCCUCUAGUUUUUGAGUAGUUCUCUUAGUUUAUGAUGUUAAUUUCCCUUUUACGCUCUCUUUUAGGUUCAUGGAUGCUUAUGUUGGAUUUAGAUCCCUUUUAAUGAAAUUUAAUGUUUGAUGUUCUUUUAAUUGAUGAUUUAAGUUGUUGAUUUACUUUCCUUGUAAUUUGUAGUUGGUAGAUUUAUGAUUCUUGCAAUUUAUGACGUUUACUUUUCUUGCACUCUAGAUGUUUGAUAAAAUAUUUUCUCUAGUUUUUGAGUAGUUCUCUUGACUCUUGGCCUAGGCUAAGGGAAUUGAGUGACCUUGAGUCAUUGGGUCUCAUUGAAUUGGUGAUUUGAGAACCCUUGGUGAUCAAUUUGAUACUCAUUGAUGCCAACCCACUACUAAUCUAAUUAGUAGGUAGGUUGGGACUUAUGGGUUGAUGUGAUCAAGCCUAUUUGACGUACUUCAAGCCUAGGAGUAGAUAUUACGUACUUAAGGCUUUGGAAGUAGACUUAAUAGGUUGGCCUCUCAUAAUUAUCAAUAUAUGGUUUGUAGACAAGGAUGGUGAUCUCAAUUAUCUAUGUCUAGCCAAGAGCUCUUUUUCCUUUAUUUUAUUAGUUCUUGUCAUUUUACCUUCUUGUCAUUUACUUUUUUUUUGUCAAACUAUAAAAUCAAACCCCCCUUGCAUCUUCAUAGCCAAUAAUUGACCACUUCAUUGCAAUUCCUUGUGAGACGACCCAGAGUUCAAACACUUCAAUUAUAAAUUCAUUGGGGUUUGUACUUGUGACAACUCAAAUUUUUGAUGUGGGAAUUGUUUGUUGGUUUGGAGCUAUGCUUACAACGAAGUAAUUCUUUCUAUAAGAAGAAAUUCUAGACCGACACGACAAAACUCAUCUAUCACUAACCUGACAUGUCUUGGUAGCUAACAAUUGGACGGUCCCUGUGAGCGCGCAUCCCCAAGCUCAAAAUUAUAAUGGGGGAGAGCUCAUCCGGAAAGGUAUAAGUGUCCGGCCAUACUUAUGACGCAGGGUCAACAGAAUUUCGGAUCUGAACCUGGAGCAAGUGGAGCUGACCCACUGCAUCUACCCAAGGAAAUCCGAAACUCAAAUAAUUUCACAAAUCUUAAAUCAUUCUCGACUGGGAGCAAGUGGGGGCUAACUACUGUAUCUACCCCAGGAGACUCAAAUCAAACUCGGAGCAAGUGGAUCAAUGCCACUAUAUCUACCCAGGCAGGUAUAUAUAUAUAUAUACAUCAAUCAGAAUCAAUUUCAUUAUCCAUCUCAUCCUCAAUCUUAUCAUCGAUCUCAUUCUCAAACUCAUAUCAAUCUCAUUCUCAAUCUCAUAUUCAAUAGUAUUUAAACUCACUCAUCAUCAUCUUUCAUUAUCAUAUUUAAUUACCAUUAAUCAUCACAAUCACCCUCAUCAUACAUUACUCCUCGUUUUGUUUAUUAUCAUCUAAUUCACUAACUCAGCUCUUUAGGUUUCGUUCUCAACUCCUCUAUCCUUAAUUCCAUCGACUUUAAACUCGUAUAAGAAUUAUAAAGAUUUAGAAGACUCAAGAAAUGGUUGAAAUCUUAAAAACUCAUUUUUCAAAAAAUUGGGGUGGUCGCAUACGCAGCCCAUGUUCGCGUACGAACGAGUGUUGGUAGUGGCCAACACCCGCGUACGCAUGAUGAGUUCGGCGCACGCAUUACAUAUCAGAACUUGAAAAUUUCUAAUAUGUUACAGAAACCAAUUCUUUCAGCCUAAAGUUCAAACAUUCAUAACUUUUUCCAGAAAACUCAUUUUUCAACCAUUCUUGAACCGGUGGAAAGAUCGAUAACUUGAUAUUCAGAAAAAUUCAAUUUUGUAAAGUUUUUCCAACUCCGAGGGUCGAGUCAUGACCUACUGAAGUUAGCCAAAAAUCAAUUUGAACAAUAAUAUAUAAGUUACCAACCUUUCCAAAGAUUCACAAGCCUUAUCAGUUUCUACUCAAUAUAAUGAUUCCAAAACCUUCCCAAAUCACUCUUUCAUAAUCGACCAAACUCAAAUAAUCUAAUUCACGUCUCAACUCCACGAUCAAAACCAAUUAUCACUAAUCACAUCUCAAUCUCAAGCAUGACCUUCAGACUCACACUUCUAUUUCCAAACCCUUAAAUUUAUAAUUAAUUUACGUAUUAAUAUCCUUAGCUAGUUAUCCAAAUCUCUUCUCGUUGUCAUUAAAAUCACAUAAAUUAAAAUCAUAAAUCAACCAAAUCAUAAUGUUUGAAAUCAUUUAAAACAUUCCAAACUUUUCUCUUUUGACAAUUAAUUCAAACCAAACUCAUUUUCGAAAUUAUAACCAAAACAAUUACAAAUUUUUGGAAAAAUUUUGGCAGCACCUCCCUUAGAAACUGGAGUUUGCCACCCAUCACGGGUCCUCUCUUUUCAAUCCUCAACACAACCAAAACUAGCAACAAUCAAGGGUCACAGCAACGAUGACUUAUCUGACAUAAAUUGGGAUUCAAGCGAACUUGAUAUUAAAUGAAAUUAGAACAUAAUUGUUAAUAGAGUAUUGCGGUAAAUAGGAACGGAACCAAUUAGUCUUACCACGAGAAACGAAGCAGGACGAUACCGUAACCGUUUUUAUUUUAAUCAUACAAUUUCUGAAACUCAAACCUGGGAUAUUAACAUCACGAAAUUCUCAAUAAUUUGUAGUCGAAUAAUAGUGGUAAGGGUUUCAAGGCUAGAAUAACUCACUGCAGCUAAAGAGAAAUGAGGCAACAGAGCAGUAGCAGCUCCGGCAGCUACCUUGAGUGACGGCGGCAACCCGAAUCUCUACUGACAGCAACUGUAAUAACCAGGCAGUGACAAUAAUAUUUCUGGAAUUCAAAAGGACAGAAACCAAACUCAAAAACCUUACCGACAAUGGACCUCAGCUGCGCUAUUUUCUGACAACAGAGGCUCGGCCACCCUCCUCCAGCAGCGGCGACUGCACACGUGACAGGGACUGUGCGAGACUCGGCGACAGUGACGCGACGGCUUGCCUCCUUCCUUGCGUCGCACCGUCUAUGUCUCUCUCAAUCUCGGCAUCGCUCUCCCUUUCUCCUUCGAGCUCGACGGCAUCGGACCCAUGACGGUGGCGGCAUUGAGGAUAAAAGGCACAAACACAUCUGCGACGAUGCUCUCCUUUCUCUCUUCUCCUCUCCGCGUUGGCGCCAGCAAUGAUGGGCAGUUUGGCGGCGAUGAUGACACGAUGGCCCUACAGCAGUGAUGCCCGCCGGCGCCGUCCUCCCUCUCUUCUCCUCUGUCUCUGUUUCUCCCUCUUUCCCGCCGCUCUCUCUUUCCCCCUUCUUGCUCCCUUUUCUUUCUUUCUUUCUUUACGCUUUAGUUUGAGUUUUAAAAAUCUCUUCUUGAAGUUAGAAUACAAAUGUCUGGGAUAGAAUCGAUGAUCUACUCCGAAAAAUAGCUCAUCAAAUGUUAAAACUAAUUCCUACAACAUUUAUAUAAUUCACUUUUCUGGAGACAUAAUUGAAUGUAAACACAAAUAGUGGGUAUAAUAUUAAAAUUGAAUACAUCCAAGUGAGACCUAAUUGAGAAUGAAUACAUCCAAGUGAGAGUAAUUAAAAAAUAUAAUCUGAUUUGUUAGUAUAAUUGAUAGUAGGAUAACAUUAAAUCACUUUUAUAAACGUUAAGGAUAAAAAUAGGACGAUUUAAACGUUAGAGAUACAAAUAGGACUUACCCCAAAUAUUGGGGACAAAAACGAUACUUUACUCAUAAAAUUAAGUAAAAUUCUAAUUUAAUUAUCAAAACCUGAUUUAAUUUCUUUUCAUAAAAUAAUUUCUGAAAAUAAAGUCCUUGAUAAAUAAAUAAAUUGAAAUUAGCUCACAAUAAGAUUUUUCGAAAAUUCUGGGUCUUACAUUCUACCCACCUUAGAAAAAUUUUCGUCCUCAAAAAUUAAAGUAAUACUCGAGAUAUUGCAUAAUUUUAAUACUCUACUUUUGGAUACUUUAGAAAAGCAAGAAGUCUUGACAUAUAACUAUAUAUACAUAUAAAUUUUCAAAUACCGGAUAAGCCAUAAAACUUAGAUAUAAAGAAAGAGGGUNNNNNNNNNNNNNNNNNNNNNNNNNNNNNNNNNNNNNNNNNNNNNNNNNNNNNNNNNNNNNNNNNNNNNNNNNNNNNNNNNNNNNNNNNNNNNNNNNNNNNNNNNNNNNNNNNNNNNNNNNNNNNNNNNNNNNNNNNNNNNNNNNNNNNNNNNNNNNNNNNNNNNNNNNNNNNNNNNNNNNNNNNNNNNNNNNNNNNNNNNNNNNNNNNNNNNNNNNNNNNNNNNNNNNNNNNNNNNNNNNNNNNNNNNNNNNNNNNNNNNNNNNNNNNNNNNNNNNNNNNNNNNNNNNNNNNNNNNNNNNNNNNNNNNNNNNNNNNNNNNNNNNNNNNNNNNNNNNNNNNNNNNNNNNNNNNNNNNNNNNNNNNNNNNNNNNNNNNNNNNNNNNNNNNNNNNNNNNNNNNNNNNNNNNNNNNNNNNNNNNNNNNNNNNNNNNNNNNNNNNNNNNNNNNNNNNNNNNNNNNNNNNNNNNNNNNNNNNNNNNNNNNNNNNNNNNNNNNNNNNNNNNNNNNNNNNNNNNNNNNNNNNNNNNNNNNNNNNNNNNNNNNNNNNNNNNNNNNNNNNNNNNNNNNNNNNNNNNNNNNNNNNNNNNNNNNNNNNNNNNNNNNNNNNNNNNNNNNNNNNNNNNNNNNNNNNNNNNNNNNNNNNNNNNNNNNNNNNNNNNNNNNNNNNNNNNNNNNNNNNNNNNNNNNNNNNNNNNNNNNNNNNNNNNNNNNNNNNNNNNNNNNNNNNNNNNNNNNNNNNNNNNNNNNNNNNNNNNNNNNNNNNNNNNNNNNNNNNNNNNNNNNNNNNNNNNNNNNNNNNNNNNNNNNNNNNNNNNNNNNNNNNNNNNNNNNNNNNNNNNNNNNNNNNNNNNNNNNNNNNNNNNNNNNNNNNNNNNNNNNNNNNNNNNNNNNNNNNNNNNNNNNNNNNNNNNNNNNNNNNNNNNNNNNNNNNNNNNNNNNNNNNNNNNNNNNNNNNNNNNNNNNAACAAAGAGGUUACGUAGUGUCAAGACUUUACUAAAGCUUGAAGAAAUGCCAUAAGGUGUAAAUGUUCAAGGUGUGUGUUUGCAAAACAAUGUGGUCAAUAGGCCAACAUUCUAGUUUCCUUAACUAAUCAUGAGGUCUCAACGUCCCACACUUUAACAUAGCUCACCAUCACAAUUCUCAACUAUACUUUAUCGAACGAUUCAUCCGAAAGUUCUCAACCUCAUUAAUCACUUCUCAAACCCAUUACCAAUCACAAGCCUAAUACCAACAAAACUCUUUCGCGUAAAUCCAAGAUCCACAACAUCCUGUGGCAUCACACACUUACAAGUUUCACCUUUUGCAUUCACCAACCGUGUCUUAAGAACUAACAUAUCGCUUGUUGUAUUUAAAGACCACACGUGACACUAAAAUAAAUCUCGAGUUUACUUAAAAAGACACAAGACUUUAGAAAGGAAAGGCAAGUGUCAAGGACAAUACUCAUAAAUAUUUGAAAGAAUGAAUGCAAUUACAGGUAAACAAGGAUGCACAAGCAAUGAAGUUUGCUAGAAAGAAAUCAAUUGACAACUUCAAGGAUAACUCUUAAAUCAAAGAAAUUUAAUAAGAUCAAUAAGAAGAAAAACAAAACAUUAGUUUGAAACAUAUUCAAGCCGAGUCAAAGAAGUAUGAGAUUUUAUAGAAGAGGAAUGAUUAAAGACUAUAGUGACGCAUUACUACGGAACAACUUCAAAUGAUCACGAGGGUUUCAUAGUUCGUGGAGGAAUAUGGAAUCAAUAGCCGUGUUGUAAGUGUCUUAACAUAGUCAGAAGUGUAAGCAGAUCAGGAUAUGCGUAAGAUACAAAUGGUAAAGCAAAGAAAUUUAAAUUACAUCUCAAGAAAAAGAGAAGGAUAAACGACACAUCAAAUUAAAUGGCACGAUUUAGAACGCAUAAGCCAAUACCGCAUAAUUAAAAGAAGCACUUUACAUUUUCAAGGAUUCAAGGGUCAGUGUCGUACCAAAACAAUUUCAAUGUCAUGUCAAAGAAUACAAGAUUCAUGAAGAGAAGUAUAAUGACAAGGAUAGACGUUAUUAAAGAUUCAAACAGUAGUUUACAAAUAAGAGGCCGACGUAUGGAGAGAUUAAAGAACUUUAAUAGAGAUGAUUAGAAGAAAAUGGUGCAUUCAUUAGAAUUGAAUUCAAACUGAAUUUAAAGUACAAGAUUUACAAUAAGAGAGUGACCAGAGUCAAGGACGUCAUUUACAAAAUUCAAGAGAAUGUUUAGGAACACAAUUGAAUGAAAUAUCCACAAAGAAUAGAUCAACUUAAGAGGAAGAUCAUCUUACCUAGUAAAAAGAGAAGAUAUGAAAUAAACAAUUGAGGAAAUUUAACAAAGUAUAGAGGUUUGCGUUACCUCAAAAUAUAUUCAGGUUGAAAUAAGUUACGUGAGGGUUGUAAAAUGAAGGUCGUUUAGAAUAAAAGCAAAAUCUUCCUUCAAGAAACUUAGAGUAUACUUAGGUACAUGACCAAACAAAGAUAUGCAUAAAUUGUAAUAGGGUCGGAAGAAAAGAAGAAGUUGUUUUACAUCAAAAUGAUUUCUAAGGUAAAGAUAGAAUAUGUAAAGUUUAAAAGAUGGAAUUUAAUUGGACUAAGAACCAAAAGUAAUUUCUCAAGAGUCUUAAAAGGUACUUAGGUGUUUAGUCAAUUAGAGGUACGUAAUGAAAUUGCGGUAAAGUUGAAAAGAAUUCAAAUUUUGUUUCAAAGGAGAAUUUGAGAUAAAGUCUCAGAAUACAUAAGCUCUCAAAAUUCAUAUGAGUAAGGGCAUGCUAGAUUCAAAACAUCUUCAUUAAAUUUAAAGAAUGACUCUGGAUAUAAUCAAGCAAGAGAAGAUUGAUUGAAAAUUUCUUCAAAGAGAAUCCAAAACUUCUUUAAAAAGGUCUAAAACCAAAAUUUUGAAUGUAUUAUUGAAAUCGCAACCUCAUAAAGAUAUUAAAAAAGAUUGAGAAAUGCAAGGAAGGAAAUUCAUUCACAUUUCAAGAAAGAAACUUAAAUCAAGUAGUUCAAACAGAAUUCAAAAGGCAUGACAGAUCGAACAAGUUCUCAGCUGAUCUAAAUGAAUACAAAACUCAUAAGGAAAAACAACUCAGCCAACAGCAAAAUCUCAAAGAUUUCAAUGAUCACUUUGAUGCAUCAAACAAGUUCAAAGCACAUCAAAGAGUACAUGAGUCAAGAAAAAGAGUUUAAACAACAUAAGGCAGAUAUCCAAGGAAUGUAAGCAGACAUAUGCAGUCAACAUCAAACGAGUAUGCAUAUGCACAAGGAACAGGGUUUGAGAAUAAUCAGUUUACUUUUCAAAAAAGAGAUCUCAAACAGGAAUUUCAAAGCAAACCAUGAAAGAACACGUCACAAGUCAUUAGCAAAAUUUCAAGACACAUAACAGAGUAACCUCGAGAAUUAACUCCUAACAUUCCCAAACCCGUAAACCGCAUCAUUUAUUAAUCCUAUUUUAUCUAUGAUAACCCAUUAACUUCUCGUACACAUAAACCAUCAACAUUAAGUUGGCCAGACUUAACAUCAGCAGAUAUGCAACGGUAAGCUAAUAGCGUUAAUCAAUAGACAGUCAUGUGCAUAAAGUUCUAACUCUCGUCAUCAGGACAAGACCUAUAACAUGACAGAUACUCAGUGUAUGCAACGAAGUAUAGUCAGUCCACUCCCAAGCUCUAAUCAGGAUGAACUACUCUGAUAUCAUAAUGUAACUCCUUUACUUUUAGCACCUCAUGAUCGCACUAAAGGUUCAGGCGUUACUUACCUCUAAUCUAUUAAUUUCAUAUUAUAAUUAUUUAAUAUUGAGCUUUCGCGAAUAAAAACCGAAUCCUUAGUUACGAAAUCAAAAAGCCUUUACUUUAAUUCACUUAAUCACACAAUUAUAUCCACAUAAUAAUAAAUACAUAGAAUUAUUCAAAACUCAAAAUACAAGUCGUGCCCCUCUAAAAUCUCAAAAUGACAAUUGACGAGGGAUAAAAUCACAACUAAACCAUCAAACAGAAAAUAUAACAUAUAUAUAAAUCUUGUAGAUCGGUUGCGGCUUUGCGCCAACGCUUUCUGAACCUGUUACUGAAAAGAAAUCAUGUAGGGGGUGAGAACAUCGUCCUCACAGGUUCUUAGUAGGGACGGGAAUAUCAUCAAAGCAAAGAAAUACUUGCAAAUAGAAUAAUUUUCAUUACAAAAACAGAUUACCUUUGAAAUAAUCUUUUGGAAAAGUUUUGCAAAAAAUCUUACUUUAAAAGGUCGUAAAGAAACUCUUUUAAUUUACAAGCCCAGCAGGUGAAUAGUUUAAAGGACAAAAGAACCAAAGACAUGCCUGAGGGCUUUCAGCCCCAUGACUUACCCCACUCAAAUCCAAAACUGGGUAUAACUACAACAUACACACUUAAGCUUUUAUCCAACAUUCUACUCAGCCUAUCUCUUUUCAUUUACACAGUCUAUCCGCAUAUAACUCAGUAAUUCAGUAUUAAAACUCAGUUUUCAACAAACAUCCCAUCAUCAACAUCAAGAAUAACCCUCAGCGUCACCAUAGCUAGCAUGAGGGAUCUCUCAGUUGUCAAACACAGACAAGACAAAGCAAAGCAUACACAAUUAGAUAGUACAGAUAAAGCAAUUAGGUCAAUUAGCAGAUAGAUACAAUUAUUCAAUUAGGUAAACCCACAAACAAGAGUCACCCAAAUAAUACACACAAAUGCAAAUGAUGCAUGUCUGCCCUAUGGCUAAUGAUAUCAUCUGUCGGUUAUAUAGCCAACCCGACAUGUCCUGGUAGUUAACCAUUGGACAUUCCCUGCAAGCACACAUCCUCAAGCUCAAAAUCAUAACCAUUCAAUAUCUAUAUAUCCAUGGGGGAGAGCUCAUCCGGAAAGGAAUAAGUGUCUGGUCACACUUACGACGCAGGAUCAACAGAAUCUCGGAUCUCAACUUGGAGCAAGUGGAGCCGGCCCACUGCAUCUACCCAAGAAAAUCCUAAAUCNNNNNNNNNNNNNNNNNNNNNNNNNNNNNNNNNNNNNNNNNNNNNNNNNNNNNNNNNNNNNNNNNNNNNNNNNNNNNNNNNNNNNNNNNNNNNNNNNNNNNNNNNNNNNNNNNNNNNNNNNNNNNNNNNNNNNNNNNNNNNNNNNNNNNNNNNNNNNNNNNNNNNNNNNNNNNNNNNNNNNNNNNNNNNNNNNNNNNNNNNNNNNNNNNNNNNNNNNNNNNNNNNNNNNNNNNNNNNNNNNNNNNNNNNNNNNNNNNNNNNNNNNNNNNNNNNNNNNNNNNNNNNNNNNNNNNNNNNNNNNNNNNNNNNNNNNNNNNNNNNNNNNNNNNNNNNNNNNNNNNNNNNNNNNNNNNNNNNNNNNNNNNNNNNNNNNNNNNNNNNNNNNNNNNNNNNNNNNNNNNNNNNNNNNNNNNNNNNNNNNNNNNNNNNNNNNNNNNNNNNNNNNNNNAUAUAUAUAUAUAUCCAUGGGGGAGAGCUCAUCCGGAAAGGUAUAAGUCUGGCCACAUUUACAACACAGGGUCAACAGGAUUUCGGAUCUCAACCUGGAGCAAGUGGUGCCGACCCAUUGCAUCUGCCCAAGGAAAUCCAAAACUUAGAUAGUUUCACAAAUCUCAAAUCAUUCUCAACUGGGAGCAAGUGGAUCAAUGCCACUGCAUCUACCCAGGCAGGUAUAUAUAUACAUACAUCAAUCAGAAUCAAUUUCAUUAUCCAUUUCAUCCUCAAUCUUAUCAUCGAUCUCAUUCUCAAACUUAUAUCAAUCUCAUUCUCAAUCUCAUAUUCAAUAGUAUUUAAACUCACUCAUAAUCAUCUUUCAUUAUCAUAUUUAAUUACCAUUCAUCAUCACAAUCACCCUCAUCAUAGAUUACUCCUCGUUUUGUUCAUUAUCAUCUAAUUCACUAACUUAGCUCUUUAGGUUUUGUUCUCAACUCCUCUAUCCUUAAUUCCAUCGACAUCAAACUCGUAUAAGAAUUAUAAAGAUUUAGAAGACUCGAGAAAUGGUUGAAAGCUUAAAAACUCAUUUUUCAAAAAAUUGUGGUGGUCGCGUACGUAACCCAUGUUCGCAUACGAACGAGUGUUGGCAGUGGCCAACACCCGCGUACGCACGAUGAGUUCUGCGCACGCAUUACAUAUCAAAACUUGAAAAAUUCUGAUAUGUUGCAGAAACCAAUUCUUUCAGCCCAAAGUUCAAACCUUCAUAACUUUUUCCAGAAAACUCAUUUUUCAACCAUUCUUGAACCGUUAGAAAGAUCGAUAACUUGAUAUUCAGAAAAAUCAAAUUUUGUAAAGUUUUUCCAACUCCGAGGGUCGAGUCAUAACCUGCUGAAGUUAGCCAAAAAUCAAUUUGAACAAUAUAUAAGUUACCAACCUUUCCAAAGAUUCACAAGCCUUAUCAGUUUCUACUCAAUAUAAUGAUUUCCAAAACCUUCCCAAAUCACUCUUUCAUAAUCGACCAAACUCAAAUCAUCCAAUUCACGUCUCAACUCCUCAAUCAAAACUAAUUAUCACUAAUCACAUCUCAUUCUCAAGCAUGACCUUCAAACUCACACUUCUAUUCCCAAACCCUUAAAUUUAUAAUUAAUUUACGUAUUAAUAUCCUUAGCUAGUUAUCUAAAUCUCUUCUCGUUGUCAUUAAAAUCACAUAAAUUAAAAUCAUAAAUCAACCAAAUCAUAAAAAUCCGAUUCUCUUUGAAAUCAUUUAAAACAUUCAAAACUUGUCUCUUUGACAAUUAAUUCAAACCAAACUCAUUUUCGAAAUCAUAACUAAAACAACUCCAAAUUCUUAGAAAAAUUUUGGCAACACCUCCCUUAAAAACUGGAGUUUGCCGCCCAUCACAGGUCCCCUCUUUUCAAUCCUCAACACAACCAAAACCAGCCUCUCAAUUUAACAUUUCCAAAUCCGUUAUUCAAAACCAUUCAUUAUCAUUUCAAUAUAAAAUCCAAAAAUCAACGUAUUAAAUCAAUUUUACCAGAAACUCAGAAAUCAACCAAUAAACAACAAACAUAACCUUUCAAUCACAGUAGAAAAUCAUUUACAUCACAGGCAUUCAUCUGCUAAACUUAUAAGGUAUUCAAAGCCCAAAACAUUUUUAUUUUAAAACAAACCCCCUACCUCAAAAGUCGAACCCCUUUUUAUUCUUAACUUGCGGCAGUGACCUCAUUGACUUUCAGGCAAUAUCAACAGCGACAAUCAAGGUUCACAGCAACGACAACUUAUCUGACAUAAACUGGGAUUCAAGUGAAAUGGAUAUUAAAUGAAAUUAGAACAUAAUUGUUAAUAGAGUAUUAUGGUAAAUAGGAACGGAACCAAUUAGUCUCACCACGAGAAACGAAGCAGGACGAUAUCGCAGCAGUUUUUAUUUUAAUCAUACAAUUUUCAAAACUCGACCUCGGGAUAUUAACAUCACGAAAUUCUCAAUAAUUUGUAGCCGAAUAAUAGAGGUAAGGUUUUCAAGACUAGAAUAACUCACUGCAGCUAAAGAGAAAUGAGGCAACAGAGCGGUAGCAACUCCAGCAGCUACCUUGAAUGACGGCGGCAGCCUGAAUCUCUACUGAUAGCAACUGUAACAACCAGGCAGCGACAAUAAUGUUUCCAGAAUUCAAAAGGACAGAAACCAAAUUCAAAAACCUUACCGACAAUGGACCUCAGCUACCACAGCACUUUUUUCCGGUGACGGAGCACGCGACGGUGACGGCGCGAGACUCGGCGACGGUGACGCGAUGGCUCGCCUCCUUCCUCGCGUCGCAUCGUCUCUGUCUCUCUCAAUCUCGGUGUUGCUCUCCCUUUCUCCUUCGAUCUCGACGGCAUCGGACCCACAGCGACGGCGGCAGCGAGGAUAAAUGGCGCAAACACAGCACCGACAACGCUCUCCUUUCUCUCUUCUCCUCUCCACGUUGGCGCCAGUAACGAUGGGCAGCUGGGCGGCGACGACGACACGACGACAGUGAUGUCUGCCGACGCCGUCCUCCCUCUCUUCUCCUCUGUCUCUGUUUCUCCCUCUUUCCCGCCGCUCUCUCUUUCCCCCUUCUUGCUCCCUUUUCUUUCUUUCUUUCUUUCCUGAAGGGUGACGGCUAGGGUUAAAGGGUUAGGGUUUUGUCGGUUUGAUUUUAGGGUUAUGGUUUUAUUUGGAGAAAAUGUGAAAUUAGGGAUAUUAGAAAAAUAUAAUUAAAUUAGGGUUAUGGUUUUAUUUGGAAAAAUUGGAAUUUAGGUAUUUUUAAUAAAACUAGGGAUAUUGUAUUAAAUUUAAAUCUAAUUUAAUCUCUAAAUAUUAUUUUAAAAAAUAUUAUUUAAUUAUUAAUUUGCUAAUUAACUCUCAAUCAAGUAUUCUAAUUUAAAAUAUAAGAUAAUAUAAUUUUUCCGAAAAUUCUGGGUCUUACAGAUGACACUAGUAAUAUGGACAACUCCGUCCAAAUGAUAAAGAUGGUCUGGGAUAUCUCUUAUUAGCAAAGUAUUUGAAUGUUGGAGUCUUUGGGCUGAGGUAUCUCUGGAAUUUGGUGGGAUUGAAUUUUUGAAUUGUAGUUCAAAUGAGCUAAAAUCAAACUCUAUUUAUAGCAAAACUAUUAGUAAAUCGAAUGAGACUCAUUCGAAUUACGAUGGGCGCACAUUGUAUGUAAUUUGAAGCUGCCUAAAUUGAAUUACUAUGUGUAGCAAACUAUGGAUAAAUCGAAACAGGUUGUUUCGAAUUAUUGUGGGCGUACGUGCAUGGGCAAAUCGACCUAUACUACUUCGAUUUACUAGCUGAAUCACGUGCAUGCAUAAAUCAAUACAAUGUGAUUUGAUUUACUAUGAUACGUUACAUGCAUGCAUAAUUCGAUUCACCCUGCUUCGAUUUGCAUGUUUUCAACGUAAUUCGAUUUGGGCUGGUUCGAUUUAGUAGGAAAAUUUGUAAAUCGAACACGCCUCAUUCGAUAUAUAUAGAUACACCCAUUUGGUAGAUCAACGUAACGUUUUUUGGUUUGGGUGAUGAUUUGUGUAAUAUAGGGUUGCAUUUGGUUUAUUUAUGCAUUUUACCCUAUUUUUAAAUAGUGAAUAAUAUGAAUAAAUAGUAACAAGUACGUAUAUAUAAAUAGUAAUAUACGGUAAUUGUAAAUAGUAAAAUAUAAUAUCUGUAAAUAGUAAAAUACAGUAUCUAUAAAUAGUAAAAUAUGGUAUAGCAACAUAUAGAAAAUGACAGUUUGGCAAAAUAUUAGUAUUGACAGAAAAUAACUACAAACAUAGUGUCUACUCUUAGAUUGAUUCUAAUGAAUGGACGGUUAUUUUAUGUAUCAACUAUUUUUUGGUCGGUAUAGUUAUAGCAGUAACUGAAGUUUCACAAAAGUAAAGAUAUUUUAAUCUUUGACAGAAACUCUUCUAAAAAACUUUAAGAGAAAGAAAAUAACAUUAAGAGAAAGAAAAUAACAUGUGUAUGUGUGUGGUACGAAGAAUUGAGAGAGAGAAAUGGGUCCAUACAGGGGAGGGGGAGGUGCUGUUCGUAGAGGAAGAAGAAAAGAAAUUUAAUAAAAUAUUUGAUGCACGGGCACCGGUUGCCAUGAGUCCGCGAAUGGUAAUACCUCACCAAUAGAGAGUGUAGGGCAAGGCGAGUCCAGCCUUCACAGCCUUGGCAAUGACGUGCAGGAGCAUGACGCCGCUCUCCACUGUGAUGGUCUUGGCCUCUGCAUCGACCUUGAGUACCUUGUUGAGACUGUUGGUGCUUAUGAGCAAGCUAUCUUUGCCGUCCAGGCAUGCCAGCUUGGGGAUAUGCUGUGGGAGAGUAGCGGGUGGCGGCUUUCAUCUUUCUGUUAUUCUUGGUGGCUGUGGCCACUAUGGAUAUGAGCUUUUCUCUGUGCUUAGGUACUUCAUCUCUCUUGCUUCGCAGAUUCUUCUAUUAGGGAAUAUGCCAAUGAAGUUGGUUAUCGUGCAGUUUAUGUUCUUUGAUGUGCACUUUACUAGGUCCUCUAGAGGGCUUGAUAUCACUCCGUUAUUCACACAUAGGACCAUUAUUACAAAGAUGACAACAUGAUUGGAUUUCAUCUUUCUAGAGUACAUCAUUGUAUUUUGUACUUUGUGAUGAUGCUAUCUAGCUAGGUUAUUAUUGUUGAACUCUGAUGAUCUACAUUUAUGUACUACUAGAUAAUCAACUAGGGUAUUAGCCAACUACAAACAAGUAUUAGUUGGGCUGCAAAAAAGAUCAGAAAACACAAAAUAUGUAAUCCAUCCCAAAAUGUUAAUUUUACUACCACAAUAAAAAAACAAAAACCAUCUAAAACCCUAAUCACUUCACUUCACUCUCCCACAUCUUUCUUCCAAAAAAAAGCCUCCUUCCGCAGCGCUUUCCUCCGCCGUGCAUGCACUUCCUUCUGCCGUGUGUGUGCUUCCCUCUACCGCGCCCUUGCUUCUCUCCGCCGUGCAUUCGCUUUCCUCCACUGUGCCUUUGCUUCCUUCCGCCGCAUUGUUGCCCCUCUUCCGCGUGUCUCUCUCUGACGUGGUCAGCCUCUUCGCCUUGCUCAUCUUCCUUUACACAUAAUUAUCAAUGACAGAACCUUAUUUUUUGGAGGUUUUGGAUGUUGACUUUUCAGAGUUUUUAGAUGUUGAUGAUUGUUAUGUUUGAUUUUUUGGAUAUUUCUUGAUUUAAGAAAAAAAAUCCAAAACAAAAAAAAGCAUCCAAAAUAUAAUAAAAGAAACAUAUAAAACUAAAUAAAAAGAAACAUCUAAAAUUAUUAUAGAAAGAAUAUUUAAAACCUAACAAAAAGAAACAUUUGAAAUGUAGCAAAAAGAAAUAUCUAAAAUCAUUGUAUAAGAACUUCCAAAGAUCCGGAGAAGAAGUCGUGGAGGUAGGCGUAGAGAGAGACGCAGAGAGAAAUAAGAAGAGGAAGAAGAAGUGACAUGGAAGGAGAGAAGAGAGAUGAACGGGGUGGACGGGCAUGUGGUUUUUUAGCGUAAAAUCAAUUUUUAAAAUUUUAAAACUGUAAUUUUUUGAAAAAUUAACUGCUUAGUUACAUAUAGAGUUGGUUCGAUAGACUUUUUCUUUUUUGACUAAUAUGGAGAGAAUGGAACCAUGGAACCAAAGAAUAUAUUAUAUUAAAGGAUUUUUUCUGAAAUAAAAUAAAAAAAUUAUUAUUUUUUCAAACACGAUUUUUGAACUUUAAUUCUCCAAAUACGAUUUUUUUUAGAGCAAGUUCGCUGCAUCCGACGAACUCUAUAAAAAUUAUAAAGUUCGUCUUACCCUCUCCCGAACUCCAUUCAAAUUUAUAGAGUUCGCCUUACCCUCCCCCGAACUCCAUUCAAAUUUUUAAAAAGCUUUUAAUCCAUAUCGUCGUCUCUAAAAUAGUAUAUAGAUCUCCAAACAGUAUAUAAGAGUACACAAAAAUACACCGACAACAAACAUGGCUUCUUCAAGGAUUUUUUUUAAUUAUAAAUUUAAAAAAAUAAGCCAUAUUUAACAAUGAUAAAUAUAUCAGAUUGAGUUUAGAAAGUUAACAAUGGUAACUAUUAUCAUCAUCUUCACAUUGGUUGCCAUUGCCACCAACAAUGUUGAAGAAAUCAUACUUGUUGUCUGUGUAUUUUUGUGUACUCCUCUAUAUACUGCUUGGAGAUCUAUAUACUAUUUUGGAGACGAUAAUAUCGAUUAAAAGCGUGGGUUUUUAAAAAUUUGAAUGGAGUUCGGAAGAGGGUAAGGCGAACUCUAUAAAUUUAAAUGGAGUUCGGAGAAGGGCAAGGCAAACUUGCUCUAAAAAAAAUCGUAUUUAAAAAAAUUAAAAUUUAAAAAUCAUAUUUGGAGAAGUAAUAAUUUUUUUUAUUUUAUUUCAAAAAAAAAUCCAUUAUAUUUGAGUAAUGUUAUAUGGUUAGUAUGUUUUAUUUUUUUUAUCGACAAUUACUUAAUAAUAUUUAAAAAUAUUAGUUAAAAGAAUAAUAAUAAAUUGUUAGACUAAAAAUAUUAANNNNNNNNNNNNNNNNNNNNNNNNNNNNNNNNNNNNNNNNNNNNNNNNNNNNNNNNNNNNNNNNNNNNNNNNNNNNNNNNNNNNNNNNNNNNNNNNNNNNNNNNNNNNNNNNNNNNNNNNNNNNNNNNNNNNNNNNNNNAUUCUAACUGUUUUUUUUUUAUCUCCUUAAUAUUAUCAUUAUAAAAAAUAUUAAACUCCUAAUAUUUGUGAACAUUGAUUUUCUCGUUAAGUAGCUUGUAAUUAAACUUUUGCAAAUUUACCAGCUAGUUUUAUGUACCAAAUUGAACGAACUAAUUACUUGUAAAUAUGAAUAGGAUUACAGUAGGAUAAAAAACUUCAUUAAUUCAAAUAAAAUUUCAAGUUUACUAUUUUAGUCAAAAUUUAAUCUUUCAAUAAUAGUAGUAUCAAAAUUUCUAAAUCCACAAAUAAACACUUUUUAAGUUUGAACUAAAUUCACAUAAUUUUUACCGUUUUUUUUUUUCUCUCAACAAUCAUCUUGUGUUUUGUGUAUGGUUUAUUUUUUCAAUUAAAUAGGGUAAAAAAGAGAAAAUAGAUAAAUGAAAAAUGAGUAACAUGAAAAACUAAACCUAAUUAACAAUAGAAAAAAAUAUAGAGAACUAAUUAGCCAACAUUAAUAUUUAUAUUUAUAAUUUAGGAUUUAAUUAUAAAUUUAAAGAUUAAUGAUAAUAGAAUUGGUAGCUAAAUAGAUAGUCACAGCAAUGUAAUUGCACUCAACGAUUCAAUUUAGCAAUGGGUAAGCCUAAACCCUUAUUGUUGCGUGCUGUUACCAAAUUCAAUUUGCAUUGUCCCUGCCCGCCCCAUCAGGUGCUGCAGAGAAACAGAGUAUUCCAAGCCAGACAGCCUUUUAAUUCAGCCUUCAUUCAAUUUUUUACUCUAAUAAUAUUAUUGAAUUAAUUUUUUAAUUAAAUCAUUAAAGUUGUUAUUUUUGUAAUUUUAUUUUUAUUUUUUCUUUCUCAAUUUACCGUGCAUAUAUCGUCAUCAUUGUUGUAUUAUUACUGUAUUUUCGCCGUCAUCACUUUUUUUUAUUAAAACAAAGCACAUCUUUCUUUUUUCAUUGAUAGUUGCAUUUGCAUAUCUUCUUUUUUACUAAUAAACAUUAGUUUUUUUCGUAUUAUAAUUUAAUUAAAAUAAAAUAAAACAAAAUGACGAAUUAAUAUAUACAUAGAUUCUCCAUNNNNNNNNNNNNNNNNNNNNNNNNNNNNNUAUAAUACAUCAAAUUUAAUAACAAAUCUAAAAUAAUAUGAUAGUAUAUAAAAUAUUUUUUGAACACCUUCAAAACUCAUACAAACUCAUGGUUAUAAUUUUUAUUAUUAAAUUUUUGAGAAUACUACAUGACUAGCAAAUAUUAUUAUUUUUUGCCAGUAAUAAUGUGUAUCUAGCUAUAUUUACAAAUAUUUUGCACAUAACAAAUAUAUAAUUUGUAUCUAUAUUUAUUAUAAUUUUGCACACAUAAAUCAAUACAAUUUAUAUCUAAAUUUUUUUUGAAUUUACACACAUAAAUUAAUAAAAUUUAUUUAUUAAAAAUAAUUUAGUAUUUAUACUAAUUAAAUGAUGACAAAAAAAUACUAAAAAUUGUUAGCUCCAAGAAUUUUUCUAAAUCUUUAUUAUUACACAUCUUUUUUUUUCCAAAGAUAAUAGGUUAUAUUUCAUUAAUUAUUAAAAAAUGAAAUACAAAGAUAUCCAAAAGUAGAACAGCAUAAUAAAAUGUGGGGAUUUCCCAAAAACACUACAUUGAAGGUAUUCAUCCAAUGGUGCGUGAUCGAAAAACGAAAAAAAAAUCUUAAAGAAGAAAUAAUGAUAAAUCAAAUUGAAUGCAACUAAGAGCUUGUCUCAUGGAGAUUACGACCUAAACUGGGAGUUCUUUGGAUUUCACGAAGUAACUUGACAGAGCUUGCUAGAAUGGCAGACAGCAUAGAAGUAGAACCUUCAAAAAUCAACUGGUUGCGAGCUUUCCAGCAAUUCCAGCAAAUGAUGGCAAGCAAUUGAGGAUUACGGUCAGCAUUCUUCAACGGGUUAAGUAUCUCUGUUGAUGCAGUCCACCAUGUCCAAAAGUCGUUAGAACUCUGAGGGGGAAGACAGUCACGAAGAUAACUCUGAGACCAUACGUCUUUAAUUCUAGAGCAAUCGAUCAGACAAUGAGUGACUGUUUCCGUUGCUUCAUGACAGCAAGGGCAUAUUGGUGAUAUAGAUGGGAUGCGGUGAUGAAUCUGAGCAAGCACCGGAAGUCGGCCAUGGAGAGUUUUUCAGAUAAAUAGCUUAAUUUUGUGAGGCAAGUUCAACUUCCAUAGAUCAAUCUACGGCUUUUUCUGCUGCAUAUAAUUAGGGCAAAGCUCCAGAGGCGGAUGGUAAAAUAAAUAGCCAAUUCUAUAACCUGAAGCUGUAUCAUAUUGCUUAGAUUUGUUCAAAUCUCAUUGCAAUUUGUCCCUACUCUGCUGAAUUUUAACUGACAAAAUCCUGUUUGCAACGUCUUGGGGAAAUAAUUCUUGAAUGAGAUUCUGAUUCCAAUUUCUAUCUUCAGUAAUUAGAUCUUUAACUCUUGGAACCAACUCAGAAAUAGCCUGUCUAUUUGGCAUGUCAGAAAUCAUUAAAGGAUACGGAGGAGGCAGCCAAGGAUCCUCAAAGGUUCGGAUAUUCUCACCAGUACCCACAACUCAAUUAAGACCUUUUUCAACAAUCUUUCGGCCUUCCAGUAUGCUCCUCCAUCCCCAAGAAGGUAAGACUCCAAUUUCUGCCGUUAUAGCAUUACCAUUGCUAAAGUAUUUACCUCUUAAGAUUUUGGAUAAUAAGGAAGUAGGCUGUGUUACAAGUUGCCAAAACUGUUUGCCUAAAAGUGCCAGAUUUUGGAUUCUGAGAUCUUUAAAUCCAAGGCCUCCUUCUUUUCGUGGGCGAGUCAUAGUGUCCCAGCUAAUCCAAGCCAUCCUCCUUUCAGAACCUUUUUGUCCCCACCAUAACUGAGAAAGUAGAGAGUGAAUUUCCGAAAUUAAACCAUCAGGCAACUUAAAGCAAGACAAUAUAUAAAUAGGAAUAGCUUCUCCCACUGCCUUAAGCAAUACGUGUCUACCACCUGACGAAAGAAGAUUGCGCUUCCAUCCUUGGAUUCUUUUCCAAACCUUUUCUUUGAUCAUACUAAAAGAAGCCUUUUUCGAUUUAGAGACUGUAGAAGGCAAACCAAGGUAUUUAUCCUGAGCCCCAAUAUGAUUAAUAUUCAUAGAGUUAGCCAGUAGUGUACGAGUAGUGGACGGAGUGUUGUGGCUAAAGAAUACAGCAGAUUAUUAAGAUUUACCCUCUGGCCACUGAUGCUUUCAUAAGAAUUCAAUAAAUGCAAGAUAUUUGAACAUGCUUCAGGAUUAGCCUUACAGAAUAAAAUGGAAUCAUCAGCAAACAGGAGGUGGUUGACCUUGGGACAUCGCAUAUGUAUCUGAAGACCCUGAAUUAGUCUGUUUUGUUCUGCCUUGUGUAACAAGAAGGAGAAACCUUCUGCACAAAAAAGAAAAAGAUAGGGGGAUAGAGGAUCUCCUUGUCGAAUACCUCUAUUUGGUUUGAAGAAACCAUAAGGUUGUCCUUCCACAAUAACAGAAUAAGAAACAGUUGUCACUAAUUCUCGAAUCCACAUGAUCCAUCGGGAGUCAAAACCAAACUUCUCCAAUAUAAACCAAAGAAAGUGUCAUUCCACCCUAUCAUAUGCCUUACUCAUAUCUAAUUUUAGCGCCAUUUUAUUUUCGAGACCCCUUUUUGUUCUUCAAGUAAUGCAUACACUCGUGAGCAAUUAGGAUAUUAUCAGAGAUUAAUCUGCCUUUAAUAAAAGCACUCUGCGUAGGGCUAAUUAGUCUAUUCAUCAUACCCUGAAGCCUAUGUACAAAUACUUUGGAGAUAAUCUUGUAAAAGACUGAAGAUAGACUUAUUGGUUUUAUCUGAGUCAUAUCUUUAGCAUCAGAAAUCUUGGGAAUAAGACAGAUCUGAGUGUGGUUAAAACCCUUCAAGAUUCUACCCCCAGAAAAGAAGCUCUUAACUGCUCAAAAUACAUCACCACUAAGUAUGUUCCAGAAGCUUUGAAAAAAUUUUGCUGUCAUACCAUCAUCUCCUGGAGCACUUUGAGGAUGAAUGCUAAAUGUUGUGCGUUUCACUUCCUCCAUAGUCACUGAUCUUUGAAGCCUACGGUUCAUGUGAGCUGUAACCUUAGGUUCAAAAUCAAUAAACAGAGGUUCAGGGUUCUCAUGACAAGUGGAGGAAAAGAUGUCCUUGAAAUAAGAUUCAGCCACAGAAGCAAUACCAACAUUUGAAGUAGCCACUUCACCAUCACUGCCAGUUAGUUGCCAAAUUCUAUUCCUUCGGGUUCGGUUUCUAAAUUUCUGAUGGAAGAAAGCUGUAUUCUGAUCACUAGAUUUGAGCCAUUUGACUCUAGACUUAUCUUUCCAAUAAGAUUCCUCAUUUUGCAAUGCUUUUUCAAGUUUGUCCUCUAUUUCUGAAAUGAUGUCGCCUCCAUGAAUUCCUGCUAAACGAAGUUCCUCUAAUUCCGACUGUAGUAAAUCAAUCUCCACCUUCGAAUUAGAUCUGUGUUCUUGCUGCCAUCUGACAAUCUUAUGCCGACAACGCUUUAUUUUUUGAGCUAGGAUAUACAUGGCUGAACCAUCAAUCUGUUCAUGCCAAACCUCUCUAACAAUCUGCCUUAUUUCAUCAUUGGAACACCAUCUUUCUUGGAAUUUGAAUCGGCGUUUAGAUCUCUCAGUUCUCGGAUUAGAGUAUAGGAGAAGAGGGCAUGAUCCGAGCCUGAUUCUGACAGUCUAAGAACCGUUGCAUUGGGAUAGAGUUGCUGCCAAUCAACUCCUACCAGGAAUCGGUCCAGUCUUUCCUGUAUCAACUCAUCACCCCUCCGUCUAUUUGAUCAAGUGAAUGGUCUUCCGACCAUACCAAUAUCAAUCAGGGAAUUAUCAUCAAUAAAACUAUUAAAGGUUUCAAUAGGAGAAGGAGAUUUAGCACCCUCACCUUCUUUCUCCAAUUGAUUAGAAAUGUCAUUAAAAUCCCCCAUUAACACAACCUUACCAUCGAACUGUUGGGUGACUGAAGUUAAUUCAGCAAAUUGAGCCAUUCUAUGUUGAUCAUUUGAACUGAGAUAAACACCUAGAACACCAUAGGGAUCAUUAGAACCAGCUGUCAGAACUGAUGCCGCAAUGAAAAAUCUACCAUGCUGUAAAAUCUGAACAGUGCAACCAUCCCUCCAUGCCAUUGCCAAACCCCCUGAUAAUCCAUCCGGAUCUACAAUAAACCAUUCCUUGAAACCACAAGAUGUUAGUUUUCCUUCAACUUGUCGAGAUUGAUUUUUUGUUUCACAGAUAAAACCAACCUCGGGGGAGUAGGAUUUGCAAAUCCCUUUAAGAUUGUGGAUUGUCAGGGGCCUCCCCAAACCCCGACAAUUCCAUGAGAGCAGUUUCAUAUUUCUUUGGGUGCCACUUGAAGGCCGGCACCCUCCACCGUCAUAGCAAUUAUAUGAGGGUUCUGAGUCUCUUAUUUGUUGCUCAUGGUGUAGAGAAAAUCAGAAUUGGUAUUCAAUGAUUCCAAAGAGACAUAAGAUAUAUGGAAUGAGUGAAUUAGAAAACGGAAUGAAUUAAAAGAGGAAUGAAUUGGGAGAGAAAACGAAAAUUAGGGAGCUAAGUGGAAAAGAAAUUAAGAAAAGAAAGUAGAAGAAGAUGGAAAAGAGUUUGCCGAAGAAAAGACAAAAAAAGGUGUAACCAUGGAGGCGGUGCAGUGAAACUGUUGGUUUAUGGUAUAACCAGAAAUAUUUAGGACAGAGAUAUAAGAAAAAUACGUAGGUGAAAGGAAUGGGAAUCACUCAUUUUUACUUUACUGAAGCAGUACAUUUAUAGGAUUUUAAUCCAUGACACUACCACAUCACCACUAAACUAGGAAGUGGGAUGAACAGAAACUGCCACAUACCCACUAGAUAAGGAAGUGGAAUAACAAAAACUACUUUUCUCCUAAAGUGCAGGAACCACUAAUUGACUAAAACAACAAACUGAAACAAUAAUAAAAAAAACUUAAUGCAGUCCAAAAGCAAAUAAUUAACACUCCUCCUUGCUUUAGGAUCUGCAAACUCCAAUUUUCUGCCUCAAUAGCUCAAACUUGCUGACAGGAAGUGGCUUUGUAAACAAAUCUGCCUUUUUCCAUUUUGGAUCCUUGAGUGCUUCUUCACAGCAACUAGGUUCGCAUACUACUACAUUGCAUCUUUGAUAAAUGUCUGACAGCAGUCUUGUGCCUCUGAUGGGAUGAUCAUCUUCUAAUUCAUUUUGACACAACUCUGUUGUUUGGUUUCCGCCAUAAUCAUCUUCAAUAUUGUUACAAGGUUCAAUUGUUUUUCGUGGGUUCUUCCAAUCCCAUUGUUGAUCUUCAUUGAAAUGGACAAGCUUUUUACAAAGCCUAUGCUCAAUAGGUGUUCAUUUAUCCUACUGUACCAAGCUCUUGGUGCUUGUUUUAAUCCAUAAAGGGCUUUUUUUAGUAGAUAGACUUUAUCUUCUUCUCCAUGCAUAACAAAUCCCUCUGGCUGCUCCACAUAUAUCUCUUCUUGUAAAACUCCAUUUAAAAAAGCUGAUUUGACAUCUAAAUGGAAUACUUUCCAGCCUUGUUGAGCAGCAACUGCUAACACCAAUCUAAUUGUAUCUAAUCUGGACACCGGUGCAAACGUGUCAGAAUAAUCAACACCAAAAAUUUGUGCAUACCCUUUUACUACAAGUCUGGCCUUGUAUUUAUUGAUAGAGCAAUCCGCAUUAAGCUUUGUUCUGAACACCCAUUUAACUCCAAUAACUUUUCUGUCUUAAGGCUUGUCAACCUUUUUCCAUGUGUUGUUUUUUUGAAUCAUUGAAAUCUCAUCCUCCAUUGCCUUUUUCCAUUUUGGAUCCUUGAGUGCUUCUUCACAGCAACUAGGUUCGCAUACUGCUACAUUGCAUCUUUGAUAAAUGUCUGACAGCAGUCUUGUGCCUCUGAUGGGAUGAUCAUCUUCUAAUUCAUUUUGACACAACUCUGUUGUUUGGUUUCCGCAUACCUUAGCUUGUAUAUUUGAACUUAAUGGGGCAAGAGUUUUAUGAAAACGUGUAUUCUGAGUAUGAAUUAUUCAAAGAUGGAUAUUUUUAUUUCGUUGCUAUCCUUCGCUAAUUAAUUAAGAGGACCCAGGUCGAUUAAAUUGGCUCUGUAUUUUACAGUUCCAUAUAUAAUAAAAUGAUUUUUUUUUUUCAGAUUUCCGUUUGCUUACAUGUGGAAGGUUCCUUUGUUUUUUUCACGGUGCACACAAAAGAAAAAAAAAAUUAGUUAUUUCCCUUCCCUUGCCUCCUCCAGUUUAGACGACUAAUAGCAACAAUUGAAAGACAUCACAAUUUAUAAUACUGAAGAUUAAAUUAAUUACGUUAUAUUAAAUGUAUUUUAUGUUAUUUUCUUUAUUUAAAGCAAAAUUGUUUAUGUUUCCACUAUAUCGUCUUAAUUAUUAGAUAAAAAAGCAACUAAUUUGCAAUUAAAGAAAAAUUUAAGUCAAUUAUAUCGUAAAAAAACUUAUAUAUAUUAUGAAAAUUUAAGCGCAACACAUAUAAGAAUGAUAAAAUAUCAAAAUAAAAAACACAUUAAAAUUUGACAGUGAUAAAAUUAAAUAUGCUUGAACAACAAUUUACUCACAGACACUCAAAAAAAAAAAAUUAAUUACUCCAUUAUCCUCAACUAAUUUUAAUUUUUUUUAUUUAUUUUAUAUUUAAAAUUAUAAAUUUUUAACCUUAAUUAGACUCUAAAUUAUAAUUUCUAAACCCUAAAUUCUUCAUAAAAUAAAAAUUUUUAGAAUUAAAAAAAUUGACUAAUGUUAACGAAUUAAAAAUUAAUUUCUAAUACUUUUUGACAUAAAAAGAAAAAGAAAAACAUUUUUUUUUUCAAUUAGUAGAAAACAUAACAUUUAAGUUAUAUUUGUUUCUAAGCAUAAGAUGCUAAAAUAUAAACACAAAAAUAUAAAAUUAUAUUUGAGAGAUGUUAAAAGAGACAGAGACAUACCUCAAAAUAUGGAAUUAGUGUAUUUUGUAUCUUUACGAACAGAAAUAACACAAACACUAAUUUAUAAUUAUAAUUUGUUUUUUUACUAAGAGAUACAAUUUAUUUUUUUAUAUUUUUUCUUUCAUUAUUUCUAUUAUCUUUUAUAAUUAUAAAUUUUAUUAUUAUAUUUUUCUUCUUAAAUANNNNNNNNNNNNNNNNNNNNNNNNNNNNNNNNNNNNNNNNNNNNNNNNNNNNNNNNNNNNNNNNNNNNNNNNNNNNNNNNNNNNNNNNNNNNNNNNNNNUUAAAUAUUUUGGAUAAAAAAAUAAAUUAAAUUUUUAAAAUUUAUUCUUUCUUAUAUUUAACUUAUCAUCAAAUAAAAUAAUUUUGUGUCUUUAUUCUUUAUAUCUCAUCCUCAAAAUCUUUAUCUUAUUUUGUUAUGAGAAUCAACGUGUCUUAUAUUAUGCACGCUAGACUGCUAGAGUCCCUUGGGAUGCCUAGUCAUACGAAUAUUAUAGCCCAUGUCUUCAGUUUUUACAGCCUCACUCUUCUUAAUUUUGUUGUUGUGAGGCUUCAGCUGCUGCGAUUGUUUUGGUUAAGUUCAUUCCCUUGGAGAUAUUCUUAGGUUUGCUGAGAUCAGCCAUGUAGAUCGAUAUAUCAAUCAAUGCAAUCGAUCAUAAUAAUAGUAAUAAUCACUACCAGAAAUGCGGUGAUUAGCCACGGAAAAAAUCGUGGCUAAAAUCAAGAAAUUCCGUAGCGAUUAAGCUUUAACAACGAAUACAUUUCCGUGGCUAACAAGGACGACGCCUUUUCAGUUAGCCACGAUUUUCAUCCGGUUAGCCAUAGUUUUAUGAUCCGUAGAGACAUCUGAAUAGCCACGGUUUUUACGUUAUUGGCCACACUCUAAACCGUAGCUAAAUGACAACAGUGUAACCAAGUAUAGCUUUGCGACAAUUUUUCCGUGGCUAAUAUUGGUAAGCUGGGCUUUUUUGCCACAUUUUUUCCGUAGCCAAUAUUGGUAAGCUGGGCUUUUUUGCUACAUUUUUUCUGUGGCUAAACAUUGUUGGGUUAUUUAGCCACGAUUUUUUCGUGGCUAAUCAUAAAAGAUAAAUUAAAAAAUAUAUAUAUAUAAAAUAAAGAUGCUACUUAGAACAAAAUUAUAUUAUACAAAAUUAAAAAGAUUAGCCAUAUCCAUAUAAGUAAUAUUUUUAGUAAUAAAAAUAUGAAAUUUAAGUAACAAUGUUGAAAAGCAAAUAUCCUGAACUAAAUGAGUUUAAACUAUUACAAAAUCAAGUAUCAAAAUGUAUCAUUAUUAGAUCUCUAAGGUCUUCAUUGGAAUACUUGCAAAAACAUUCAAAUAAGAUUGUGUUAUCUCUUAAUUCAUGAAAAAAAGUCCCAAGACAUUAUUUAAAAUAAUAUUUUAAUGUAGUUAAAAAAAAGUAGGAAUGCAUACCAAUAAUGCUGAGUUUUCAUUUUCACAACAUAAAACAUCUUAUUGAACCCGUCAUCAAUCAAUAUAUAUAUUGCUAGACUUGAUAUCCUGGUGAACAACUUUCAAUUCAAUUGCUUCAUACAAGUAAAUGAGCAAGCCUGUCAUGAAUAAAGAUAAAAUAGAUAGUGAUAUUAAUGAUAUUUUCUCAUAUUAAAACUUAACUAUAGUAUUAUUUAACGAGACAAACGAAUACUAUUAGCGAGAUAUUGGAUUGCAAUCAAAACCAUUUAGAGAAAAAGAACUUAAAGUAAAAAUAAAAAUGUGUUAGAAAUUACUAAGGUCAAUAUUUUAAAGUAGAAAGUUGAGCUUACCAGGUAACUAUCGAAUAAAACUUUCAUGCGGACCUCCCAGGUAAGUGUCCCUUGUUCCAUGGCAACAUGCAUCCAUUACUCUAAGUUACCAUUAUUGACAUAUUCAUCCAUUAGCAGCUUAAAUAUUGAAACAAACACUAAAGCAAAAAUACUAUUGAUAAUACAAAGAAAUAGAUAAUUAGAUACUAUGUACUCGAAAAUUGUGAGAGCACAUAUAAUAACUUAAAGAAGUGCAACUUUAUUCAACGUUGGUAUCAGGACCUUUAACACUGUCUUCUACUUAGUUCAAAUUUAUCCAUAUUCAUAUAAGUUUCAAUAAUUACAAAGUUACAAAGCUAAAUUAAAAGUUGAACAAUUUAAAAUAAAACACAAACUUGCAUGGAGAUCCCAGCAUCGACAAGAGACAAAGUUGCAGCAUUGAUACACACAGAUCUAGUUCCUACACAGGAAUAUUGGGGAAGAAUUAGUGAAUGGUAAAAAAAAAUAGUCUUUUAAAUACAAAAAAAAUUAAAGAUUCAAGAGAAUAUUAGAUAAAUAUAAAAAAAGCUGCUUAGGGUUCUUUCCAUUCUUCUUUGUAAUUCAGGAUUACCUGCAAAAUCUUCGAUUUUCGCUAUUUUGGGACCUUCUUUGGUAAUUUAACGUUGAAUUUACUAAGGAUACAGAGAAAAUGAACAAUAGUAUGAACUGUGAAGGAGUUCUUCCAAUUUUCCAGUGAGUGGGCUUUACUUUGGUGUUGAGUGAAAAUUACUUUUAAGUUUUUCGCCCAAAAUUUCACUUGUAAAAGUUCAUUUGAAUUUAUUUCAGUCAAGUAAUUGAGAUUUUUAAUUUAAAUUAAUAGUUAACUAUAAAAAAUAUAUAAAUUAUAAUAUAUACCAUAUUUCAAAGACGAUACAUACUAAUUACUGUUACGUUAAUUUAUGUUGGAUAUUUUUUUUUACUAAAUUGAUAAAAAGAUAAUAAAAAAAUAAAAAAAUUAAAUUUAGAAAAACUAAUGCAUAUUGUAAAUUAGAGACAAAAAAAAUGUACUCUUUUUUAUCAUGAAUUUUAUAUAUACUUUUAACAUUCAUUCUCAAUUAAUUAAAGCAAUAAGUAUGUAUUCUUUUUAUACUAUUUUAACUAAUGCAUCUUCUAGUCACAAAAAAAACUAAUGCAUCUUCGGUUACUCAAUGCUGAAUUUACUAAGGAUACGGAGAAACUGAACAAUAGUCUGAACAUGUGAGAGAAUUCUUCUGAUUUUCUAGUGAGUGGGCUUUACUUUGGUGCUAAGUGAAAGUUAUUUUUUUCCGUCUAAAAUUUUACUUGUGUAUUGUAAAUGUUCAUUUGAAUUUAUUUCAGUCAAGUAAUUAAGAUUUUUAAUUUAAAUUAAUAAUUAACUAUAAUAAAAAAUACAAAAUUAUAAUUAUAUAUCAUAUUUCAAAGACGGUACAUACUAAUUAGGAUUAUGGAUUUUGACUCGAAUUUAAAAAAUAAACGAAAAAAAAUAUUAAAAUUUUGUAACUAUUUCAAAAAUAAACCUACGUUAACUUAUGUCGGAUAUUUUUUUAUUAAAUUAAUAAAAAAAUAAAAAAUAGGAAAAUUAAUACAUAUUGUGAAUUAGGGACAAAAAAAUGUACUCUUUUUAUUAUGAAUUUUAUAUUUUUAUCAUCCAUUCUCAAUUAAUUAGAGUUAUAAGUAUGUACUCUUUUUAUAUUAUUCCAACUAAUGCAUAUCUUAUCAAUUGAAAAUGGCUGGGAAGGAGAGAGAAAAAAUCAUCGACAAACUAGAUAAGUCUGCACCCUUAAAAAUUAAAAUUUAUUAUUAAAGUUUAAAUUUGGAAAAAAUAGGAACUGCCUAUAAAAUUUUUGAAAGGAAUGGAAGGAAACACUAGAAGCGCAUAAUUUAAAAGUAGACAUGUUUGAUUUCGGCUACGGUGAGCAUUGGGUCUGUGGUAAUUGAGAGAAUCCGAUUCAAAUUGGCCACAGACAAACAAGAACGUGGGAAACUUUCGCACAAUUUAACCACGGAAAAGCAAAACGUUGCAAGUGAUUACGACGAUCAUGAAAAUUUGCCACUGUUUUUUGUUCGUGAGUAUUUUCCCGUGGUAAACUAUCGUGUUUCUGGUAGUGAAUAUUGUGAUUGUGAUCAAUGAAAAUGUUCAAUUUGAAAUACAAUAUUCUUGUUUUGGUGUGCUCUUCAAACUCCACAAAAUGACUAUAUAUAGAGAGCGGCUAGGGUUUUAUACAUGACUGACGUGGCAUAUAGUAGCAAUUAACAGGGCAAUUCUCCUUUGGCAAAAUGUGCUUUAAUUUGUAUGUGUAAUUUAGAAAAAUUAAUACAUACUGUGAAUUAGGGACAAAAAAAUGUACUCUUUUUAUUAUGAAUUUUAUAUUUUUAUCAUCCAUUCUCAAUUAAUUAGAGUUAUAAGUAUGUACUCUUUUUAUAUUAUUCCAACUAAUGCAUAUCUUAUCAAUUGAAAAUGGCUGGGAAGGAGAGAGAAAAAAUCAUCGACAAACUAGAUAAGUCUGCACCCUUAAAAAUUGAAAUUUAUUAUUAAAGUUUAAAUUUGGAAAAAAUAGGAACUGCCUAUAAAAUUUUUGAAAGGGAUAGAAAGAAACACUAGAAGCGCGCGUAAUUUAAAAGUAGACAUCGUUUGAUUUCGCCACGGUGAACAUUGGGUCUGUGGUAAUUGAGAGAGUCCAAUUCAAAUUGGCCACAGACAAACAAGAACGUGAGAAAUUUUUGCACAAUUUAACCACGAAAAAGCAAAACGUUGCAAGUGAUUACGACGAUCAUGAAAAUUUGCCACUACUUCUUGUUCGUGAGUAUUUUCCCGUGGUAAACUAUCGUGUUUCUGGUAGUGAAUAUUGUGAUUGUGAUCAAUGAAAAUGUUCAAUUUGAAAUACAAUAUUCUUGUUUUGGUGUGCUCUUCAAACUCCACAAAAUGACUAUAUAUAGAGAGCGGCUAGGGUUUUAUACAUGACUGACGUGGCAUAUAGUAGCAAUUAAAAGGGCAACUCUCCUUUGGCAAAAUGUGCUUUAAUUUGUAUGUGUAACCUAACUUGUCAAAGGAGAUAAGCACCAUAACUGGUUUGAUCCCUACUAAGAAUUUGUUUGGAUGAGUUUCUAAAAAAAAUAUUUUUUUAGUUAUUUUUUUUAAAAAAUCUUAUCAAAAAGUAAAAAUAAUUUUAUGUUUAGGUAUAAUUAACAAUAUAAAAGUACUUUUUUUAUUUAUUAUGUAAAAAAUAUAUUUUUUUUAAAAAAAUAUAUUUUAAAAAAGAUGUAAAUUGUAACUUCUUAAAAAAGAUUUUUUUCUAGUACUUUUACUUUUAUUACUAGAAAUCUGCCAAAUACGUUAAAAAAUAAAGAAAGAACUUUUUUCAAUAAAAAAAUCUUUUUUUAUCAAGAUAAUAACAUCCAAACAAACACUAAAUAUUUAUUCUAUAGUACAAGCAAAAAGCAUUUUUUUUUGGGUAAUGCUAAGGAGAAAAAAAAAACAGCCAGAACUUAUCUUAUUUAGUAUUCAUUAAUUAUCGUAAUAAUUAAUAAAUACUAAAUAAGACAAGUUAUAGUUAUUUUUGGUUAAUUUUCUUUGGUUAUCGAAACAUUUCUCUUUACUAAUUAGAGAAAAUAUCAUUCCCCUUCCCUAUGAGAUACUAAAAUGUCACUCCCUUCCCCUCUAUUUAUAAAAUGUAUAUUCUCCUUCUUUAUAACUUUUAAAAAACUUCAUCUUUAAUUCAUUUUAAAUUUUGUGUGAAUUAAUGUUAAUUUUAUCCAUUUUUCAAGAAAAAAUAAAUUAUAUUUUAUAAAAAUAUCCUUUAGCAAAAAUUUUAUUUUUUGUGAUUAAAUUUUGUAUACCAAAAUAUUCUUUAACAAAUUAUUUUUCUAGUGAUUGAAUUAUAUUCUUACCAAAAUAUUCUUUAAAAUAUUUUGUAAUGAUUAAAUUAUUUUUUUACUAAAAUACCCUUCAAUAUCAUUUUUCUAGUGAUUAAAUUGUGAUAUCAAUACAUAUUAUUUUAACAUUAAAUUAAAGAGAAAUUCUCCACAUACAAGCAUUUUUUUAUACAAGUCUUUACAAGUUAUUAUAUUAACGCGCUUGAACUGUUACUGUACGUUCUUCUUCCUCUUCCUCUUCUUCUUUUUUUAUUUCGUUUCUUGCUUUCUCUUUCUCCUUCAACCGUUACUGCACAAUUUCACUGCACCGUCGUCUUCUUCUUGCUGCACAUUCUUCUUCCUCUUCCUCCUCCUCUUCUUCUUCUUCUUCUUUUCUUUCGUUUUUGUAAAAAAUAAUUUAGUUUUUCUUGAAAAUAGAUAAAAGACAUUAGUUAACACAAAAGAAUUUAAAAUAGAUUAAAAUGAGAUUUUUUAAAAUCUAUAAAAGAGGAAAAUAUACAUUUUAUAAAUAAAGAGAAAAAAAUAUUAUUUUAGUAUCUCCUAGGAGAAGAGUGGUAUUUUCUCUACUAAUGACCAAUCAUUGCACUGUUUUAAAACUACUACACAAAAGUCAAAACUCUUCCCUUCAAAAGGUUAUGUCUUUUAAUUUGCACCACUUCAUAUUGAAAAACCUCCCUAUAAAUAUUAAUAAUUCUUCAUAGCUCCAUCAUUCCAUAACCAUUUCAAGAACUAGAAAGAUGGCAGAAAAAGAAACCGACCAAAUUUCUUCAUUACCCGAAGAGCUUCUUCUCAACAUUCUUUCCUCGCUUCCUUUCAAAGAAGCAGCGAAAACAUGUAUCCUCUCCAAGAAGUGGUUCAAGAUGUGGCAAUCUACCAACACAGUGAAGAACAACCAACUCGAAUGCAAGAAGGUAGAAGCUUAUGGAGCCGUUGAAGUACCGCAAAGGAAGUCUUUCAAGAACUUCAUCAAGAUCUGGAUCACAUUGUACAAAAAUCACCAUCUCCACGACAAAUUCACCCUCAAGGUUUCUCCUCCUUCGAACUGCGGUGACAUCGUUGGAGCCUCCGUCGAUUUCGCCGUAGAGGACGGCGUGAAAGAUUUGGAACUCGAUUUCGCCGAAGCGCAGUGGGAGGACGAACAUCCUGAAGAGAAUAUCCACGAUGCCUCGGUUGAAUUUCCGAGACACCUUUACGAGAACAAGAAACUGCACCAGAUGCUCGAGAGUUUGAAACUGCACUCGUGCAGUUUCGCGCCUGCAAAUUUCGCCAAGUUUGUGGCACUGAAAGAUGUGACUCUUGCUUGGAUUCCGUUGCAACUGGAAUCGAUUAGGACGCUGUUAUCGACGUGCGAGUGGAUCGAGAGUUUGAGCCUGAAGAACUGUUGGGAUAUUGAAUCCUUUGAUGUAAAGAAAUUGGAACUGAAGAAGUUGGUGAUUGAUAGGUGCAUAAUUGGAACAGAUUAUAUUGGUUUUGAGGCGCCAAAUUUGAAGGUUUUCAAGUACUGUGGUUCAGUGCCGCCGGUGUCUGAAGUGAAGGUGGAAGCUGGUACCAUGGAGGAGGCAGAUCUUGAUUUAAGCCCCAUGGAUGAGUUCUUUGAAUGUGGCAACGAACUUCAGAAUUUUCUUCAAGAUUUCUUUGCGGUCAAUGUUCUUACAGUUUGCAGCGUGAUUCUUCAGGUACUUCGUAUAUGUGUGUUAUUGCAAAGGUUUCUUUGGUUUUGGGAAUAGUAAUAGUUAGAAAUGGUAGACUGUAAGACUAUAUUUCAUUACUAAAUUUCUAGCUUUAUAUUUAAGUAUAUAUACUAAUACUAAUAUAGUAACUAAAACGUUUUUUAUAAUUUUAUUAAUUUGUUAAUGAAUGAAAGGUGAUUCCUUCGGGAGAUGAACCCGUGAGGCUACCAGGGGGUUUGAGGGUGAGACACUUGAAGAUGAAAAUCCAAAUGCAUCCCCAAGAAUUUUGCGGAUUCCUUUGGUUUCUCAACAGUUGUCCUAGGUUGACCAAAGUAGCAACAAGCGACCAACUCUAUGCAUGCUCCUAUUUCAUCAGUGCGGCUUCAAUUUUGACGAAGCUCAGCAUCAAUGUCUUGAAGAACAAGAAUGAUGACCCUAACACGGUGGAGAUGCGUCGUAUUUUAGCAUCGCAAUUGCUCCGUAUUCCAAAGGCUUCAAGAGUUUUGGCCAUAAUAAUUCGUUGACUGUUAUUAUGGUUGGGAGAAAACUCUCUGUUAAUAGAUAAUAGAGAUGCGAGUUAUAUAUAUGGUUAAGGAGUACACUGAUAAAUAAGUCUGUACAGUAAUUUUUCCCCUAAUACCUGGCCUACUGAUGAAUUAGUAGAUGUAUCCUAUGAAAUUUUAAUAUAAUAUUUGGUAAUUUGUGUUGUGAUAAAUAUAAAUUGAUGUCCAUUUAAUAUAUUGUGAUUUUUUUUACAAUGUUGGGCGGUUAAUUUUUUUGAUACAAAAAUUUAGUUUUUCAAUAAAGACUAAACUUUAUGAAGUUUGAAAAAUAAAUAUUUUGUCCACGUAUAAAUAGUAAUAAAAUCUGAAGUAUAUGACACACAACAAUAAUAAAAUACUUUUCUCUUUUUUUACAUGCUACGAUAAUUAUAUAAACAUUCUUCUCUCUUUUUUAUAUAUACAUUACUACAUAUUAGUAAUAUAUAUAUGAAUCAUUUCUAUUAUAUUAAGAUAUUAAUUACGGUGAACAUUAAUAUUAGAUUUAUUUUUUUACAUUUUUUAUUUUAUAUUUAUUUUCUUUUUUUUAUUUAUUUAUUUUACAACACACUAUCAGCACGAGAUUCUGAUCAAAAUUUAGGAAGACUCAGGUAAUAAAUUUUUAUUAUGUCAAAUUAAAGCUCUCUUAUCUUAAAUUUAAUACUCUUGAUAUAUUUGAAAACAACUACUUAUCAUGGAUACUAGGUGCCGAAAUACAUCUUGAUUCAAUGGAUCUUUAGAGAUGCCAUUAAGGUUUCAAAAAGAUAAAGCCAAAGUUAUGAUCUUCUUUCGUCGUCACCUUGACGGAAGAUUGAAAAAUAAAUAUCUCCCACUAAAACAUUCUACAGAUCUGUGGAAAAACCUUGAAAAAAGGUAUAAUCAUAAAAAAAAUAGUGAUACUCCUCAAACCCAAUAUGAGUGGACACACUUACGUCUACAGGAUUUUAUAUAUAUCCAUAAAUAAAUACACAAUUCAGCAAUGUUCCGAAUUACCUCAUGAAUAAAAUUAUGUGGGAAAAAGAUAAAUUAUAAUGACAUAUUAGAAAAAAAUUUUUCGACCUUUUAUGACUCGAAUGUGCUCCUGCAACAACAAUAUCGAGAAAAAGAAUUUAAAAAAUAUUCUGAGCUAAUUUUUUGUCUUCUUGUUGCUGAAUACAACAAUGAGUUGUUUUUAAAAAAUCAUGAAGCGCGCCCAGUUGGCGUCGCCCCAUUUUCUAAAGCAAAUGCAGUAAAUCAUUACUUCAAAAGAGAUAAAUGGCAUGAUUUUGGUAACAAGAAAAAUUAUGUUCACAAGAAAGGAUCUCAUCAGAAGUGGGAUAAAGAAAAAAAAUAAUGGGCAAAAUAAACCAACAGUGGAUAAAUAUUUCCAUUGUGGUGGAAAGGGCCACGUAUCUGUCGUACCCCAAGGCACUUAGUUGAUCUUUAUUAAGCAUCUUUGAAAAAGAAUGAAAAAGGAAAGAAAACAAAUUUUGUUUCAAAUGAUGUUGCUAAAAAUUACACCACUCAUUAUGAAGUAUUUGAUUUCUUUGAGGAUCUUGAAGGAAAUAUUGGUCAUCUGAUCAAUGAUGAAAAAGUCUAAUAUGUGGGUUUGUUCAGUACUCAUGUAAAUAAAUAAUGUAAGAAACUUCUUGUUAAAUUUUAUUUUCUACGUGUUUGGAUUUUAAAUAUGGAUAAGUAUUAUUUUAGUCCCUAACGUUGAGGGUCAGAAUCAAAACCGUCCCCAACAUAAUUUUUUAUUUAGAAUCAUCCUUAACAUUUUUUUCGUAUUAAAAUCGUCUUUUUUAACUUUUUCUGGACAAAAAUACUCUCAACUACUAUCAGCACCUUUACUUCUACCACCACCAUUAGUACCUUUACUUCCACCACCACCAGCACCUUUACCUCCACCACCAAGAAAAACAACAUCAAUGAAAUCAACAUAAAUUCAACAAAUCAAGGAAUCGAAAAUUCAACAAAUCAACACAAAUUCAACAAAUUUAACAAUCAAAUCAACACAUAAUAACAUUAAAAUCAGAAAACAACAAAUCAAAAUCAGAAGCAGAAGCAGAGGCAGUCACAGAAGUAGAGAAAGCAAAGGCAGUCACAGAAUUAGAAAACUUAUCAUGCUCCUUGAUUUUAUUUCUGAUUAAAAGCAAGAAAGCAAAAACAGAAGCAAAUUCAAGAAUCGGGAAGCAAAAAGCAAGAAGUAGAAGCAAAAAGCAAGAAGCAGAAGCAAGAAAGCAAGAAGCAAAAGCAAAAAGCAAAAUCAGAAAAGUAAGAAAGUAGAAGCAAGAUGCAGAAGCAGAAAGCAAGAAGCAGAACCAAAAAACAAGAAGCAAGAAGCAAAAAGAGAGGGGCAAGGUGCAGAUGAAACGGCGAGGCGGCAAGGCGGCGAGGCGGCCGGCGAGGUGCAGCAGUGAGGUCAACGGCGGCAGUGGCUCGCGUCUCCUCUCUCCCUCGUAUUGGCUCAUGCAAUAUGAUAGAAGGCUCUAGAAGAGUUAUAAUUUUGUUUCCCAAAUGAACAAAAUUCAUAAUAAAUAAUGUACUAUUGUCUACCAAGUCUCUAAAGAACUUGUUGAGUUUUAAAGGUAUUUGCCAAAUGGAUAUCAUAUUGAAACAAUGAAUGGGGAAUAUCAUGAGUAAUUAUAUAUCACAACUCAUGAUUCAAAUAAAAAGACUAUAUUAAAAAUGUUACGCUCACUUUCAUCUGGGUUAUAUUAUACUAAAAUGAGUGUAAUUGAAUUACAUGCCAUUAUAAACCUGCAAAAGUUUACUAACCUAAAUGAAUUUAAAAAAUUUGGCAUGAUCGAUUGGGUCAUUCAGGAACAACCAUGAUGCGAAAAAUUAUUAAAAACUCCCAUGGACAUUCACUAAAGAACCAGAAGAUUUUUAAAUUUAGUAAAUUUUGUUGUGCUGCAUGUUCUCAAGGAAAACUAAUUUUAAGGCUAUCACCAGUAAAACUUAGAUUUGAGUCUCCUAAAUUUCUAGAAAGGAUUCAAGGCAAUAUAUGUGGACCUAUUAAUCCACCAUGUGGAUCUUUUAGAUAUUUUAUGGUCCUAAUAGACGCAUAUUUGAGAUGGUCACAUGUGUGCUUAUUGUCUUCUGCAACCUGGCGUUUACGAGAUUACUUGCGCAAAUUAUUCGAUUAAAAGCACAUUUCUCAGAAAAUCCAAUCAAAGUAAUUCUUCUUCACUCAUGAUCUUCAAAAUCAAUGAACAAUUGAUAUCCAAUAGAUCCGCUCAAGUGAUAAUCUGGCAGAUUUAUUUACAAAAUCACUUCCAAAAUCCUCCUUUAAAAAAUUGGUAUAUCAGAUUGGGAUGUGAUAAUUUCAAGAUAUAAAAUAAUGUUGGCAAAAGGAGGAGACUGUACUCUUUUUUCUUUGGUCAGGUUUUUCUCCAUAUUGAUUUUUUUUUUACAAAGUUUUUAAUGAGGCAGUCCUCGUCACAAAGGAUAUUGUACUAUUUUUUCUUUACUAAAAUUUUUUUUAUUGAAAUUUUCUUUAGUAAGAUUUUAACAAGACAUAAUCCUAAAUGGACAUCCAAUGAAAAAUGUUGCCCAUUUAAUACAUUGUGAUUUUCUUCACAAUAUUGGGCGGCUAACUUUUUUUAAUAGAAAAAUUUAAUUACUCAAAAAAGACUAAAUUUUAUGAAUUUGAAAAAUAAAUAUUUUGUACCAUUAAUACUAGAUUUAUUUAUUUAUGUUUUUUUAUUUUUUAUUUUUUCUUUAUUUAUUUAUUUUACACCAAUUUGAUUAGUAAUGCAACAUUAUUAUUGAAUAGUAGUUAGUUUCACAAAAUUACUUGAUCUUAAUAUUUUUUCGAAUAUGCAGAUACUAUUUGAAAGAGGAAGUAUUUAAGAAUGCAACUUAAUUAUAUUUGGUAUUAAACGAAAUUUAAUUUUAAUCUAUUAUUAAUAUAAAGUAAUUUUAUUCAUGAAUUCAAUUAAUAACGUUUAUCUUUUAAAAAAUUAUUAUUUUUAUUGAAUGUAUAAAUAAUUAUCCAAGAAUAUAAAUGUAAGUAUAUGAUUGAAUAAAAUAUUUUACACUGAUAAUACAUUAAACUCAAAAACUCAUCAUUGAGCAUGUAUUUUGAUAAGAUGGGGGCGAAAACAUAUUUAUUUGAUAAUAAAUUGAUAACUGUUGUCUAAUUAUAUUUUCUCUUAAAUAAAAUAAUAUGACUAAAAAUAAAAAUAUUCUCUGAUACAGUUUUAUUGUUUAGUCAAAUGNNNNNNNNNNNNNNNNNNNNNNNNNNNNNNNAAUUUAUAAUUUAAUCUUUGUUAAAUUCUAAAAUAAUUUUAAUAAUAAAAAACACGUGAAUAAUUGGUACACAUAAUCAAGGUGCACAUACAAAUAAAACUUUAUUGAGGUUGAAUAAAACUUGGCCAAGUAAGAGAAAUAAUUUUUCUUAAAUGGUUGAUAAGAGUGAUAAACUGAUAAUAUAGAGUUGCAGCAUGUGGGAAAUUAGAUAAAAUAGGGAAUAAAUAUUUAAUCCGGUUCUUAUUUAUUUUUUAGAAGGAUAAAGUAAUUUCUGUCUAAAAAAAAGGUACAUUCUGAUUCCUAUCUUUAUAUUUUAUGAGCUAUGACGGUUUUUUUGUGCCUUUCAACGUUAAAAACAAAUAGAAUAAGUAUACAUAUCACUUAACGGUAAUGAGUUGGUUGUUAGGUGUCCAUUAAAUACUAAGUUGUCAAUUUAAAAAUGGACAGGGGUUGAUCUAUCCUUGCCUCCCAAACAAAAACGCUGUUGUUUUAAGUGGGAUGGGAGGUUCAAAUGAUACGCUGCUUCACUAUAUACUUUGAAAAUGUAUCACUGUGUUCAACUGUAAACCCUAAGACGGCAUGGUUGAUAGUAAAGAACGUGGGUCGACAUCAAAUCGGUGAAGUGGGAGAGUUGAAAACGAAUCAGGUUGGAGUUUGAAAGUUAUUGGGAGUGUGGAAUCAAUGUGGAAGAAAAAGAGGGUUGUCCUAGAGUGUAAUUGUGGAAUUUAUGCAAUUUUAUUCAUGUCCGGAACCGAUAUAAACCCAAACAGACUAUUCUUUCGAUGCUCAUACUUCAAGGUAGGUUUAUGAACAAUUAAAAUUUUGUUCACUUUGUUUUUCAUUGAUGCUCAUAUUUCAAGGUAGGUUUAUCAAGAAUUUCAAUUAUGUUCACUUUGUUUUUCAUUAGAUUUAUAAUAAAAAAUAUUAUUUUGUAGACUCCAACACUUCAUUACAAAUACUUUUGUUGGCUUAAUGAUUAUGUUGCAUCAUUCAAUGAGGAUGCUGCAAAGACUCUUUUGUUCGGAGGUUUGAAGCUGAAUCAGAAUCAUAAAGAAGGUCAUUCUUCUGCGGAUGAUAACAAAAUUAGAAAGUUAGAGAAAAGAUUGGUUGGCUUAAAAAUUCAUUUGAAGAAAGUUAGAUUUAAUUUUAGUCAAAUUAGAUGCACUCAUGUUGAAUGUGUUAUGUUGGCAUUUGUUGUUGGAAUUGUAGUUGAAAACCUGUUUAAUGGUGUAGUUUAGAGAGAUCAAAUGUUGUUUCUGGAGUAUUGUGAAACAUGGUGAUUAUGGUUAAGUUGUUUAGACUAUAACAUUUGUUGCUAUUGAUCACUUUUGAUGCAUGAAUAUAAAUAUAAUUAACCUGCUUUUGUUUUUAUAUGUUCGUUUAUUAUUCAAUUUUAAAGAAUGCAGUAGUAUACAUAAUUUUGUAAUAAAAUAAGGCAUUAUAAAUUUGUUGAAUAAAGUAAGAAGCCAUCUGCUGAAAGUUGAAACUUAACACAUGAUACCAUAAUAAUAGAAUAAGGGAAUCAUCAUUACAGCCCUUACUAAUAUAGUUACCCAAAAGAGUAUUCAAUCAACUAUACCCACUUAAAACAAUAGCGUUUUUGUUUGAGAGGCAGGGACAGAUCGACUCUUUUCUAUUUUUAAAUUGACAGCUUGACACUUAAUGGAUACCUGACAGCCAACUCAUCACUGUUAAGUGACACGUAUACUUAUUUCAUUUGUUUUUAACGUCGGAAGGCACAGAAGAACCGCCAUGUCUUACAAAAUAUAAAAACAGAAGUCGGAACGUAUUUUUUUUUUAACAGAAAUCACUUUAUUUUUCUUAAAAAUUGAUAGGGACUGAAUUGAGUGUUUACUCUAAAAUGGGUGGGAUGAUAUGAUAUAAAGAGUAAUUGAGAGACUUAUUCAAAGAAAAUGAGUUAGUGAUGAUCACUUAAUUAAAUCUUCAAAAUUUUCCUAUAAAUAUAAUGGUAAUGCUAAGAAGAAAAAAAAAGAUUAAAAUUUACAUUAUUGAAUGUUUAUUAAUUAUUACAAUAAUUAAUAAAUAUUAAAUAACAUGAGUUAUGAUUAUUUUCUUUUGGUUAACAAAUAUUUUCGUAAAUCGCUUUCUAUAUAAUAAUGGUCAAAAGCUAUACAAAUUAAACAGAUAGACCAAUAAGAACGAAACGAACAAUAAUAAUUAACGAAUUACAAUUAAUUAACCAAAUAAUGAAUAAUCUUUGAUCAACAAUAACAAUCUCUGCUGCUGCAAGCUUAUUCCCACUUCCACAUAUGCAUGUACGGAUGUACCUUCAACAAAAAUAUUGAAAGGAUGAAUAAUAUUUAGUUAUCAUCUUCUUAACAUCAUGCUUAAUAUAUAACGAUGAGAUAAUAAUAUAUAUACUUUAAGUAGCUGUUUUGUUUCCUAGUGAUCAUGUGGGUUUUGUGGUCAUGUUAGGCGUAUAGGCCAUGUCUUCAGUUUUCGCUGCUCUGUUGUUGCUGCUGCUGCCGCCGUCGCUGCGAGCAGGGACAGAACUUAGUUAAAAUAAGGAGGCCAUGGUUUUCCAAACUUUUGAUAAAAAAAUUAGUAAUACUUUUUCGAAAAAUAAAAAAUUAGUUCAAUUGAUUCAAAUAUUUUGCUAUGAUUUAAAAUACCAAAGUUCAAUCUUCAUCUCUUGCUUUUAUUGCAUAGUAAUUUUUAGUUUUAAAUAUUAAAAACAUGUUGGAUUUGGACUGAACUGAAUGUAUUCGCAUUUCGCAACUCUCUAUUCAAUAAGCAACACUAUCUCUACCUUUGAGUUCAAAUAUAAAAAAUUAGGUUUUUUUAUUUAUGUAAUUUAAUAUUAUUUUAUAUUUUACUGUUUAUUUAAUUUAAUUUUUUAUAUGAUAAAAAAUAUUAGAAUAUUCAAUAAGUAUUGAUAUUAUUGUAUUUGUAUAAAUUGAUAAAAAAAUUCAAUAAAUAUUAUAAAUUUUAAUAUUUGUAAUUCUAACUUCUUUUUUACAUAUUUUAGAGGAUAUAUAUUCAAAUUUUUAUAUAAAAUAAUCAUGAAAAAUUAAAGAAUUGAUGCAUUUUUUAAGAAAAAAGCUAAUAUUCAAGAAGGAGAACAUAUAACAUUUACAAUAUCAACACAUGUAGAUAGUUCUUCUACUUUAAUGAAUCACGAAAAAAGUGAGAUACAACUUCCAAAAGUUCAAAGAGUUGCAUUUGAUGAAUUUGACCUUAAUUUUUUGGAACGAGACCCUGAAAAACGGAUUUAAAUUUGGCAAUAUCACCCAAAUCAGAGAGAUGAUGUUAGACGAGUUUAUCUUAAAUGGGAUUCAUAUCAAAAGCAUCUUGAUAAUUAUUUUCUAUCUGGCCCCCAAAAUUUUGUUUCAAGCUCCGCCACUGACUGCGAGACUGCUGGUUGCUACUGCUAUUGCUGCUGCUGCGAGACUGCUGGUUGCUGCUGCGGGACUGCCGGGUGGAUCGCGCAGGGAUAUGAGCUGGUCCACAUUUUCGGGUUUAGUUUGUCGAUUCAUUGUGAGAAAUGUAAUGUAAUUAUUAGUAAAAUGUUGUGAUCAAUGGACUAAUUAACACUGUAUUUGAUCUGCCAUUUCGUAUUUAUAGACGUUUUUGAUGCAUGCAUGUGUACAUUAGGGUACAUUUACAUGUAUGAUAUAUAUGAGCGUGUUAACAUUUGUAAACUUUGCAUGAAAUUUAACUUGUAAAAACAUGAUAUUUUGAUAUUGUUGUAUUCUUAUAUUAAUUGUAUAGUUCAGGUGCGUUGUUGGGAAUUUUCCUUAGCUUUCUUGAGAAAACUAAAAUAAUUAAGGAAACUCAUGGUAGCUAAGAGAGGCGUGUACGGUCAUUACUUUUAUUUUUUAUUUUUUUGUUGAAAGAGAUUACUGUUUCUUCAUGCUGAUGAGCAUUGCAUGAGAAAUGCUACUGCAUUUCGACGGAACUGCAGAGAAAUGCAUGGAAUACUCCUCUUUUUUUUUUUUUUAUAAGAAACUCAAUGACAAUAUAUAAUAACUGUAAAAGAAACGGUGGUGAGUAAUUUAUACAAGAAUUUCAGUGUCAUUUGCACGAAAGUGGAAAUAAGCCAUGGCGUGCGGCUGCGUGUUUGAAGUUGGAAGGGCGAAUUGUGAAGGUAUUUACAGUAACGUGUAUGUAGAAUGAGUAGUUGGACAUGAAUUAAAAAAGAUAGAUGAAUAGUCAACAUUAGAGAAAUUACCAGAAGUCAAUGGAAUAUUUGUAUAAUGUGUAUAAUGAAGGUUUAGGAAGUAUUAAAUAUAUAAUCAUUAGUGUUAUCUCUUCUCAUCAGAGCUGAAACUUUUGGGAUGAGUAGUAUCAUAACAUGGUAUUAGAACGCUAGAUCCGAAAGGCCAAAAGUUCGAUUUUUGGUGAACUCCAAAAUCAGUUUAAGUUAUUAUUCCUAGUACUCGGAUAGUUAUUCUAGAUAGUAUGAGGGAUGUUUAUUUUAUAACUCAAUAACUCAUUGUACACAUUAUACAAAUAAUCUAUUGUCUCCCUAACGAGACUCUCAACAUUAUUUAUUAAAUUAUUACUAUUGUUAUAUUUUCUUUGAUUCUUCUAUAAUUCUGUUACUUACUUCUGGGGCCCGGCCCGGCCAUAUUAAUAGUUAAAUUGAAGCGGUAUGCAGUCGGAUCAUAACAAUAGAAAGUGUAUUACAGAUUUUUUGACGGUGUAUUGUAAUGUAAUUCUUCAACAAUUUGACUGGGUAUAGAUUUUUAGAAGAUAAUUUAUCCCUUUUUUUUAAAAAAAGAAAUUGUUAGUGCAAAUACAAUAUUUUAUCAUUUUUUUUAAAUAAGACAAAAAAAUACUUGACAAUAAUAUUUAUUGAUAGAAAAAAAAUCGAGAUAUUCACUCCUCUUCAUUUCCCGCCUUGGCCUUGGACGGUGGCUGCCAAUGCUUGGUUUAAUCAAACCAGUGACUUGUAUUAUGUCUAUUUAUUCACUAUUUUGUUUAAAAAUAACAAAAUAUUAUAUAAAUCUAUAUAUAAACGAUAUUUUAGAAAAAAUGGUACCAUGAGGUGAUAACUUUAAGAAACACAAUCAUUUAAUAUUUUUUUAUCAUAUAAUCAAUUUAUAUUAACAAUUAAAAAUAACAACGAAAUAAAUCUUCUAUUAAUCGUGAUUUUUAUACAUAUUUUGAUAACGUGAAUCAACGGAUUUUUCUCUUGAUAAAAAUUAAAAAAAUUGUGUUUGUUGUUAAUUCAAUCUAUUUAUUUGACACCAAUUAAUUGAUAAGAAACGAGUAAUGUUAAAAAAAACGAGAUUAAAAGUAUAACAUAGUCGAUUGAAUUGCACACUAGAAUAUGAAUUUUUUCAUAUUCAAUCGAUUGAAAAUAUAACACAAUUAAUUGAAUUUCACAUGAUAAUAUAGAUUUUUUUUAUUCAAUCGAUUAAAAGUGUAACACAAUCGAUUGAAUUGGACAAUUAAAAAUAUAACACAAUCAAUUGAAUUUUGCACGGAAAUAUAAAAUUUUUUUAUUCAAUUAAUUAGAAGGAUAACACAAUUAAUUGAAUUGAGUAUUGCGCUAUAUAUCAUGCCUUCCUUUUUUUGAACAGCCUUCCUUAUUUUUAACAAAAGUUUCCAUUUUUACAUGACUUCUUUUCUCUCUCUAAAACUAAAAAACUUCUCUCUUCAUAGUAUGUGUUAUUAUAUCUUUAGAGACAUGCGAAUUAAUAUGUACAAAUAAACGAAGUUUAAAAAAUAUUUUGUUAGCAUUACUAAUGUAUUAAUAACAGGUAUGAUAAAAAAUUUUGUCAUUAUCAAAAUAGAUGUCCAAGUGAUAGAUUGUGCAAUUUUCAACAGAAAUUAUCAUUAGAUAUCAGUGUUUAUUCUCUUAAAUGAGAACAUAUAUAUAAACCAUAAAAUUGUAAUAUAAAUGUUAUAUAUGUUGUUAAGGAAAAAUUAUAUAUACCAAAGAAUAGACAAAAAAAAAACUUACAAAUUUUAAAUUAGUAGUGGGUUGCAUAAGUUUAUAAAUAUAGUAUUGCAUCUUGUUUAAAUCUAUCUUAGACAUUUACCUACAAACACUAAUAGAUUUAUAUAACUGUUAGAUAUUAAUUGGUACUAAAUUUUAAUAUUAAAAUAACCAUCUGUACACUAGUAAAAUAAACAUCCGAUAUAUCUAUUGUUUACCUUGUUUAAUAUUUUCAUUGUUCACCUAUACUUUUCCAUUCCAUAAACAUUAAACAAUGCAUCUAACCGGAGAAUUAGGCAUCAGCAAGAAAAGAGAAGAACUGAAGCCGUGCAUGCGUGGUCCCCGUUGUGAAGAAAUCGCAGAUAAAUGCUUAGCUGUACAUGGAGACAAGGUUGCUCUCUUUGUAUGCUUAUCAUGUUAUAGAGAUGCUUUGCGAGGUGUAACAAAGGAAGGGUGCCAUAGCCAUGCAUGCUGAAGAGUGUCCCAAAUGCUCAGUGUACCAACUCACUUUCUCCGACGUGUCCCUUCCUUCACCCUCCUCUCGCCCCCUAUAAAUCACCUCGCUUCUCAUUCUCCUUCAUCACAACCACAGCAAUAACAAUAAUAGCAGCCAUGGCUAAGCUUCUUGAGCUUUCUUUUUGCUUUUGCUUUCUAGUUCUGGGAGCUAGCAGCAUCUCCUUCAGGCAGCAGCCGGAGGAGAAUGCGUGCCAGUUCCAGCGCCUCAAUGCGCAGAGACCUGACAACCGCAUUGAAUCGGAGGGCGGUUACAUUGAGACUUGGAACCCCAACAACCAGGAGUUCGAAUGCGCCGGCGUCGCCCUCUCUCGCUUAGUCCUCCGCCGCAACGCCCUUCGUAGGCCUUUCUACUCCAAUGCUCCCCAGGAGAUCUUCAUCCAGCAAGGUUAUUAGUUAUUACUACUUUUUCAUAUUGUUAUUGUCAAUGAUUGAAUUUAAUUAUUUGACGGUAAAAAUAAUUUUGUACACUCACUAAACGUACUAACAUUUUACAACAAUUUACGAUUGAGACACAAAAAAAAAAGGCAUAUCUGUAUUUGAGAAUUUUAUUUUUUUUCCAUGAUCUUUGUUUGUUAAUUUCAUUUUGAAUGAACACAUACAGGAAGGGGAUACUUUGGGUUGAUAUUCCCUGGUUGUCCUAGCACAUAUGAAGAGCCUGCACAACAAGGACGCCGAUAUCAGUCCCAAAGACCACCAAGACGUUUGCAAGAAGAAGACCAAAGCCAACAGCAACAAGAUAGUCACCAGAAGGUGCACCGUUUCAAUGAGGGUGAUCUCAUUGCAGUUCCCACCGGUGUUGCUUUCUGGCUGUACAACGACCACGACACUGAUGUUGUUGCUGUUUCUCUUACUGACACCAACAACAACGACAACCAGCUUGAUCAGUUCCCCAGGGUAUAUAUAUGCUCAAAUCUCAUUCGUUAUUUUUGGCAUGUGCAUAUAUCAUGAAUAUUGAGUAUUAGUCUAUUAUUAUUUCUUAUGAAUUCUCAUCAAUAAACCAUGCCACAUUUAUAUAUAAAUGAUCCGUGACAAUUAAUAAUACAUAACAGAGAUUCAAUUUGGCUGGGAACCACGAGCAAGAGUUCUUAAGAUACCAGCAACAAAGCAGACAAAGCAGACGAAGAAGCUUACCAUUAAGCCCAUACAGCCCUCAGCCUGGACAAGAAGACCGUGAAUUUAGCCCUCAAGGACAGCACGGCCGCAGAGAACGAGCAGGACAAGAACAAGAAAACGAAGGUGGAAACAUCUUCAGCGGCUUCACGUCGGAGUUCCUGGCACAAGCCUUCCAGGUUGACGACAGACAGAUAGUGCAAAAUCUAAGAGGCGAGAACGAGAGUGAAGAACAGGGAGCCAUUGUGACAGUGAAGGGAGGCCUCAGAAUCUUGAGCCCAGAUAGAAAGAGUCCCGACGAAGAAGAGGAAUACGAUGAAGACGAAUAUGCUGAAGAGGAGAGGCAACAAGAUAGAAGGCGUGGCAGGGGAAGCAGAGGCAGCGGCAAUGGCAUUGAGGAGACCAUCUGCACCGCAACUGUUAAAAAGAACAUUGGUAGAAACAGAUCCCCUGACAUCUACAACCCUCAAGCUGGUUCACUCAAAACUGCCAACGAGCUCAACCUUCUAAUCCUUAGGUGGCUUGGACUUAGUGCUGAAUAUGGAAAUCUCUACAGGGUUUGUACUUUCUCUUUUUCUAUCUAUUUUUUUAGCAUACUACACUAUUAACAAAAUUUAUCAUUGUUAGUAAGAUUUGGCUAAUACCUUAAACAUUAAGUAUUAAAUUCUAAAUUUUAAAUACUAAAUACUAAUGGUAUAAGAAUAUAAUGUUACUUAACUAUCGAUUAAUAUCGAUAAAAAGUAUUGAUACUGAUAUUUUUCUUUUCUUGUAGUGUUACAUUAGGCAUUCGAUUUGGUUAUCUAUUUACCCAUUGAAAUGUGAUUGCAGAAUGCAUUGUUUGUCCCUCACUACAACACGAACGCACACAGCAUCAUAUAUGCAUUGAGGGGACGGGCUCAUGUGCAAGUGGUGGACAGCAACGGCAACAGAGUGUACGACGAGGAGCUUCAAGAGGGUCACGUUCUUGUGGUGCCACAGAACUUCGCCGUGGCUGGGAAGUCCCAGAGCGAGAACUUCGAAUACGUGGCAUUCAAGACAGACUCAAGGCCCAGCAUAGCCAACCUCGCCGGUGAAAACUCCUUCAUAGAUAACCUGCCGGAGGAGGUGGUUGCAAAUUCAUAUGGCCUCCCAAGGGAGCAGGCAAGGCAGCUUAAGAACAACAACCCCUUCAAGUUCUUCGUUCCACCUUUUCAGCAGUCUCCGAGGGCUGUGGCUUAAAAACGACCAGUAUCUUUUGCAAGCGUGUUAUCCACUACAUACUUUUUGCCACAAAUGAAUAAUAUAAUAAUAAGAAGAAUAAUGUAGUUUUAAUUUUUAGUAUGAAUAAGAAUACAAAGGGGCAUUGAUGCCUUUUUGUUUAAGAUCGGAAUGUAACAUAUGUGCAAUGAGCAGAUAUGGAGAAAACCUUUUGCGGGAAAAACAUGAAUAAUAAAAGAAGUUAUGGUCUCACGCACGCCACAUUUGUCUUUGUAUCCCCCUUUCUUUGUGAUAAAACAAACUUGAAAAGAAUAUCAACAACACAGCAUGCUCUAACAUUUUGAUGUAACUCCGAAAAUCCGAGUAAUUGUUGAGGGUGAGCUAUAAUGAGCUAGGAUUUCUAUUCAAGCACUAUAAGAUCGUGACAAUUCAAUUUUGACAUGCAUGGUAUAUAUAGCUUGCUUAUGAUCAUUGAUGACUUGCUCAUGUAAAUCCAAUUUUUACAAUUUAGAUGGCGAGUUCCUAAAGCCUCGUGAAGUAGUUUAAGUGUUUGACUAUCUCAUCAACAUAUAACUGAGCGUAUUGAUGAGUCGUAAAAACACUUUUUACUGGAAGAAAGUGUGACACUUGGUUAUUUGGUUCACUAUGAUCCAUAUUUUGAUGGUAUGAGCUAGUCUUGUCACAAAAUCUAUGGUGAUUCUUUUCCAUUUCCAUUUUAGUAUCUCGAUUUGCUGGAGUAAAUCCGCAGGCUUUUAAUGUUCAACUUUGAUUUGUUGGCACACUAAGUAUCGUGAUAUAAAGUCACCAAUGUCCCUUUUUAUGCCUUCUCACCAGAAUAACUGUCGCAAAUCCUAAUGUUUUAAUAGAACCAGGAUGUAUAAAAUAGCGAGAGUUAUGAGUUUCCACCAAGAUUGUUUUUCGAAGAUUUUCAAUGUUUGGUACAUACAAUCGUUUACCAAAACGAAGAAUUCCUUCUUGGUCCAAUGUGAAGGUAGAGUUAAUUCCGCUCUUAACAUCACCAAAAAGUUUAAGCAGUUUUAAAUCUUCUUUUUAGAGGGUUUUAAUUCUUUUGAUGAGGGAUGACUGAGCAUUCACAUGAGUAAGAAAAAUUCCAGAUCUUCUAAGUUUGAACAGUAUUCCUUUAACCUCGAGCUGAUGAAUUUCUCCAAUCAGUGGUCUUUAAGCAGCUACGAUGAUAUCAGCUUUUCAUAGGUGAUAAAGGAUUGUACAAUCAUAAUCUUUAAGCAGCUCUAUCCAUCUUCAUUGCCUCAGAUUUAAAUUUUUUUGUUGAAAUAUAUAGUUUAAAUUUUUGUAAUCCGUAUAGAUUUCGCAUGUCUCAUCAUAAACAUAUAGUGUAUUGGAUAGUUUUACUUGCGUUUUUUGAGUUGGCAUGAGACAUGAGCAAUAAUUCGACCAUGUUACGCUAACACACAUUCCAACUCAAAUCGAGAUGCAUCACAGAAGAUGGAGAAACCCGUCCCAGAAGGUGGAACAAGAACGGGUGCUAAAAUGAGGUAAGUAUUGAGCAUCUGGAAGCUAUCAUCACAAGCAUCUGUCCACUAAAAUUUGACAUUCUUUUGGGUUAACUUAGUUAAUGGUGAUGAGAUUUUUAAAAUUUUUUUAUGGAUUGUCAAUAAUAUCUUGCUCGACUAAGAAAACUACGAAUUUCAGUCACAGAAAUUGGUCUUGGCCAUUUUUUAAUGGCUUCAACUUUUUUCGAAUAUAUCAUAAUUUCAUCUUUCGACACCACAUGUCCUAAAAAUACCACUUGAUCUAACCAAAAUUCACACUUAGAGAAUUUGGCAUAAAAUUGGUGCUCUAGAAGGGUUUUCAAUACUCUCCUUAGAUGAUAUUCAUGCUCUUUCACACUUUUGAAGUAUACUAAGAUGUCAUAUAUAAACACAAUGACAAAGUGAUUUAAGAAGGGUUUGAACACUCGAUUCAUUAGGUUCAUAAAAUUAUAAAAAGGUUGCAGGAGUAUUCGUUAAUGCAAAUGACAUUACAAUAAACUCAUAAUGUCCAUAGCAAAUACAAAAAGCGGUUUUGGGAGAUAUCUUCCUGCUUGAUUUUCAAUUGAUGUUACUCCAAAUGUAAAUCGAUCAAAUCAUUGAUUCUAGACAAUGGAUACUUGUUGUGAAUGGUCACUCUAUUAAGUUGUCGAUAAUCUAUACAUAGGUGUAUUGAUCUAUCUUUCUUCUUUAUGAAGAGAACAAGGGCUCCCAAAGAAGAUACGUUAGGACAAAUGAACCCUUUAUUCAACAUAUCUAUAGCUUGGUCUUUUAAUUCUCGCAGCUCUCUUGGUUCCAUACAAUAAAGAGGAAUUGAUAUGCGAUGAGCUUCCGGGAUUAAGUUUAUGGAGAAUUGAAUUUUUCCAUCAGGUGGUAUGCCUGGUAAGUCAUCAGAAAAUACAUCUGAAAAUUUCUUCACCACAGAAAUAUGACCAAUGCUACGCAUCAUGGAUUCAAUGUUUCUAACUACCGCAAGAAACCAUGACACCCUUUGUUUAUCAGGUUCAUGACUUUUUUUUAGAGGAGAGAUGAGUUUGUUUGGGGUCAAGUAUCCAUCACCUUUAAAAGUAAAAGGUAGAAUAUCUAGAACAUUAAACUUCAUUAUUUUAGAAUAAUAAAUCACGUUAACAUGAUAAGCUGCUAGCCAAUCCAUACCUCAAAUGACAUCAAUGUCUUCCAUCGGAUCUAGAAGAAUUAGGUUAUAUUAGCCAAGGUGUCCACAGAGUUUAUAGUAACGAAACAAGAUUGAAACACAAAUUGAACCAUAGUGAAAACUGAGCGGAGUAUCGACUUGGAAGGGGUUGUCUAAUAACACAAGUUGCAUGUUGAAAUGGUUUGCUAGAGUUGGGAAAACAAAUGAAUAAUAAGAACUCGUAUCAAAUAGCACUUGAGCAUCCAAAGAGAAAACUUGUAAAAUAAAGUACCUAUUACAACUGCAUUUGAAGCCUGUGCAUCUUGGUGAAUUAAGGUAUAUACACGUGCUUGUCCUCUACCUCUCUAAUUUGUUCCUUUGCCCCCAGGAUUUCACCCUCCUAUCCCUCUACCUUGGCUAGCAAAGUUUCCAAGAAACGUAGUUGAGUAUGAAGGUGAAGGUGAUGGUGUCGUAGAAUAUGCAUGACCUUAAAUAAUUCCUCCCUGGAACUUGGACUAUCCUUCCUUAGGUGACCAGUUUGAUUGCAUCCAAAAUAUGCACCAAUGGCCUUGAAGCAUACUCCAGAAUGAGGAUGUCCACAUUGUUGGCAGUAUGGUUUGCCAUGCAUAGAUUAAUCACCAGAUUGAUAGGUCCCUCCAGUGAAACUCUUUGAGCCUGAGAGGCUUGUUAGAGGGGUACAGACGGCGCAGCUUCAAUAAUGGGUGCUUGUUGAUUGUCUUGAUGACCUUUAUAACUUGGUCCUCGUCUGAAAUUAAAACCACUAAAGAGCUGUCUUUUUGUCUUAAGCUUCUUAUCUGCUUGUUUAGGAGUGAUUCUUUCACUAUUUAUAACCUCAAUUGCAUAGGUAGAAUCUAGGAUUUUAUUGAAGUUCAUUUGCCAAAUCUCUGGCACUCGAGUAAUAUACAUGGGUUCUUCCAGGCCUCUCACGAACCUACGAACUCUAAUUUCUUCAGAAGGUAUUAAAUAAGAAGCGUUCUUGGAAAGCCUGAAAAUUCUUUAGCAUACUCUGUCACAGUCAUGCUUCGUUGCCUUAAUCUCUCUAUUGCAAUGGCAUCCUCUGCUUGCUUGCUAGCAGGGUGAAAUCUUUCAAUAAAUUUCUUAAUGAAUUCUUCCCAUAUAAGAGUAGGCAGCCCAGUUGCUUCCUUACUUUCAAUAAGGGUCUUGUACCAAUAUCUAGUUAUCACUUGAAGGUUAUAUGAUACUAGCUCAAUAGCGUAAUCUUUUUUGCAUCUAAGGGCUCACAGGAUUUUUCUCACAUCUUCAAGGUAUUGUUGAGGAUCCUCAUCCAGGAAAUCUCCUUUGAAAGUGGAUGAGUUAAUAUUUAGGUAUUGUUUGAAGGUAGGUUUCUUAUCUCUAAAAAUAAAAGGAAACAUUCAUGGAGAAAAAGUUAAGGUGGGUUUGUGUUUGCACACUGCCGUUAGCUCGGUUUGCCAAAAAUUCAACUACAACACACAGAUUAUCAUUAACUGUUCUAAGUUUUGCUACCAAGCUUGCAGGUGUUUCUCUAUUUACUAGAUUUUCUUGUAUUUCUUAUGGAACUAUAUCGGCUUGAGUUAUAUUUUCCAAGUGUUCGUCUUCUUGAAGUACUUUUCAUGUCCUUCUACUGGCUAUUCUUUGACUCGUCCUAGCAUUCGCUCUUGUAAGGGUGAGAGAUUAGUCCUAUUAGAUGUUGUAGUGUUAGGAGCAUGAAUGGCUCCACCAUGCAAUUUAGGUGGCAUCUUUUCACCUAGUAAGCAAAGAAUGUGGUCACAUAAUAUCCAAAGAAAGGACAAGAAUUUUAUCGAAGACACAGAUAUAAGUUUAACUUCCUACAGGCUUUUGGUAACAUCACACUUGUGAAAAUGGGUUAACAACCAUUUGCACAAUCGUAAACUUAUUAAAAGACAUUUGCUCCAUAUUACACAAGAAAAUCUAAACUCUAAUACCAACUUUGUCACAGCCGAAUUUAAGUAGUAACCGGCAAUAAAAAAAAGUUUUCUAAUAAGCCUAUUAAUUGCAUAAUUCUUAAAUGAAUAAUUUAAAUCUGCAUCUAUUAUAUAUCACAAAUACGAGUUUAUAUAUACAAAUAUAUAAUACUAUCAAACAUUAAAGAUAUUGCCUGUAAUAUAUGAAAUAUUAACUAAGAAAUUCAAGGUGUAGUAUAAAUGACAAGGCCCUUGGAAGACAAGGACUCACCAAAAAGCCGAUUUCUACCGAGGGAUAGAAGGAUUAGGACUCUAAUCUAUAUUUAUAUUUAAAAAACAUAUAAUAUUCAAGAAACAUAUAAAAAAAUUUAAAUAAAAUAUUUUGUAACAAAUUAAAAUAUUCUAUAUUAUGUAAUAAAUAUAAAAAUGAAUAAAAUUAUUUAUAUUUAAAUAACCAAAUAAUUAUUAUUGAUGAGUAUUUUAGUCAAAUUGAUUAAAUAAUAUGUUAUUUUACUCUUACAAAAGAGAAAUAUAUUCUGUUCCAAGGUAUUAUUUGAAACUAAGGUGGAUUUGGGUUUGAACGUGAGAUUUAAACGCCUUUGAGUGAGUUCUGACUUAUUUGCUAGGAUGGUGGUUCAAGGUUAUCAAACUCACGAAUCUAAGUAAACUCGUGGAAUUGACUUAGACUUGACUUGUAGACUCGUUCGAGUUUACUUGUUAUGAAUUCUUAUACAUACAUACAUACAUACAUACAUACAUACAUACAUACAUACAUACAUACAUACAUACAUACAUACAUACAUACAUANGGAAUGGUGGUCAAGAAUGGCUAAGAAUUGACUUGCCUAUGAUAAGAGGACAGGUGACGACACAGUAGGUGUAAGACCCGGUUAAUUAACGGCUAAUUAACCUAUAAAUGAGAAUUUAUUCUAGAAAGGAAAAAAUGUUAUUUUUUAUGGCUAAAUGUGAUAGAGGAGAUUGAGACGAGAAUUUCGGUACCAAUUUUAUAGAAAACGGACCAAGAUUGGACCAAACGGGCCAAACCGGACCAACCCUAGUUUUCAGCACUCUCUCUCCUCACAACACACUCAAACAUGCUGAAAUGGUGGAGAGGAAGGGAAGAAAACUCUCUCAACUUCUUUCUCUCACUUGAUCUUCAAACCACCAUAACUUUUGAUCUAGAGCUCCGAUUGUCGCACCGUUUGCGGCCACGCGUUCACCGCAGAGAGCUCUACAAAACCCAUACAAUCAAUCUUGAGGUAAGCUACGUUUUGCUUUUCGAAUUUCCAGCCUUGUUUUCGAGUUUCAUGAGCAAAAAUGUUGAGAUUUUGGGCUCUUUGAUGUUAUAGGACCCAACUCUCUUGAAGGAGAAGAUUAAUCUUGUCUCCUUGGACCUUGAGUAAGGUAAGAUAUCUCAAACCCUAGUGAGAAUGUUGAACUUGUGGUUGUGGGUGUUGAGCUCUUGUGUUUUGGUAUGAUGAUUGUGGCUUAGGUUGUGUAUAUGUGAAUAUUGGAGCUUGAUUGGUGAUUUUGGAAAGCUUGGGAGAGGGUUUUGUGUGACAAAAUCUAUUCUUGGAGGUGUUGAGACCUUGAGAGCUUGAGGAAAAGUGGUUUGGAAGUGCUCUGGUUGAGCUUGGGAAAUCGGCUAAGGUAUGGUUUCGGUUUCCCAUAUCUAUUAUGUAAUGUGGUAGGAAAUACUUAGGCUAGAGGCCCUAAGAUAGGCAUUGAAUUGUUGGUGUUGUUGAAUGGUUGAGAUAUAUGAUGUGUUCAUAUAUGUGAUUAUGAAUAUUGAUGCCUUGAUUGUGUGAUAUAUGAGAAAUGCAUGUUGUGAUAUAUGCUUGAUGGAUGAUUGAGGUUGAAUUGAUGGGUGGUACCAUGUUGAUGGUGAGUAUGAUGUUGAUCAUGUAUAAUGAUGGUUGAUUGGAAAUGGUAUUAUUGGAAAUUGAGAUGAGGAAGGAUGUAUGACAUGAUAUUGUGUUUGUCCUUUAGCCAUUGGAUUGAGAAGUGUUAAAAUGGUUGGAUGUGAUUUUGGGAAUUUUGGUAAAAUAUCAAUGUGUGAGUUGAGGAUGGCUUGAUGUUGAUUUUGGUACAUUUUGAUUGAUUUCAAAGAAAAGGGAUGAAAUUGGCAUGUUUUGAUUGAUUUCGAAAAGAGUUGAAAGUGGCUUGUUUUGAAAAUGGCACUUUAUGGUUUUGUAUGAAAACAUGAUUUUUGGGUAUACUUUGACGGGACAUAACCUGGACUGCGGAUCUCUGUUUUCUGCCAAAUCUAUUUAGAAAUGGAAUUGGAUCCGGGAUGUCCAUGCCGUUCGAAGAACGGGUAAAAAACGAUUUAAAAUGAGAAAGUUAUAUCCGUCAGAAGAUUGGGGGUUGAAUCUGUGAAUUCUGCAGCUUUUAACUUAGAAAAUUUUUAGCAGAAUAACCCCCCGUGCGUUGGCACACUUGGCGCGUACGCAUCGUUCUUCGAGAAAACACCAUCCACGCGUGCGCGUGGUGUGCAUGGGCGCGUCGAUGCGCUGCACCAAAUGCCCAGCCAUUUUCCCGAGAGUUGUGCCAAAGUUGUGCCAGUUUUAUGCCUGGGGCGCAAGAGCACCCACGUGUAUGCGUGGCUGACGCGUGCGCGUCGUUUGGCUAAUUUUCAAUCCGCGCGUUCGCGCGUAUGACACUUGCGCGUCAAUGAGUUUUAAGGCCAUCCACGCGGGCGGGUGGAGUGCGCGUACGCGUGGCCCUAUUUUCAUCCCAAAGUUGAUUUUUGAGUUUUAAAAGCCAAAUUUCAUACUUCUAAGCCUCCAAUCUCACCACUUAUGUCUUAAAUCAUUAUGAUAUGCCUAGCUAUGAGAUAAGGGGCUAGUGAAUGUGGUAACUUGCAAGUGAAGCAAGGGAAAAAUGAAUGAUCAAUGAAGAUCAAAGAUGAUUAUGUAAGAUGUGGAGGAUGGCGGUGGAAGUGCUUGUUAUGCCAUGGGCCGAAGGGCCGUAAUUGUAAAUAAAUUGGCUGGUUAUGGAUUUAACCGUGAGCCGGAUGGCUAGAUUAUCGUCGUGUUACGGCAGAGCCAUGUUUAUGGCUAAGUAUAAAUGCAUAUAUGCUGUUGAAUGAAUUGUGAAUGUUUGCACUUCCACUAUCAGAGAUGAGGGUUUCCCUGGGAGGAAGCAGUGGCUAGCCCCCACGUGCCCCAGGUUGAGACUCGAAGCUUUGUUGACCCUAUGUCGUAAGUGUGGCCGGGCAUUGUGAAAGUCCCGGAUGAGCUCGCCCCCGUAAAUAUUCACCGGUGAGGGUGAUGGAUAUGGAUCAUGAUUAUGAUCAAGUUUAUGAUGAGUAUAACUCGAGUUGGGGAUGCGCGACAGAGGGACAGUCCAAGGUUAGCUACCAGGACUUGUCGGGUUGGCUCUAUAACCGACAGAUGAUAUCAUCAGCCACUAGGGACAGGCAUUCAUCAUAUGCAUACUAUGUGAAUUGUUUGAGAUUGCCUAUUUGACUGCAUAUUACUUGCUAUUUGUCUAAAUGCCUUAAUUGUUCUUACUUGUAUAUCUCUUGUCUGAUAUAACUGUGUUUGCUAUAUUAUACUCCUGCUGGUGGUUGGGAGGUCUAAAGGAAUUGGAAAGGGAAGUAUUAGUUAGACUGAAGAAUCUUUAGUUAGUUGCCACUUACGGUUUAGCUUGUUUAUAAGCUUUGAUAUUAUCUGGAGGAAGUUCUAGGAUUGCCUUCAGCUUUCCUCUAUUAUUAUGUAUUAUAUAUGUGGAAGCUGUUACCAUGCUAGGGACCUCUGGUUCUCACCCAUGUGGAUUUUGUGAUUUUCAGAUGCAGGACGCGAGGCUUCUCGUUGAGGCAUGCCGGAGACUUCUGGAUUAGCGAAGAUCCUUUGUUUUCGGGACUCUGUUUUGGGUUAUAUAUUUUGUUUAGAUACUUUUAUCUCCAUUAAAUAAUACAAACUGUGAUGACUCCUCUUAUAGGAGGUUUUGGAGAAUAGGUUUCUGUAUUUGUGUCCCUUUGGGUUUUCUUUGGGGUUUUCCUUAUUUUAUUAUAUGUAUAUAUUGUUAUGCUCGGACCGGUUAUCUUCGCAGCCGGAUUUUGAGUCUUGAUAUUCCUGUUUUUGACACUCCCUUGUAUAUAUAAUAUCUCGUGUUAGCUUAUCCUUUGCUCGUUACGUUAUCGAUCGGAGUGUUGCGCGUUCGAGUUACGAUUUUUGUUUACCCCUUUUUCUACAAAGGCUCCUAGUUAUAAUUAAUUAUUCAUACUACUAUACGUACUAAAUUUUUGUUUUAGAGGUCGUAAUACCUUGCCAUAUCUGAAUUAUGACUUAAGCAUAAGUCUCUGUAUGGUAGGGUGUUACAUUAUGGUAUCAGAGCAGUUCGUUCCUGUAGAGCCUGAGGAAUGGACUGACUAUACUUCUGUGCAUUCUCUGUGUGUGUGUUAUGUGCUACUAGUAUAUCUGCUUGAUAUAAUUGGCAUAAACGUUCAUGAGCAUGCAUUUGGGACUUUGAAGCACUAGACUUCCGAUAUUGAGACUGAUCAACUUAAUAUCGAUUGUUUGGUGUGUAUAGGGACCAGAUGACGCCUCGUGUACGCGGUAGAGGUCGUGGGAGAGGUCGUACUAAUGCUCGUGCGCCGGAGACUAACCCUAAUGAUCCGGUGAACUUUAUGACUGCGUUGGAGAACAUGGCUGCUGCUAUGCAAGCCACUGCUGAGGCUCUGGGCCAACAGAUGAACAACCAUGGUAAUGACGGAGGUGGAGUUCAGGGCCCGAUGACACUGGAAAACUUUUUGAAGGUUAAUCCCCCGAAGUUCAAGGGAACUACUAGCCCGACUGAGGCCGAUACAUGGUUUCAGGCCAUGGAAUGAGCACUGCAAGCGCAGGUGGUACCUGAAGGGCAGCGUGUAGAGUUCGCUACCUAUUUGCUCACUGGGGAAGCGUCGCAUUAGUGGCAAGGAAUCCGACGCCUCCUGCAGCAGGGUGAUGAUUAUAUCACCUGGGACGUCUUCCAAGAGGAGUUCUAUAAGAAGUACUUUCCGACUUCUGCUAGGACGGCCAAUGAGCUUGAAUUGUUGCAGCUGAAGUAGGGUACUAUGUCCGUAUCUGAGUAUAUGGUGCGGUAUUUUACAACCACACUUACUAACCAGCAAGUGCACCGGGUCGUACCAAGUAAUACCUUACGUGAGUAAGGGUCGAUCCCACGAGGAUUGAUGGACUAAGCAACAAUAGUGUUUGAUAGGCUUAGUUAGACAAACAAAAAUUGGUGUUGAGAUGCAGUAUAAAAGAGAUUAAACAAUAUAAAAAAUAUUGAAGAAAGGCAAGUAAUUAAGUUGAGAGUAAUAUAUGGAGAAGGCAGUUAAGGCUUCAGAGUUAUCUAUUUUCUGGAUUGACUUUUCUUAUUAACUAUUUUAAUUACGCAAGAUUUAAUUCAUGGCAAACUAUUUAUGACUAGACCCUAAUUCCUUAGACCUUCCUAGUCUCCUCUAAAAUUUAUCAACUGCCAAUUCCUUGGUCAAUUAGCUUCUAAUCUAUGAUUUCUGGGCUAAGAACUGGGUCAAAACGGCCCAGAAAUUGCCCCCAGUGUUUUUCUACAUUUUCUGCACGUGGCGCAUGUGACGCGUUCGCGUCGUCCACGCGUUCGCGUCAUUUGUGCAGAUUCCAGUCCACGCGUUUGCGUCAGGCACGCGAUCGCGUCAUUGCGAUUUCCUCCAUUCCGCGCGGUCGCGUGAGCCAUGCGUCCGCGUCGGUAUUCGUUGGUCAUCUCCUUGGCUUCUUCUCUUUCUCUGCAGAAACUCCAUCAAAUUCUGCCAAAUGCUCCCUAAAAUAAACAGUAUUGUACAAAAUUCAAAAUAGCAUCCAUAGUGGCUAAAAUAUAAUUAAUUCUUAAUUAAACUCAACAAAUUAACUGCAAAUUCACUAGGAAAAGAUAGACAAGAUGCUCACGCAUCACAACACCAAACUUAAACUGUUGCUUGUCCUCAAGCAACCAAAACUAAUAUAAGCUUAGGAUGUGAAUUUGCAUGAGAAUGAGAGUUCGAUUAAGCCCAUGUCUUCUCUUAUAGUGGGGUUUACAACUGCAAUCCUGAACAAUUUUGGCAUCUCACUUUAUCCUUUGAAGUUUAGGAUGAUUGGCAUCCAUAGGAACUCAGAAUUCAGAUAGUGUUAUUGAUUUUCCUAGUUCAGUAUGUUGAUUCUUGAACACAGCUACUUUAUGAGUCUUGGCUGUGACCCUAAGCAUUUUGUUUUCCAGUAUUACCACCGGAUACAUAAAUGCCACAGACACAUAACUGGGUGAACCUUUUCAGAUUGUGACUUAGCUUUGCUAGAGUCCCCAGUUAGAGGUGCCCAGAGUUCUUAAGCACACUCUUUUUGCUUUGGAUCACGACUUUAACCGCUCAGUCUCAAGCUUUUCACUUGACACCUUCACGCCACAAGCACAUGGUUAGGGAUAGCUUGAUUUAGCCGCUUAGGCCAGGAUUUUAUUCCUUAGGGCCCUCCUAUCCAUUAAUGCUCAAAGUCUUGGAUCCUUUUUACCCCUUGCCUUUUAGUUUAAAGGGUUAUUGGCUUUUUCUGCUUGCUUUUUUUUUUUCUCUCUUUUUUUCCGCAAGCUUUGUGUUUUUCACUGCUUUUUCUUGCUUCAAGAAUCAAUCUUAUGAUUUUUCAGAUUAUCAAUAACAUUUUUCUUUUUUAUCAUUCUUUCAAGAGCCAACAAUUUUAACAUUCAUAAACUUCACUAUCAAAAAAUAUGCACUGUUUAUGUCAUGCAUUCAGAAUCACAAAAAAUACCACCACAUUUAAGUAAAUCAGACUAUUUUUUAAAAUUAACUCAAUUUCUCAUGCACUACACUUCUUUUUCUUUUCUUUUUAGGUUCAAGUUCAGUGAGUGGUAUAUGAAACAUCUUUUCAGCAUUAAAGCAAUUAAAUGAAAACUAAACUAGUCCUAGGAUUCUAACUAAUAAAGGAUCAUGCAACAAACAAAGAAAAAUAACAGGAAACUGGAACAUAAUAUAGAAAAAGAGGGGAGGAAUAAAAAAUGAAAGGAACUCAACCACCUUAAUUAUCCUAGCGGUCGCUUUAUUCUUCAGGUUGUGCUCCUUCGCGAAGAUGAUUCGCCUCCCUUUUGUACUAGAAAACCUGUAAGCGCGGCGUCAACACCAAACUUAAGGGUUUGCUUGUCCUCAAGCAAAGAAGAACUGAAAAUAGAAAAGAUAAAUAUUAAAAUGAAAAAAAAAAGAAAAAAAAUAAAUAAAUAAAAGGAUAAGAGAAUAAGAGAGAAGUAGGAUUGGGAGAGAGAGAGAAAGAAAACUGGGCGGCACAAGCGACGCGACCGCGUAGGGCAUGCGGUCGCGCGCAUUGCUCUUAUACGGAUUGACGCGAUCGCGUCGGUCACGCGGUCGCGUGACCCAGUUUGUGCUUCUGGCGCGAGUGCAGCCUCGCGCCAGCACAACUCUCUGUUUGAAUUGAUAUAAUUGCCAAAAUUGGGGUGACGCGAUCGCAUGGGGCAUGCGAUCGCGCGAGUGGGCAUUUAAUGGGGUACGACGCGGCCGCGUGGGGCAUGCGGUCGCGUGAAGGGAAUUGCGUGUCCAGCGCCAGUCCAGCACCACUCUAGCACAACUUUCAGCUGUGCACCCGUUUUACGUCAAAAAUCAGGGCACGCGGCCGCGUGGGUCACGCGGUCGCGUGGGAGGCCAUUACGCCCAUACGACGCGGAUGCGUCGGCGACGCGGUCGCGUGGGAUGAAUUGUGCCAUUGGCACGCCUCCAGCCACGCUCCAACGUGACUCUCUGUUCGUUUUUAUUUUUCUCUUCUCCCCUUGCGACGCGGACGCGUCGCUGAUGCGGUCGCAUCGCGUAGCUUUUUUUUUUUUUUUGAAAUAUAGCUUGAGGUGUUCGGUUCCUGGAAGAACAUAGCUGCAUGAUCAGAAAAUUAGUGAGAACUUAAUAAAAAAUAAAAUAAAAUAACUAAGAAAAAUACUACUACGAAAAAAUAAUAGCUAAGGAUACGAAAUUAUCGGGUUGCCUCCCGACAAGCGCUUCUUUAUCGUCAUUAGCUUGAUGGUCAGCUCCUCUAAGGAGGAGGAUCAUAGGGGCUCAGCUCUUUGAACUUUUUUCCUGUGUCUCCAUAACGUAGCUCAAUAUGCUCCAGAGAGAGGAUUCUGAUUACUGUAUAAACCCAUGCUGGAUUGCUGGUCAACACCACCUUCAUUCCUGGGGAGAAACCUUCAGUGGGGAUCUUUUUGUUUCUCCAUCCUCUGGGUAUUUUUUUCUUUUUGGGGACCUCCUCCUUGGUGGAUGAUGCAGUUCCAACACCAAACUUUGGUUUGAUGUCAGGCGGAAUUUUAUCGGUUGUCACCACAGGAGGUUUGAGUUGCAAAUUCUGCUGUGCAUCAUCAGGGAGUUCUUGAAGGUUUGGAUCAAUGAGUUCAGCCUGCAUGCACCUCUCUUCUUCACCUGUUGAAUGUACAUCUUUGAAGACAUGAAAGACCAGUUGCUCAUUAUGCACUCUAAGCACUAAUUCACCCACUUCUACAUCAAUCAGAGCUCUUCCAGUGGCUAGGAAUGGUCUUCCUAGAAUUAUAGAGGCAUUCUCAUCCUCCCCUGUAUCAAGAAUCAUAAAAUCUGCUGGGAGAAAGAACUUACCCACUUUGACCAAGAUAUUCUCCACUAAUCCGUAUGCAGGCUUCAUAGAUUUGUCUGCCAUCUGUAAUGCUAUCUUUGUGGGUUGUGCCUCUUGGAUAUGUAGCUUCUUCAUCACAGAUAAGGGCAUUAGAUUUAUGCUUGCCCCUAGAUCACAUAGGGCUUUCUCAAAGGUUGUGCUCCCAAUGGUGCAUGGAAUUUGAAAGCUCCCUGGAUCUGGCAUCUUCCUUGGUAAGUUAUUCUGAAUGACAGCACUACAUUCCUUAGUCAGGACUACUGUCUCAUCUCCCUUUAAACGCUUUUUCUUUGACAACAGCUCCUUCAUGAACUUGACAUAGAUAGGCAUUUGCUCCAAAACCUCAGCAAAAGGAAUAUUGAUUUGUAACUUUCUGAAGAUUUCCAAGAACUUUGAAAACUGCUUGUCCUUGGUCUCCUUUUGAAGUCUCUGAGGAUAUGGCAUCUUAGGCUUGUACUCAGGAGCCUUUGGCUGUGUAGGAUAAGUGUCAAGAGAGUCUGGGAAUGGGUUGUCUGCACGCUUUGGAGGGGCGUGCUCUACUUCUUCCUUCUUCUCAUCUGGAGCUUCUUUUUCAACUACAUCUUUAUUGACCUUGGUCUCAGAGCCAGCUACCUUACCACUUCUCAAUUGAAUAGCCUUGCAAUCUUCUCCUGGGUUCACCACUGUAUCCUCUUGAAAUGUACUUGCAGACCUCUCAAGUAUUUGCUUGCUCAGUUGGCCCACUAGCACCUCUAAGUUUCUAAUAGAGGAUUUGGUUUCUUGUAUAACUUGUGCUUCCGUACUUGCCACUUGUUCACUUAUUACAGUGAUAGCCUUGCAUUCCUCUCUUGGAUUUGGAAUUGUGUUACCAGGAAGGCUGUUAGUGGUCCUCUGAUCAAUUUCAUUAACCUUUGUGGCUAAUUGACCCAUUUGAAUUUCCAGGUUCUUGAUGGAUGCUCUGGUUUCCUGUCUAAAACCUGUCAAUAUUGCUUCUAAAUCAUUGUUCUGCUGGAAACCGCCCUGAGAACUAUUGUUGAAGUUCUGAGGUCUCUGAGGUUGGUCCCUCCACCCAAAGUUUGGGUGAUUUCUCCAUCCCGGGUUGUAUGUCUUAGAAUAUGGAUUAUUGUUGGGAUUCCUAGGACCACUCCCCAUGUAAUUCACCUGUUCAUAAUAAGGUUGAGCAUAAUCAUGAUUAUAAUUUUGAAUAAAAUUACCUGCCAUGUCAUAGGAGAUUUCUUGGGGUGGAUUUUGAGUGUUGAUAGCUGAGACUUGCAUGCCACCCAUCUGUUGAGUAAGUAGAUUUAUCUGUUGAGACAUAAGCUUGUUCUGAGCAAGAAGGGCAUUAAUAGCUUCCACUUCCAAUACGCCUCUCUUCUGAGCGGUCUCAGAGUUCACAGGAUUCCUGUUAGAUGAGUAGAGAUAUUGGUUGCUUGCAACUAAUUCAAUCAGCUCAAUAGUCUCCUCUGGUGUCUUCUUCUUGUGCAAUGAACCGCCUGCAGAGGUAUCUAAGCUCAUCUUUGACAUCUCUCCUAAGCCUUCAUAAAAGAUAUCCAGUUGGGUCCACUUGGAGAACAUGCCAGGAGGGCAUUGCCUAGUCAGUAGCUUGUAUCUCUCCCAAGCUUCAUAAAGAGUUUCACCCUCCUUCUGUCUGAAAGUCUGAACCUCCAACCUAAGCUUAGUCAGCUUCUUUGGUGGGAAAAAUUUAGUGAGAAAUUCAGUAACGACCUUUUCCCAAGUAUUCAGACUCUCCUUUGGUUGGGAGUCUAGCCAUAGCUUUGCUUUAUCCCUCAGAGCAAACAGGAAAAGCAUGAGUCUGUACACCUCUGGAUUCACUCCAUUUGUCUUCACAGUAUCACAUAUCUGCAGAAAAUCAGAAAUAAAUUGAUUUGGAUCUUCAUGAGGAAGUCCAUGAUACUGGCAGUUUUGUUGCACCAGGGUGACCAAUUGUGGCUUCAACUCAAAGUUGUUUGCAGUUAUAGGAGGCACCACAAUGCUUUUUUCAUAGAGAUCCGCAGUAGGGGCAGAAUAAGAGCCAAGCACUCUCUUCUGUUGAUCAUCCCCAUUCGGAUUUACCACAUUGGCAUUAGCAUUAUUAUUUGCCAUGGUGGAUUCUGCAGUCUUGCAAAGUCUUGCUUGUUGUAAACGUCGCCUGAAAGUUCUUUCAGGUUCAGGGUCAAAGUCUAAGAGAUGUUCUUUGUCUCUGUUCCUGCGCAUACACAAGCAGAAAACAAGAAAAAAUGGGACUCUCUACGUCAGAGUGCAGAGAAGUCCCUGUGAUGUAACCUGUGUACAAUAAUAAAAUAAAACUACUAAAUAAAUAAAUAAAUAAAUUCAAAAAUUAAAAAAAAAUAAACAGAAAAAUAAAAUUAACUGGGUAACACCAAACUUAAAUUCAGAAAUAAUUUUUUUUAGACAAAAAUAAAGUAAAACUAAAAAAUUAUAGAAAAUAAAAAAUAUAAUAAAAGAAAAACAAAAUAACACGAAAGUAAAUAAAUAAAAAAAUGGAAUUAAAAAGAAAAAUAAAUAAAGGAAAGAACGACGAGAUUUGAAUAAGAAAAAAAAACGAAAUUAAAAGGAAGUAAGAAAAGAAAAAAAAAAAGAAAACAGGGGAUACGGGAUAUGGGAAAUAUUAACGCAAAGAAAGAAAAAAAUGAAAAAUAAAAUAAAAAAAAAUAAAAAAUAAAAAUACUAAAGGAAUAUAAUUAAAGAAAAAAAAUAUCUAAUCUAAGCAAUCAAAGAACGAGUAGUUGUCAAUCACAGUCAAUUUCCCGGCAACGGCGCCAAAAAUUUGGUGCGGUAUUUUACAACCACACUUACUAACCGGCAAGUGCACUGGGUCGUACCAAGUAAUACCUUACGUGAGUAAGGGUCGAUCCCACGAGGAUUGAUGGACUAAGCAACAAUAGUGUUUGAUAGGCUUAGUUAGACAAACAAAAAUUGGUGUUGAGAUGCAGUAUAAAAGAGAUUAAACAAUAUAAAAAAUAUUGAAGAAAGGCAAGUAAUUAAGUUGGGAGUAAUAUAUGGAGAAGGCAGUUAAGGCUUCAGAGUUAUCUAUUUUCUGGAUUGACUUUUCUUAUUAACUAUUUUAAUUACGCAAGAUUUAAUUCAUAGCAAACUAUUUAUGACUAGACCCUAAUUCCUUAGACCUUUCCUAGUCUUCUCUAAAAUUUAUCAACUGCCAAUUCCUUGGUCAAUUAAUUCCAAUUAGAGGGUGAUGAUCGAAUCCUAGUUUAUAUGCCACAAGAAUCCUAAUUAUUCAAAGAUAAAGGGAUUAUAUGUCACGUAUCCCGUUAAAUACAAACAAUUAGAAAUUCAGGAUAAUAUGUUUUCAAGCUAUUGUUCAAGUAAAGAGCUUUUCCAAGUUUUACAAGAACUCAAAUAGAACAUGGGUCAUACUUCCGUUCCACCCAAAUUCAUAAAGUAAAGAACAAAAACAAUUAUUGAAAUAUAAAUCAAAACAUGAAUUAAAAUAGAAAAAUAAUAUUAUCAAUCCAUACAAUAGACAGAGCUCCUAACCUUAACAGUGGAGGUUUAGUUGCUCAUGGAAAAGAGAAAAUAAGGAUUCAGGUAAGAAUGUACCGCCUUCCAAUCUGAUGGCAUCAGAUCUCUUUUUAUAACUAAUCCUAAUAAAUUUAAAAUCUAAUAUUUAAAAUUAAACUUAAAAUAAUAUCUUUUCCUACUUUAAGAUUUGAAUUUAAAUUUGAAUUAAUUAAUAGAUCUUCAGUUGAUGGGUGGGGACCACUUGAUUUGUCCAUUCUGCAGCUUCUAAUCUGUGAUUUCUGGGCUAAGAACUGGGUCAAAACGGCCCAGAAAUCGCCCCCAGCGUUUUUCUACAUUUUCUGCACGUGGCGCAUGUGACGCAUCCGCGUCGUCCACGCGUUCGCGUCAUUUGUGCAGAUUCCAGUCCACGCGUUUGCGUCAGGCACGCGAUCGCGUCAUUGCGAUUUCCUCCAUUCCGCGCGGUCGCGUGAGCCAUGCGUCCGCGUCGGUAUUCGCUGGUCAUCUCCUUGGCUUCUUCUCUUUCUCUGCAGAAACUCCAUCAAAUUCCGCCAAAUGCUCCCUAAAAUAAACAGUAUUGUACAAAACUCAAAAUAGCAUCCAUAGUGGCUAAAAUAUAAUUAAUUCUUAAUUAAACUCAACAAAUUAGAUGCAAAUUCACUAGGAAAAGAUAGACAAGAUGCUCACGCAUCAGUAUGCUGACAAGUUUGAGGAGCUGUUCAGAUUCUCUCGUAUGUGUCAAGGGACUCCGGUGGAAUAUGAGGAAUGGAAGUGUGUUAAGUACGAAGGAGGACUCCGGAGCGAUAUUUUCAGUUCAGUGGGACCAAUGGAGAUUAGGACUUUCUCCGAAUUGGUGAACAAGUGUAGGGUUGCUGAAGAGUGUGUGAAGAGGGCAGCCGCUGAGAAAGGAAGUCACAAAGGAUCAUUCCCACAGAACCGAAGGAAGAGCUUUGCACCUAGAGGUCCACCUUUUAAGAGGGGAGGUUCUUUUAGGAGGCCCAACAACAACAACAACUCCCAAGGGAAAAAGUUUGGGAAGCAGCCUCAGAAUGAUCAAGCUUGUACUAGGUGUGGAAGUCACCAUCCGGGAGCACCAUGCAAGGCCAGAUGGGAUUUGUGCUACAAUUGUGGAAAGGCGGGGCAUAAAGCCACUAGUUGUCCGGAGAAACAAAAGCAAGGUGCUGGGAAAGCACAACAGACUGGUCGAGUGUUCACCACCUCAGCUGUGGGUGCAGAGGGAUCCGAGACACUCAUUCGAGGUAACUGUGAAAUGGCUGGUCAAACUUUAAAUGCUUUAUUUGAUUCGGAAGCAUCGCAUUCAUUCAUUGCAUUUGAGAAAGCCCAUGAGUUAGGAUUGAAGAUCGUAACCUUAGGUUAUAACUUAAAAGUGUAUAAUGCUACCCAUGAAGCCAUGGUAACUAGGCUAGGAUGCCCGAAAGUUUCGUUUAGAUUCAAGCAGCAUCAUUUUGUCCAUAAUUUAAUCUGCUUACCGAUGAUCGGUCUUGACCUUAUCUUGGGAUUGGACUGGUUAUCUGAGAACCAUGUCCUGCUUGAUUGCUCUACAAAGUCGGUGUACUUUAUGCCGGAAGAUACAGAAGGGCCAGUCGUGGUGAAUAAUUAUUACUUGAAUUCGAUGAUGGUGAACUGUUCUGGAAUCGAAUGUCAGGGUAUCCUGUUGUUAACCGCUGGUGUUUUGGGUGAUGAUCAACGGUUGGAUCAGAUUCCGGUAGUGUGUGAGUUUCCGGAAGUGUUUCCCAAUGAUAUUGAGGAAUUUCCACCUAACCGAGAGGUCGAGUUUGCUAUUGAGUUGGUGCCUGGGUCGGGACCAAUCUCAAGUGCUCCUUAUAGGAUGUCACCGUUAGAGAUGGCCGAGCUAAAGUCUCAGUUAGAGGAAUUGCUGGGUAAGAACUUUAUCCGACCAAGUGUUUCCCCGUGGGGUGCUCCAGUGUUACUAGUAAAGAAGAAAGAUGGAAGUAUGCGGCUCUGUGUGGAUUACAGGCAGCUGAACAAGGUCACCAUAAAGAAUAAGUACCCAUUGCCGAGGAUUGAUGAUCUCAUGGAUCAGUUACAAGGAGCUGGGGUUUUCUCUAAGAUCGAUUUGCGAUCCGGUUAUCACCAGAUAAGGGUGAGGGGUGAGGAUAUCCUUAAGACCGCUUUCAGGACUCGUUAUGGUCAUUACGAGUAUACUGUAAUGUCUUUUGGGUUGACGAACGCUCCUGCAGUGUUUAUGGAUUACAUGAAUAGAGUGUUCCGUCCGUUUCUGGAUAAAUUCGUUGUUGUCUUUAUUAACGACAUACUGAUUUACUCCAAGACUGAAGAAGAGCAUGCAGAACACUUGCGGACCGUGUUGCAAAUUCUAAAGGAGAAGAAACUCUAUGCGAAAUUGUCUAAGUGUGAGUUUUGGAAGGAUGAGGUGAAGUUUUUGGGUCACGUGGUGAGUAAGAAGGGAAUAGCCGUAGAUCCAACUAAGGUAGAAGCUGUGAUGGAUUGGAGGCAACCAACUACAGUAACUGAGAUAAGGAGUUUUAUGGGUUUAGCUGGCUAUUACCGAAGGUUCAUCAAAGGAUUUUCGCAAUUAGCCUUGUCGUUGACAAAGUUAACUCGCAAAGACACUCCGUUUGUUUGGACUCCUGAGUGCGAGGAGAGCUUUCAGGCAUUGAAGAAAAAGUUAACCACUGCACCUGUGUUAGUGUUACCUGAGCCGAACGAGCCUUUUGAGGGGUACUGUGAUGCCUCAUUAAAGGGUCUAGGAUGCGUGCUAAUGCAGCAUCAUAAUGUGGUGGCGUAUGCCUCACGACAGUUGAGACCUCACGAAGUUAGUUACCCUACGCACGAUUUGGAACUCGCUGCGGUUGUGUUUGCCUUGAAGGUGUGGAGACAUUAUCUCUAUGGGGUUAAGUUCCAAGUCUUCUCUGAUCACAAGAGCUUGAAAUAUCUCUUUGAUCAGAAAGAGCUUAAUAUGAGGCAAAGGAGGUGGAUGGAAUUAUUGAAAGACUACGACUUUGAGUUGAAUUACCAUCCGGGGAAGGCAAAUGUAGUGGCAGAUGCGUUAAGUCGGAAGUCGUUAUAUGCGGCUUGGAUGAUGCUUCAAGAGGAGAAGUUGCUCAAGGGAUUCGAGAGUCUAAAAAUUGGUGUUCGAGAAGUAUCUGGAACCUUGUGGUUGAGCCGAUUAGAAAUCUCGAGUGACUUUAAGUCCGAACUCCUAAAGGCUCAUGAAAAUGAUGAAGCAUUAUGGAAGGUGUUACCGGCUAUCGAGCAAGGAAAACAGAGGAGAGUGUCGGAAGAAAAAGAUGGGUUAUGGAAAUUCAAGGGUAGGAUCAUUGUGCCGGAUGUUGGUACUUUGAGGCAAGAUAUCUUAAAGGAGGCACACAAAAGCGGAUUCUCCAUUCACCCGGGAAGGGAUUGCCAAGGACUAUGACUGGUUUUGAUGCUAUCUGGGUGAUUGUGGACCGUCUGACGAAGUCAGCUCACUUUUUGCCCGUUCGGAUGACUUACACCCUUGAGGAGCUAGCACGGUUAUACAUAAAGGAGAUUGUGAGGUUUCAUGGUGUACCUGCUACUAUAAUCUCUGAUAGAGAUCCUCGUUUCACUUCGAGGUUCUGGGGUGCAUUUCAGAAAGCUUUUGGAACCCGAUUAAGCUUGAGUACAGCGUACCAUCCUCAAACAGAUGGUCAAUCCGAGAGGACGAUCCAAACCCUAGAGGAUAUGUUGAGAGCUUGUGUUUUGGACCAACCGGUGAGUUGGGAUCGGUAUAUGCCGUUAGUGGAGUUUGCAUACAAUAAUAGUUACCAUGCAAGCAUCGGAAUGGCUCCGUAUGAGGCAUUGUAUGGGAGGAAAUGUCAAUCUCCGCUAUGUUGGUAUGAAGCUGGAGAAAAAGGCUGGUUGGGGCCGGAAAUGAUAGCUGAGACCACAGAACAAGUCAAGAAAAUCCGAGAUAGAAUAAUUACGGUGCAGAGUCGCCAGAAGAGUUACGCCGAUCAGAGGCGGAAGCCCUUGGAAUUUGAGGCAGGAGAUCAUGCUUUCCUGAAGGUUACUCCGACCACAGGAGUAGGUAGAGCGAUUAAAGCAAAGAAGUUGAAUCAUUGAUACAUUGGUCUAUUUCAGAUCCUGGAGAGGAUUGGGCCGGUGGCGUAUCGGGUGGCUCUACCACCUCAUCUUUCGAACCUGCACGAUGUGUUUUACGUGUCACAGCUUCGGAAGUACACUCCUGAUGCUAGCCAUGUGUUAGAACCUGAAUCAGUUCAGUUAAGAGAAGAUUUGACGCUUCCAAUGGCUCCAGUUAGAAUUGACGAUACUAGUAUCAAACGGUUGCGUGGAAAAGAGGUUUCAUUAGUCAAAGUGGCUUGGAGUCGAGGCGGUGUUGAGGAACACACUUGGGAACUUGAGUCGGAGAUGCGAACGGAUUAUCCGCAUUUAUUCUCAGGUAAUUGAAUUUGAAUUUUGUGGGCAAAAUUCUCAAUUAGGCGGGUAGAAUGUAAGACCCGGUUAAUUAACGGCUAAUUAACCCAUAAAUGAGAAUUUAUUCUAGAAAGCCAAAAAUGUUAUUUUUUAUGGCUAAAUGUGAUAGAGGAGAUUGAGACGAGAAUUUCGGUACCAAUUUUAUAGAAAACGGACCAAGAUUGGACCAAACGGGCCAAACCAGGCCAACCGGACCCAAAGUGGGCCCUUGGCCCAACUAAACUAAACCAAAACUCUAGUUUUCAGCACUCUCUCUCCUCACAACACACUCAAACACGCUGAAAUGGUGGAGAGGAAGGGAAGAACACUCUCUCAACUUCUUUCUCUCACUUGAUCUUCAAACCACCAGAACUUUUGAUCUAGAGCUCCGAUUGCCGCACCGUUUGUGGGCACGCGUUCACCGCAGAGAGCUCUACAAAACCCAUACAAUCAAUCUUGAGAUAAGCUACGUUUUGCUCUUCGAAUUUCCAGCCUUGAUUUCGAGUUUCAUGAGUAAAAAUAUUGAGAUUUUGGGCUCUUUGAUAUUAUAGGACCCAACUCUCUUGAAGGAGAAGAUUAAUCUUGUCUCCUUGGACCUUGAGUAAGGUAAGAUAUCUCAAACCCUAGUGAGAAUGUUGAACUUGUGGUUGUGGGUGUUGAGCUCUUGUGUUUUGGUAUGAUGAUUGUGGCUUAGGUUGUGUAUAUGUGAAUAUUGGAGCUUGAUUGGUGAUUUUGGAAAGCUUGGGAGAGGGUUUUGUGUGACAAAAUAUGUUCUUGGAGGUGUUGAGACCUUGAGAGCUUGAGGAAAAGUGGUUUGGAAGUGCUCCGGUUGAGCUUGGGAAAUCGGCUAAGGUAUGGUUUCGGUUUUCUGUAUCUAUUAUGUAAUGUGGUAGGAAAUACUUAGGCUAGAGGCCCUAAGAUAGGCAUUGAAUUGUUGGUGUUGUUGAAUGGUUGAGAUAUAUGAUGUGUUCAUAUAUGUGAUUAUGAAUAUUGAUGCCUUGAGCCUUGAAUAUNNNNNNNNNNNNNNNNNNNNNNNNNNNNNNNNNNNNNNNNNNNNNNNNNNNNNNNNNNNNNNNNNNNNNNNNNNNNNNNNNNNNNNNNNNNNNNNNNNNNNNNNNNNNNNNNNNNNNNNNNNNNNNNNNNNNNNNNNNNNNNNNNNNNNNNNNNNNNNNNNNNNNNNNNNNNNNNNNNNNNNNNNNNNNNNNNNNNNNNNNNNNNNNNNNNNNNNNNNNNNNNNNNNNNNNNNNNUGGUUUUGUAUGAAAACAUGGUUUUUGGGCGUACUUUGACGGAAGAUAACCUAGACUGCGGAUCUCUAUUUUCUGCCAAAUCUAUUUAGAAAUGGAAUUGGAUCCGGGAUGUCCAUGCCGUUCGAAGAACGGGUGAAAAACGAUUUAAAAUGAGAAAGUUAUGUCCGUCGGAAGAUUGGGGGUUGAAUCUGUAAAUUCUGCAGCUUUUAACUUAGAAAAUUUUUAGCAAAAUGACCCCCCGCGCGUAGGCGCACUUGGCGCAUACGCGUCGUUCUUCGAGAAAACAUCCACGCGUGCGCGUGGUGUGCGCGGGCGCGUUGAUGCGCUGCACCAAAUGCCCAGCCAUUUUCCCGAGAGUUGUGCCAAAGUUGUGCCAGUUUUGUGCCUGGAGCGCAAGAGCACCCACACGUACGCGUGGCUGACGCGUGCGCGUCGUUUGGCUAAUUUUCAAUCUGCGCGUUCGCGCGUAUGACGCUUGCACGUCAAUGAGUUUUAAGGCCAUCCACGCGGGCGCGUGGAGUGCGCGUACGCGUGGCCCUGUUUUCAUCCCAAAGUUGAUUUUUGAGUUUUAAAAGCCAAAUUUCAUACUUCUAAGCCUCCAAUCUCACCACUUAUGUCUUAAAUCAUUAUGAUAUGUCUAGCUAUGAGAUAAGGGGCUAGUGAAUGUGGUAACUUGCGAGUGAAGCAAGGGAAAAAUGAAUGAUCAAUGAAGAUCAAAGAUGAUUAUGUGAGAUGUGGAGGAUGGCGGUGGAAGUGCUUGUUAUGCCAUGGGCCGAAGGGCCGUAAUUGUAAAUAAAUUGGCUGGUUAUGGAUUUAACCGUGAGCCGGAUGGCUAGAUUAUCGCCGUGUUACGGCAGAGCCAUGUUUAUGGCUAAGUAUAAAUGCAUAUAUGCUGUUGAAUGAAUUGUGAAUGUUGAAAGGGAAGUAUUAGUUAGACUGAAUAAUCUUUAGUCAGUUGCCACUUACGGUUUAGCUUGUUUAUAAGCUUUGAUAUUAUCUGGAGGAAGUUCUAGGAUUUCCUUCGGCUUUCCUCUAUUAUUAUGUAUUAUAUAUGUGGAAGCUGUUACCAUGCUGGGGACCUCUGGUUCUCACCCAUGUGAAUUUUGUGAUUUUCAGAUGCAGGACGCGAGGCUUCUCGUUGAGGCAUGCUGGAGACUUCUGGAUUAGCGAAGAUCCUUUGUUCUCGGGACUCUGUUUUGGGUUAUAUAUUUUGUUUAGAUACUUUUAUCUCCAUUAAAUAAUACAAACUGUGAUGACUCCUCUUAUAGGAGGUUUUGGAGAAUAGGUUUCUGUAUUUGUGUCCCUUUGGGUUUUUCUUAUUUUAUUAUAUGUAUAUAUUGCUAUGCUCGGACCGGUUAUCUUCGCAGCCGGAUUUUGAGUCUUGAUAUUCCUGUUUUUCACACUCCCUUGUAUAUAUAUAAUCUCGCGUUAGCUUAUCCUUUGCUCGUUACGUUAUCGAUCGGAGUGUUGCGCGUUCGAGUUACGGUUUUUGUUUACCCCUUUUUCUACAAAGGCUCCUAGUUAUAAUCAAUUAUUCAUACUACUAUACGUACUAAAUUUUUGUUUUAGAGGUCGUAAUACCUUGCCAUCUCUGAAUUAUGACUUAAGCAUAAGUCUCUGUAUGGUAGGAUGUUACAGUAGGUGCUGCUUUGACUAAUGGUUAGUGUUAAUGAAUGCCUUAGGCUCGUGUAAAGGAUAGUAACUUGCGGGAGUUUACUAUAGAGAAGACUUGUAAUUACGUCACCCAAAAAAUACCUUUUACAUUUGGGCUUUGCAAGUAAGUGGACAAAUUUAAAUAAAUUGUUAUGGUUUUUAUUAUUUCUAAUACUGGUAUAAUAUAAGUGGUUAUGGAUUUGUGAAACAAAAUAUCUUGUCGAUUUAUUGAAGUCAGUGAUGAAACCAUAUUUGAUGAUAAAUUUUGAAUUGAUUUGAGUGGAUUUCAUCAUACAAACCAAUAUUUAUUCACCUAAAUAGCAUGCUUUUGUGCUUUCUCUUUAAAUUAUGUCCAAUCUUGAAAACAUGCUAUUUUGCGCUUAAUUUGAUCAAUUUUAUUCCACUUUCAUUCUAUUCGAUGCCUUGAUGUUUUGAUGAGUGAUUGUAGGAGUAAUAGGUUAGAAUGGCUUGAUAAGGGUGGAAAGAAGCAUGCAAUUAGGAGAAAACAUGAAAGAAACAAAGGAGAAGCACACAGCCAAGUGUGCGUACGCACAACUUUCUGUGCGUACGCACAAGUGCAGAAAUCAGCAUGUGUGCGUACGCACAAGUCCCUGCACAUGACUUCAUUAAAAAGUCACAUGGCUCGCGAUUUGGGAGGCUUUUUGGCCCAAUUCUGAAGGGUUUGAAGCUUAUAAAGGAGGGGCUAGCAACCAUACAACCUAACAACUCAUACCAUACAUUAUACAACACACUUAGGAUAGUUUUAGGUAGUUUAGUUUAGGUUUUUCUCUCAAUUUUUCUUAAGAUGUAAUUAAGGUUUUUGCAUUCUCCAAUUUUGAUCUUGGUCUCUAGCUUAUUUUCAUUGUAAGUAUUUCUUAAUUUUCUCUUUUAUUACACUACUUGUUCUACACUUUCUUAUAUUUUAAUUUCCUUCAUCAAUACAUAUAUACUUUUGCAAUUUUGAGUUUUGAUUAAUGAAUUUGAUGUUUAGUGAUUUUUAUAUGUUUAUUGAGUUGCCAUUGUUGAUUUUAUUCUUUUGUGGUUCAUAGUUUUUUAUCAAUUUCUGAAUUUUGCCAUGUUUUAUGAUUAUGCCCACCAUGUGUUUGAUGAAAUACCAAUUUUGAUUAUGGGAAAAAUUUCCACGCCUUGGCAUAGGAAAAUGAGUAUAUGGAAUACUAGAGUCAUAAUGUCCGACAUUUAGUGAUAAUUCUUGGGUUGUUAGAUGUUAUUGUUUCCACUAACGCUAGUUUUUUACCAAGGUAAUUAGUAAGUUAGCUAGGAUUUAUGGAUUAAUAACAAUUAUGCUCACUUGACUUAUUCUUUGAUGUUAAGGGUUGACUUGGUGAGAUUAAUCCAUCAUAAUUAUCAUAGUUGUGGUUAUGGCAAGGAAGGAAUUCCAUAACUCAUCCCAAGUCAAGGCUUCCAUUUAUGUUUUGAACCACCUUUCCAUCUUUUUAAGCUUUACUUGUUCAUACCAUAUAGAUAGUUCUUUAAUUCCUUUAUUAGUUUAUUAAUUAUAAUUUUGAUCAUUCUUUAAUUCCUUUAAUCGUUUGCCUCACUAUUGAAAACCCUUUGAUUUUCACAACCAAAAUUGUGCACUUGUUGUCACUAGUUCCUAGGGAGAACGACCUGAAGUUUUAUUACUCUCGGUUAUUUUAAUUUGAAUUAAACUUUGAUUGAUGAGAUUUAAUUGCCAGAUUGGACUAUGCUACUGACGAAGUGAUUCGUGUUUUGAGAAAUUUUAAACCGGCACAAAAUCUCACUCAUCAAGUUUUUGGCGCUGUUGCUAGGGAGCUAGUGCAAUUGAGUGCCAUAAUUUUGAUUGUUGUGCAUAUGUGAAUAGUGUGAAUAGAUACUUUUUGGGUUGUUUGUUUGCUUUUGUAAGUAAUUAGGAUUUUGUUUCUUUUGUUACUUGAUGUCUUUUGUUUUUAUUUUCUAUUUUUCUUUAUGAGUUAUCACUCUCUUUACUUGGAGAACAGUUAUGAUCAUUUUGUAGGGCUUGAUAACUUCAAUUUUGGAUUGCAUUAUGGAAUGGAAAAUUCAAUUGAGGAAGGCGCAAUCUCCUCCUUAUUACAAUGAGUCAAACCCUCCCCAAUAUGCAUACCCAAACCAAGGAUAUGGUGGAUUUCCCAAUGAUUACAUACUUCCACCACCAUAUACCUAUGACCCAUACCCCCAACAUAAUUCUCAAUCACCACAUUUUCAAACACCACACCAAUACCAUCAUCCACCUCCUUACAUACCAUCUCAAGAUACUCAUCAACGUGAACUACCUCCCACAUAUACAACCUUCCUCCCAAACAAUGAAACCCCUUUUUCACCACAAUGUAAAAUUCUCCAAUCCUUGACCCAAGAGCAACAAGACCUUCAAGUCUUUCUCUAAGAGCAAGAAGAACUUCGAAGGACACAAGGAAAACUCAUGUCUACCAUAGCCGAGGCAGUGAACCGUUUAGUCCUUCUACGCUCAUCCGAUCAAGGCACUCCUCUUGAAGAAUGUGAAGGACCAACUAAAGAAUGGAGUGAAGAGGAGAACAUGAAGCCUCAGGUGGAAGAAGAGGAGCUAAGGUUGGAACCGCAACAAGAGGAGGAAAGUGGGAUGAGUGAACCGGAAGAGGUAGAGGGAGAAUUGAGGAAGAUUGAUCUAGAUGUGGAUUCCAUCAUCGACAAUUUUUUGUCCACAUUGGUCAAUCCCCUUAAUGAUCUUAAUGAACCUCUUCCCAUUAAGUUUGAAAGAGAUACGGAGGUAGACUUCUCACAACCUCCUUCUUAUGAUUUGAGUGAUGGGGAAGAGGAAGUUGGUGAGGAAUCAAUUCCGUUCCAAGAGCAUAUUGAGUGGGUGGCUGAUAAACCACUAUUUUAUGGUUUAUCUUGUGCUCAAUUGAGUGGAUUUUAUCAACUCUUUACCCACUUAUUCAUACUAUUUGCAUGAGUUUACAUUCUCAUUCUUGAUUUUGUGAUAUGAUUGAAAACAUGCUUCUUUGGCCUUAAGUUCCCUACGUUUAAUCCUCUCUUAUUACCAUUAGAUGCCUUGAUAUGUGUGUUAAGUGAUUUCAGAGAUUAGUGGCAGUUUCACCGAUGAACUUCAUUGGCCCCAUCAAUAUGCUAUCUUGGAGACGGAUUACCAACCUAAGGUUCUUCUUGGGUUGGUACAUGGUGGAGAAAGGGGUGUUGGUUGCCAUGUGAAUCCAAGGUUCUUCAAGAAAACCAUUUCAAGAGUUGGAGUUCAAGUGGGAUGCAAGGCACAAUUAUGUGAUUUCCAGAGAGUGUUGGGUUACUUCAAGGGUAAUUUAAGAGUUUGUCCAUCCGACUUGAAGCAUAGAGAUCAACAAGAAGGAGAAUGGGAAACUAGAAUAUAGGAUCCCGGAGGAGCUUUGAAGUGCAAGCUUGGAUGGAGAUUCAAGGAGGAGUGGAAACAUAAGCCACCCUAACAAGAGUCUCCUCAAAAAGUCUAACUUAAGGACUUUAAAUAAAAGUGGUAGUUGGGAGACACCCCACUAUGGUAACAUUGUUUCAACCCUUCUCUUUGUUUAUAAUUUGCCUUAACUGCAUUUUUGUUUGUCUUAGCUAGAUUAGGAUUAGUUUAAUUUUGAGCAUAGGUAGGUUGAUUUUCAUAUGGAUCAUAAAUUUAUGGAUUUCUGGAUGUUUUGGGUUGAAAUUUGUGUUGAGCUAAGGAUUAAGGGACUUAGAAAUUAAGAAAUUUUUUUUUUUGGAAAAACAAGGCAUUGUGCGUGCGCACACAGUUGUGCGUACUCACACAAUCACUGAAUUCUGCGUCCUGUGCGUACGCCGCACACUUGUCUUCACAGCCCCUGUUGGGAGCGCUCGCACGCUUUUGUGCGUGUGUGCAUCCCAGUUUUUGCUCCUUGUAUGUGCACACAAGCUUGUGCGUACGCACAAAAACCCCAAAUUCCUCAUUUUGUGUAUACGCACACUCAUUUGCAUCCCUUCUGUUGGAAGCGCUCGCACCUCUCUGUGCGUGCGCACCUUGGCCUUUUUGCUCUCUGUGCGUAUGCACACAUGCUUGCGCAGGCACACAUGAUCUGUAAAAAAAAAAAGUCUUCUGUGCGUAUGCACACCUUUGUGCGUACGCACACAUCUUAAUUCCCUCUCUGCUCGGAGCAUUCGCACAUGUCUGUGCGGACGCACACCCCCCAUUUUUCACCCAGUGUGCAUGCACACACCUGUAUGUGCGUAUGCACAAGUGCUGCUUUGGGCAAAAUUUUGAUUUCACUUUGAAUUAAACCCUAAGGCACUUCCACCCCUCUCCAUCUCUCUCUUUUCUUUCUUUUACCCUUUUUUCUACUUAUCCUAGUUAGUUUUAUUUGCAUUUCAUUUUGAUUUUAGUAAUUUUAUUAGGUUUGAUUUAGUUGUUUGUCAAUUAAAUAAGUUGCAAGUAUUUUCUUGAUGUUGAUUAGGUUGCUUCUUGCUUGCAAUUUUGGCUUAAUUUUUUAUUAAUAUGUGCACUAAGCAUUAAGUUUUUGUUUAAUUGCCUAAAUGAAUUGUGAGUUUGAUUCAUAUGUUGUAGCUACCAUAUGUAUUAGACUAUAUCCUUGUUUGGCAACUUAAUCAUGAAUUGUGCACCUUGGAUGAUCAUUGAUGUUAUUUAAGAUUGAAGUUCAUCAAUGCACUUAUACUUUGUCUUAAUUUACUAAGUAUCUAGUGGGUUUAAAAAUUCAUGUUUUGAUUACACCCUAGGACAAAUUAUUUGUAAGUGCAUUGAAUAUUAGUGAAUUGAGUUGAAUUACUUGUUCAUCAUGCCUCUCAUAUAAUCACAUUACACGGUACUUGUUUGUUUUUAAUGUUAUACAUUUGUUUGAGUGACUCGACUUGAUUCUUAUCAAGCUUGUCACUUUUUGCAACAAGUACCUUUACCAUGUGACUAUUUCAUUAUGUUUCAUGAUGAAUAAGGAGUUUUCUUUUCAUUAUUAGAUUGGUUAUUGUUUAUUGUGCUUCUAUAUCAAUUUUGCACUUUCCCUUGCACAAUUUCAAUAUCCAAUAUCUCAAAUAUUCAAUUUACUUUAGUUGUGGUUACCUAGGUUUUUAUGUGCCUUAUCUCUUGCUAAUGCUUUACUUGCAACCUAGGCUACUUAAUUGAGGAAUACAUGCUAUUUCUUUUUUAUUGUGUGGUUUUUGUUUUUACCCGGCCAAUGCGUCUGUUCUAAACCGUGCACACUUAGAUACACACAUUGUCGUCUAUCAUACCACACUCAUUUGAACUCUUCCUCAAUUCCUGUUUAAUUAUUUUAUACAGCAACCCGAGUCCGGUGCCCACCAGAUGAAGGUGGAGCCUCUUAGAGUCUUUCAUCCCCCGGAUUACAUGCGUGCACAGAGGACCGUGCAAUAUUUAAGUGUGGGGAGGAUCCGCAAUUUUGGGGUGUAAAUUUCUCUUUCUAACACUUUGCACUAUUUUUUUUUUAGUUUUAAGUGUGGGGGAGGAUCCACAAUUUUAGGGUAUAAAUUUCUCUUUCUAACACUUUGCACUAUUUUUUUUUAGUUUUUAGUAGUUAUGAAUUUGGUGACUACUAGAAAUAGGGUGUUUUUGGACGAAAAUUUCAAACGAAAUUUAUUCCGUCUGAAUGACUUUUUCAUUUCGAACAAAUUUGAGACAAAUGUAGAACAAUUUUUAGUAGAGACAUUGGAAUAAUAUAUUCUAUCCUAAAUUUGCCUAAAUUUUGUCCUAAAUAUUGGCGCCAAUUUUUUUUUGGAUGGCGCCAAAAUUUUCAUACAGAUUAGCAACACAUUUUGGACAAAAACUAUAAUUCGUCCGUAUUCUAUCUGAAUAUGCGCAAUAACUUCAGACGGAUUUGGGACGCAUUUUGAAAAAUGUUAAUUCUAUCCCAAAUUUGUCUAUAAUUAGUCUUAAAUGCUUUUACUAUAGCUAACCCUUCGAAGUAGCUAAAAUUUUUUCCCACAAAUUUGGGACGAAAAUAACAUCAUUUGUAAAUUCUGUUUGGAAGUGCAUCAGUUUUCAAACAAAUUUUAAAUGUUUAUUAAAAAAUUUUAACAUUUAGUAUAAAAAUAUUAUUUAUAUUUUAAAUUAGUCUAUUAUUUUUUAAUUUAUUCUUUUAAUUAUUUACUUUAUAAUCAUUAUCUUCGUCUUCAUCCUGGUCCUCGUCCUCAUUCUCAAAUGUCUCAUCAUCAUCAUCAUCUUCAUAUCUUGUACUAUCGGUAUCCAAUAAAUCAAUAAUAGUGUCAAUAUUAUUUGAGAUAUGAUUGUUAGAUUGAUUUGUGACAUCUUCUUGAUAUGCAAAAUCUUCUGUGUUUCAAUCUCAAUCUCACCUCUUGCUUUAGUCUUGAAUACAAACCACCAUUCUGCUUUUAACAAAAUGAAAUAAAAAUAAAAUAAAAAUAUUUAUGAUAGAGUAAAAUUAACAAAAUACUUAUUGUNNNNNNNNNNNNNNNNNNNNNNNNNNNNNNNNNNNNNNNNNNNNNNNNNNNNNNNNNNNNNNNNNNNNNNNNNNNNNNNNNNNNNNNNNNNNNNNNNNNNNNNNNNNNNNNNNNNNNNNNNNNNNNNNNNNGUUCCAAUUAAUAUAGAAUAGCUAGAUAUUCUUAAAAUAUUAGUGAAAAUAUAUAUUUUAAAUUUUAAUUUUAAAAUUUUGACUAUUUUUUAUUUUAUAUUUAUAUAGGACUGAGUCAAUCGGUUCAACCAGUGAUCCAUCAGUUGAACUAAUGACCCAGUGAUCCAGUAAUCUGACUAGUUCGAUUACCGGUUCGGUUUUGAUAACUAAAUAAGAUAAAUUAAAUAAAGAACUACCCUUAAAGUAAUAUUAAAAUUUUUAAUAAUGAAAAUUAUAGUAAUGAACAUUAAACCACAUAAUGAUAAGUCACAAAAAAAAUCACAUAAUGAUAGUUAUUAAAAAAGAAUUUAUCUAUGAAGAAUUUUUUUCAAUUGACUCUUUUAGCACACUAUAUAUAGAUACAGUAGCUCAAAAAAAAUUUUACUUAUCUAGAAGUCUCUGGUAUGGCUUAUGAGAUGGAUUGGAGACUUAUGAGUCGAAACAGUUGUUAGUUUUUUUACUGGAGCGAUUGGGUUAGUACUUAGCAAGAACACUCCGACGCUCAAGUUAGAAUGGAUUUAUGAAAUAUAUGUGUGUGGAAUAAGGAAUGUAACUGAGGGGCCUCUGGCUCCCCUUUAUAUAAUUCGAUACAGUUAUCUUAUCUUAUCUAUCUUAUCUAUUAAUAUAAAAGGAAUUUUUAAUUUCAAAUAUUGAUUUUACUAAAUAUUUAUCUUUUAAGAUUAUUAUAUAACAAAGAUUUAAGAACAUAAUUUAAUUUAAAAAUUUUAAAAUUAAUAUUAGAUAUAAUUCUUUUUAAAUAUCUAUCAUUUAGAUAUCAAUAUUCCAUAAUUUAUUGGAUAUAUUUUUGUUGCAAUCUUAUCUUUUUUUAAUUUGUUAGUAAAAAUUAAAUAUAAUUUUAAUUUUAAAAUUUGUUAUAUGCAGUUGUUUCAAAGUCACUUAUUUAAUUUGCGCCAAAAAUAAAAAAUUUAUUCAAAACCGCCUUUUUAGUUCCAAAUAUUUUAGUUUUUGAAUGCUUUCUCGCUCGUAUGUAUCAUAACUAGCUAGGUUACCUUCCAAAAACCCAACAUUUUUUCAGCAUUCCCUUUUGGUUUCAGCGUCAGUUUUGGAUCUCCGUCUCCCUCCUUCUGCGUGCUCCCUCCUUCUGCAUUCUCUGCCUUCUGUGGUCACCGCUCGUGCUUCGCACUCAACGCUACGACAGCCACUGCUCCAGCCUCCACUCUCGCACCUCAGACUACCUCUACCCUCUAGAUUCGAACAAAAAAUCUCUUUUUUCACCCUCAUUCAGCGACGUUCGUCUUUUCCCUUUUCUCUUUUUAAGGACACAAAUCAUGAAUAAAAUAAAAUGUACUAACUAAUUCACCUAAAAAUUUAUUAAUCUAAAUCAGAAAAAAUAUAUACUCUAGACAUCAAUUACUCAUGUUAUCAUCCUCAUUAUUACUAGAGCCUGUACCGAGCUCAUUUUCUGUAGGAACAGACAAGGUUGAAGAAAUUGGGAGAUUCAACUUUUAUAUAAAGUAUCAAGUGUCUUUUUAGUAGAACUAAUUCUUUUCUAUUGAGCUUUUAGUUGACGUCCUUGAUCUUUUAACUUGUGCUCAAUAUCAUUCAACUUAACCUUUUGCUCUUUAUUGAUAAUUUCUUGCUCCUUUGCCUUUUCUUUCCAUAUGUGAAGUUCUUGCUCAAUAUUUAUAUCGUCUUUGGAUGUCUCUGGGCAAUCUCUGGAACCCAACUUUGAAGAGAGAUCUAAACCAAAAGAAUCUAAACAAAAAGCAGCUUUCUUUUUUCCUUUUGUUACAACUUCAUUCCAAAUAGGGUAAUCAUCUGGCAUAUCUAGGUCUUCCUUAGAUGCCUCAACAUGUCCCUUAUUAUCUAAGGAUAAAGCUACUUGAGAAAGUUCUGUCUUUCGCUUUUUGAAUUCACCCUACAAAACUAAUUCAUUUUAAUCGCAACUAAAUAUGCCAUGAACAAAUACUAACAUAUAGUGAAAAUUAUUUUUGAAAAAGACAAAAGAAGAACAAACUAGCAUCACAUACAUUGACUUUUUGAGAUCUUUCAUCAAUCCAACUCUUGUCGUUUUUGAUGUGGCAUUUAGUAUAAACCUCCUAUAGAGAAGGUUUUACUCCCGUAGCUUUCUCCUAUAAUAUUAUAGUUUUAAUCCAUAGGAAAGAAAAAAAAGAAUAAGAAAACAUUGCUCAUAAUAAGAACAAGACUAAAAUUUUAAACUAUUUUUAUCUUACCAUUCUUCGUGCAUGUUCACCCAUAGAUAUGGAACUACUAGUGUGCAUGAAAUCUCCAGGAUUUGAUGCUCGAUUCAUAGUAUUUGCUGUUGCCCAGUUCUUAAAAUGUGAAUCUGUAGCCCAAUAAUGCAAUAGUUGAUGCCAAACUGGUGCAAGAAUAUAUUUUGGUAUAUAGUCAGAGUCUUUUGAAUACUUGACUCUCUCUUGACUCAUCAACCCUUUUACUCGAGCACUCUCUUUAAUCUAAAAAAUUUGACAAACUCUUGCAUUGUGUUGAGGAUCCCACAUACAAUAUUUCUCUAAAAGAAAAUAUACAUAUACAAUGAAUUACCCACUAUGUAUAAUAUCAAAAUAUGCAAAAAAAUGAUAAUAAAUACUUACCUUAAAUUUAGUAAACUACAAAUCUCACAUUUGAUCACUGGCAUGUCUCCAUGUAGGGUAGCAUUCUGAAUAUUUGCUUUUAAUGGCAGUUGUUACAUAACGAACAGUAAUACAUGGAUUAAACCUAUAAACAGGUCAAAUAAUAAGUAAUUACACAUCCAUUCACAAUAAAAAUAAUAUAGAGAGAACAUUAAAACACAAAGGUGAUGGUUGUACUUACUCAUCUCCAAAAUGCACUAUUUUCAAGAGCCCUUCUUGAGUGACAGGUUUGCCUUCUUGAUUAAGAGAUUUAUCUUGAUGAUUUUUAUAUGAUGAGUGAGCAUGAUAUAAAUUUUGUUCAAUAUUAGGAUCAUUAUCAAAUGAUUGAGGUUGGAUAGGUGAACAACAUUGUGAUUCAACUGGUGAUAGUGAUGGUGAUGGUGUAUAAUCGGCAUGAAAUGAUAACAUUUUCUUGAAUUUUUGUGGUGGCUGCGAAGAAGAGGGUGGUAAUGCUGAAGGCUUUUUAGAUACAUGUGAAGGAACUGGAGCUCGUGAUUUUGUAGGUUUAGGGUGUGAAAGCUUAGUUUUGUGUGCACUAAUCACCUUCUUAUUAACAGAUUUUCGCACAUUAAUUAACAAGUAUUUUUUUUUAAUAACCUGACAUCUAAAACAACAUAAAAAUUUAUAAGAUUAGCAACACAUAUUGCAUUUAAAUUUUAGUAAUAUAUACAUCAUCGAAAUAAUUAAAAUAAUAACAAUGUAAAAUAGUACUUAGCUGCCAAAAUAAUCAAUUAGGAUAUAAAAUAAAGUGCUACUGUGCUUUAGUAGUAAACUACUAAUAUAUAUGUAUACAUAAGCAUUUUGAAUCAUUCAUAGUUAGGAUAAUACUAUAUGCACACAUAUGAUAAAACUACAGCCAAAUACACACAUUAGCAAUUAUUAAUUAAAUUUCUCAAAGAUGAUGCUUUUUUAUAUCUCGUUCUUUAUAUAAUUAUGCCGAGUUCGAAUAUGUUUAACUGAUAAGACAGACAAAAUUUGAUUCUUCUAUAGGUUAGUUAUGGGAUGGACAAGAUUCUUUGAAGGAACAAGGCUGUUUGACUGCAUCAGCUUUCCCAACAAGGUAACAACCAAAAAAACUUUAAUGUAGUAAUUAACUUUUAAAAUUUUAAUUACAUACCACAAUUUAACUUUUUUGUAGAUCCACCCUAUUCCAGUUCAUGUUGAAGAAGGUAAAUGUAUUCUAAUUUAUGGAAGAAUAUAGUGCAAUUGUUUUGUUUUCUCCUUCUAUUUACAUUUUUUAAUUCAUGAGUUAUAAUACAAAUAGGUUAGAGAUGGGGAGAAAUAAUGCUUAACUCUUGUACAUUAUAUAUCAUUACUAUUGCUCACUACAUAUUAGUCGUGUAAAAAUUAGGUAAUAAUUCUGUUUUGGUGGAGAAAAAAAAAAGGAAAAACAGUUAAUCAAAAUACGGCUCUUUCUUGGUAUUAUUUUUAUUGAGAAGCAGGUCCAUCUCAAACUUGACUUGCAAUUUUUGAAAGACUAGCAAAUGGCCACUUCUGCAGUGCAAACUAUUUUUGUAUUUGAAUUUUAUCUUUCUACGUUAGCCUUAUAAAUACAACAAUAUUUCUGUUUGAAUUUUGUAUUUGCUUGCACAGGAAAUAGUCUACCCAGAUAUUCCUACAAGAAGGUGUGACACCCCCAAGAAUCACGAGAUACUUUCCCAAGGAACUCAUGCUAGCAACUACGGCCCGCUAAGCAAGCAUUUCAAUCAAUAACUGAAAUGUUUCCUAAACAAGAUAACACACAAUAACAGAUUGAAGAUGCAAUAAUCCCAAAAUGGAACUCUGUAAUUGGAACUUUUGUAUCUUUAACAUCGACUCAAUCACCAUCGGUUUCUUUAACUAAAAAGAAUGGAUAAAACUACUGGUCUCUUUUUGGCGAGAGAUUCUAAUUAUAAGGUACACUCUACCAAAUUUUCUAAAACUUUUAAUAAGUUGUGUUGUUGGUUUAAUUCUAGAGUGUGUGUUGCAAUAUGAUUUCAAGUCAUUGUCUAUGGAUGUAGAUAGGGAUAAUAGUGGAGGGGGUUUAAAACUUGAAUUCUCUGAGGGGGACGCAUUUGUUGCGCAUGUCUUCAACAUGGAACCGUUUAGGUCUGAAGGGGUAUCCAGAUGUUUGUGUUAUAGGUGUCGGCUGACUAAGUGGUUAGGACCUUCGAUAUAACGCUCCACCUCUACCGUAAUGGGUUCAAGGAUGGGUAUUAGAUGUGGACAGAACAUGAAGAAGUGGACGAGUAGGAAAUUAACCGGUCUCCCUCGAAUUUAAAUAGGUCCGAUGGUCGAUCAAUGAGGGUUCGGGUGGUGAGAGAACUAAACAUGGAAGAAAUGAAUUGGGAGUGUAACCAAGAGAGAUACAAUGAGAUGGUGUUUGAUGCAAUAGGUGUUACAGAAAUGGAAGAGGUUGAACAAGAGCCUAACCCAGAGGUAAAGAGAUUUUAUCAUCUGUUAGAAUCUGCCACGACACAUUUGUUCGAGGGGUGCGUUUAUUCGAAGUUUUUUGCAUGUGCUAGAAUGAUGAGUAUUGAGUCAGAGUCAAAUCAUACCCAAGAGUCUUUUGAUAAGUGGGCCACCCUUUGCAACAAACUGGUACCUGUCAGGACCACUAGCAUCCCCAAGAGCCCGUACGAAGCAAAGAAGUUAGUUUCGAAAUUGGGUCUAAAAAUUGAUUGUUGUUUAAAUUGUUGUAUGUUGUACUACAAGAGGGAUGUAGACCUAACUGAAUGUAGAUUUUGUCAAGAGAGAACAGAUUGGUAAACAACAGUUAAAGAGAGUUCCAAUGAAACAGAUGCACUACUUACCCUUAAUCCCUAGGUUGAAACAAUUGUAUACAUCGAUGAGUUCGGCCCCUCACAUGACCUGGAAUAGUAACAACAAGAGAACACGAAAGCACAAGGACUACAAUAUCACUGAAGGUAAUAUAACAAGAAAAUAUAAGCACUAAAAUCCUUUUAUUCUACCUUAAAAUGUACGACAGAUAUACUAUUUGCCUUAUUCAGGUUCAUGCAAGUCUAGUUGGAUGAUUGUGGUUAAGACUAAGCAAAGAGGCCACAUCGAGUCUGAUGAGACAGAGAUCAAGAAGCUUGCCAGAUUGAUGACCUAACUCCUUCAAAAAUGGUGGUUGAUACCGGUGAUCCAAUCACCUUUAGGUUGCCUGUUAUGGAUGAUGAUAUCAUUGACCUUUAAAUAGAUGAUGACGCACAACCACCAGAGGAUGAUGAUCUUCAAGAAGAAGAUGGGGUCGAUGGCGACGAAGAAGAGGAAGACGAGUUCAAUGAUCAGGAAACUACUUUAAAAGAGGUGGAUGGUGAACUAGAGGAAGACGACGAUGAAUCUGAAUAGGGUUAAUGUAAAUAUAGUUCUAUCUUAUGUAUUUCUAUACCAAACUUUGAGAAGAAUGUAAUAUAAUUAGCAUUGUUUCAGAUAUUCCAAAUACCAUUAUUCCGUAUUUUUAAUUUGUAUAUUUGAUAUUUCACAUCAAGUUUAAAGCAUUGUUUCAAUUAUUAAUUAUCGGGGUACAUUAUAGAUGGACAGAAAAAAUUAUUUAAAAAGAAAAAUCUACUGUCGAAAUAUACCGACGGUAACAGCCCAGGUAAUUUUCCAAAAAAACUUAGAAAAAAUAUUUCCGUUGGCUUUUAUCGUCGGAUUAAGGGCGCGCGAAGCCGUAUGCUUUGGCGCCAAUGUUACCAUUGAAAAUUUUCUGACGGUAAGUUGCAACAGAUUUUCUUUUUUUGAUAUGCAUAUUUCGCCGCAAAAUCUGACCCAAAUUACUGUCAGAUACAUAAAUCCGAUGGUAAUUUGUUACCGACGAGGUUUGUUCCGUCGGAUAAAUUUCGACGCAAAAUUUGACGAUAAAUUGUGUACCGUCAAAUUUUAUUCGUUUUUUCGACAGUAAAUUUAUCGUUACUCAACGUUUUCUUGUAGUGACUAUUUUAAUUUAUUAUAUAUUUUGAGGUUAAAUUUUUAAUUUUGAAGGUCUAAAUUUGAAUAUAUAUAUAUAUAUGGUAACUUCUGUAGUGGCUAUAUGGUGGAGACCAAUGGAAGUAAGGCAUGGAAGGUAUAAUAGAAAUUGACCUUAUAUGGUGGAGACCAAUGGAAACAAGACAUAUGGAAGGUAUAAUAGGAACCGACCAGGAUUUUAACCAGGUUAAAGGUAGGGUAAAUCUCUUAAUGAAACAUGGUAAAUUAUUAAGUGAGUGUUAAUUUAGUAGAUGAAUUUAACAAAUAAAAAGAAAAUUAAAUAAAAAAUUAAUAAAACAAAUAAAGAAGUAAAAGGAAAAAUUAGAUUGAUCAAAGAGAAAGUAUAGGGAGCCAAUGGAAUAUUUGUACAAUGUGUACAAUGGAGAUUUAGGGAUGUCCGAUUCAGUAUUAGAGAUAUAACCAUUAGUGUUAUCUUUUCCUAUCAGCUGAAGCUUUUAGGAUGAGUGGUAUCAUGACAUGGUAUUAGAGCUCUAGAUCCAAAAGGUCAAGAGUUCGAUUUUUGGUGAACGGAUGAUAUGUUUAUUAUCCUUAGUACCCGGAUGGUUAUUCUGGAUAGUAUGGGUGAUGUUCAUAAUUAGGUUUAGAUUCUUGCCGUCGCAAGGCAAUGGUUUUGAAAUUUGCACCCCCCCUGAGGGAGGAGUUCCUUACCGUAUUGCGUUGGUUUCAUCCAAGUAAGUGCUGACUCUAUUUGUUCGCUGUGUUUUUCUUUCAUAUAGUGGAGACAGAGGAAGGCGACAGUGAGUCUUCUGACAAACACAAAGUUGCAAUGGCUGUUGAGAUCAUUGUCGCUGAUGGAUCGAGUAAGUCACCGACGAAAUUAGAGAGAAGAACCGCCGAUGCCGCUACUGUCCAUCACUAUCGUCACUAAGGACGAUGCCACUGGAAUGCUCAGCCAAGACGAGACCACUAACAAUGAAGAAACCUCAGCUAGGGAGGACAGACAAAUGACAAUGAUGAAAUGUAACUUAUAUGUGGAGGGUUUUUAUUUUUGCUGAUUUUUGUCUGAUUUUCGAUUUUCUGGUAAUCUGAAUCUUUGACUUUUUCUAGCCUAGGGUUUCUGAUUUUCUAUUUCAGUUAUAAUCUUUAGUUUUGUGUUUGUUUGAUUUUGUUGAAAUAACAUAGUUUGUGUGUGAUUGGCUUGCUCAUGAGUAAGUGACUUGAUUAAGAACUUAUAAAAAGCUAUUGUUACAUAUUUUUCUUCGAAUAAUUGCCGCAUUGUUCCUCAAUUAAGAACUCUUUUGAUGAUAUUGGUUGUUGCACUAUGUUUCUAAGGAGAAAGGGGCCAGAAUUGCAUAUAGUCAUAUAGAUAUCUUUGUAAUUGACUUCUUUAUUUAGAAACAUUUAAAUUAAUUAACAAAUUUGAUCUACAAGUUAUGUGCUGACCAACUAAAUAAAUUUUAUUUGGAGUGCAAACCAACCUAUUUGCUACCUUCUUAUGUUAGCAUAGAGGAUUUAUUGAAUAGGAAAGGAAGAGAAGAAGGGUGUGUCCAGAACAUCUACCAGAGUUUCAUUGAAUAGUCAAUUAUACAUUAUUGAUUGUGGUGAAAGUUGUAAUCUAGUGAAUUGUACGCUAAUAAUAAAUGAAAUUGUAUAUUAACUUCCUGCUUUUGAUUUGAAAACUAAUAGAUCUGUGUAUGUUAGACUUUUAUUUAUACAAAUUCUAAAAGUUUUUGUUCUAUUGCAAUAUGUUUAGUUCGAACUCAAAGAGCAAGAAAUUGAAACUUUUGGAGGGUUGGAAUUAAUGGAGUUGCAAUUCUAUGUCAUGACACUUGUCUUCAAGUCUAAGUGGCAACAAAGAGGCUUUUGAAAGGGGAUGAGAAUUGUAAUUGUGUUCUUAUACAUGUUUAAUAAAUAAUUUUUUACACAUGUUUAAUAUUUACUUUCUUCACAUUUUGACACGCAUAACAAAAAUAACUUGCCAAUAUUUCCCGCUAAUAAUAAAGGUACGAAUAAUGCUAUACAUCUUAAUUUUUUUUAUGAACUAAGUCAAAGCAAGUUAAACAAUAAGAUUUGGAAUAAUGCUUGUUAGAAACAAGAGACUGAGAGAGUAAUCUGAAAAGUGUAUUAUUGAGUUGUGUUCAGAAGUACAAUAUAUAAGGGGUAUUUAUAGGUGCUAAAUGAAUCAAAGUAAUAAAGACAUAGAAUCUUACAAUUAAUGUACAGAUAUACUAUAUAAAUAUAGACGAUACUAAUUGAUUUAAAUUGAUUCUAAUGAUUCUCUAACAUGAUUCUCUAACAUCCCCCCUCAAACUCAAGUGGAAGCUAAGGAGACCAACUUGAGUUUGGAUAACAAAGUCCGGAAACGAGUCGGGUGAUGAGCUUUCGUGAAGAUAUCAGCAGUCUGAUCCAGUGUUCCAACAGCAAUGAGACGAACAGCAUCAAUAAGAAUACGUUGCCGAACAAAAUGAUAAUCAAUCUCAAUAUGUUUGGUGCGUUCAUGAAACACAUUAUUAUGGGCAAUCUGAAUAGCACUGUGGUUAUCACAAAAAACAUCAGUAGGGGACGACUGAGGAGCACCCAGAUCUUCGAGAAGCCAACGAACCGAGAUAACCUCAGCAGUGGUGUCAGCGAGAGCACGGUAUUCAAAUAGACGAGGAGCGGACAACGAACCGAGAUAACCUCAGCAGUGGUGUUAGUGAGUCGUACGAGGAGCGGACAAGAACUGGCUGAGGACAUGUACUGGAUAGGCAAUGUCUGGUCGGGUGACAGUCAAAUAGACGAGACCGCCAACUAACUGUCGAUAGAGAGUCGGAUUAUCCAAAACAGUGCCAUCCAUAGGGGUAAAUCGAACAUUAGGCUCAAUAGGAGUAGACUCAGUGCGACUAUCUGUAAUCCCAUCGCGAGCAAGAAGAUCUGAAGCAUACUUAGCCUGAGAGAGAUAGAUGCCAUCAUCUGUGGAGAUGACAUCGAGACCAAGAAAAUAGUUGAGAGAACCAAGAUCUUUCAUCUCAAAGGUACGAUGAAGUGAGGCCUUGAGAUCAGAGAUACCAUCAACAUCA